UACACAACCAGGUAAUUUCAGCUAACUAGAACAACAAACAUAUAAGAGGUAGUUCUAAUCCAAGUACUACUCAGUUCCACAAAGCAACCAUUUCUAAUUUUGUCUUAAGUCAAUUGAUCUAAAGUUUGAUCAAUCUUUUAGAAAAUUCUAUGAACAUUUAUAAUGUUAAAUAAAUAUGUUAUGAAAAUAUAUUUUAUUAUAAGUCCAAUUCUGGGUUUGUCUAAAGUUAAUCCAUCUUAAGUUUGACCAAUCUUCUAGAGAGUUGUGUCAACAUCUACAACAUCUAAUAAACAUAUUAUGAAAAUAUAUUUCAUUAUGCAUCUAGCGAUACUAAUUUAAAGUCAUAAAUAUUACUCCCUCCGAUCCAUAAUAAGUGUCUUGGAUUUAGCACAAAGUUAGAAUCGGAGGGAGUAGUAUUUUUUUCCUAAAAAUUCAGUCAAACGUAAGAUUGUUUGACUUAAGACAAAGUUAGAAUUAGACGUAGUGUGGGACGGAGGGAGUAGUUUGAUGUCAUAAGUAAAUACUUGUUUCAGAAAUUUGCUAAACUUUAGAAGGGUUUGACUUAGAAUAAAACUAGAAAUGGUUGAUAUGUGGCAUGGAGGGAAUAUGUUUAAAAUAAAUACCCAUAUCCCUAUUGGUAUUGCUCCUUGAAUUGGUGUCAGUUUGGCAGACAAUGUAUUCGAAGUUAGUACUUUUAGGUUAGCGCACCUUUUUGUAAAACCUACAAAUUCUGAUAUAUACAUCAACGGUGGGGAUUAAAACACACAUAUUUAAUUACCUCAAAGGGCUCUAUAGUCCAUUAACCCAUGAUAAUCGAGCACCCCUUCGUUUAGGAUUGAAUUAAAACCAGAGUAAAAGCCCGAUUGAAUCCGUCCCAGAAUUUAGCCUUGUUAUUCUGUAAUUGAUGUCCUAGGUUAAAUUUACUUUGAUUUUGUGCUGGUUUGGCCUUUUCUGUUCUUCCUCCAGAGACCUCCCAAUUAAUUCAUUUCACUGACAACUCUUCUUGCCCUGAUCAUUUAUACGGCAGCUUGAGACCAAUCGUUUUUUCAGCAUUUGAACAAACAAACCAAUCUCAUCAAUCCCUCCCAAUCCCCCCGGGAAGGGAGUAACCGAACCGGGCCUAAGGCGGUGACCAAGGGUUUACUUGUCCUCCGAUCUGACAGUACACCACCAUGAGUUAGGCAGCUCGGAAAUGACAAAGACAUGCCCUUGCUCUAUCCAAAGAGUGAAUAUGAAAUAGGAAGGACCAAAUGCCCCUAGUAUGGUGGGUUUAUUAACCCAUUUAUGCUUCAUAAAUGAGUAGCCUCUCUUUGAUUUCUCUUGCCUUUUUGGAAUUUCCAUUGAUUAUUUAGCUUCCCCUUAUGAUUAGUACGUGUCAUGUCACAUCUUUUUUUGUUGUUUCUAAAAAGGGAAAGAAUUCUCCCACUUUUCAUUGAGGUAGUUGAAGCAAAUAACUCUCUCUAUUUUGCAAGGUGGUAAGAACCUCACUACUCAUUACCUCAGCAAUUACUACCAACAAGUCUACUAAAAACCUACCACUGAACAUCCAUGCCGAAGCAUCUAACAAGAAAGCAACGGACCAACGAUGCUCAAUGUCAAUUUAAUUGAGCCGGCAUAAUAGUAGUUCUAGUAAUUGUUUUGGAACAAAGAGUUCAAGGUGGGCUAGGUUUACUUAAUUCGUUUAUGUCCCCUUUCAUGUUCAGGUGCACAACCUUUUUCAAUGCGAUCUAUUUGGAGGCAACACGCCAUGAUGUUGAAAGACCCCUAUAUUACGGGUUUACGGAUCCCGGAGCAGAUCAAUUGAUAAGAUUAAAACUGACCUUUUAAUUAGAAAGGCUAAUAUUGCCAAUUCUAUUAAUAAAUGGAAAAUUAAUCCUUGCGUCAGAUCUUUGAGCUUAAUUUUAUCUCAACCGGAAGAACAUCCCCGCAUCUCAUCAGAAUUGUGACUAGUUUGCCUCCGUUCGUAUUGCACACAUCAAUUAUUCUCUUAAUUUCCUGGACCAUCACAGCAUCAUAGCUUUCGAAUGCUUUAAGCAGAUGAUACAGGUCUUCUUAUGAACAGCUCAAUUCCAUCGAAAACAUAUCUUUAGAAUGGCUGGCAGCCCCUAAGCGAGCAGGAAGUAAAACUAUUUGUCUGGUCAUCAAAUUGUAAACGCGCAACUAAAUGGAUUAGAUCUCCUGCGAUUAUCUUACUCCCUCCGUCCAACAAAGGAUGUCUCAACUUUGACCAAAUUUGAAUGCAUGUAUACACUAAGUUAUGUCUAGAUACAUUCAAAUUUUGACAAACUUGAGACAUUUUUUGUUGGACGGAGAGAGUAUAUCUCAUUCACUUGUACUACCUGUCUUCUAAUGUUUUAAUCCGGCCAGCCACAAUCCUGAGAUAAUGCAGAUGGCACUGGUCAAAAAGAUAAUGCGAUGGCAAAUGAAUAAUUGCAAGUCCUCUACAAGACCGGGGCAAGACAAUUUCCCAAUUUAAACUGAUCAGUGCGCACACUAGUCCCCCGUUUGGACGAGCAAACCUCCAAGAGGAACGAGAAGAGAUCAAACGACUUGAUCCCAAGGGGAGCCGUCCAAUUAUCUAUAUAAUCAGUGUUAAGUACCCCUUCGUUCCUAGAUACUUGUCGUGGUUUUAGUGCAUAGGAACAGAGGAGUACGAAAAAUACCUUUUUAAUAACUUUUUAGGGGUGUAUUGAAGCAGACUCCGUAUGUUACAGCGCUUAUGUUCCUAGUGUCGAAUUAGAUGUUGUCAAUGUAGUUUAAAUCUGAAAACUUUAGGUCCAAAGUACGAGUGAAAUCAUUUUGGAGUAUCGGAUUCCGCACAAGUUUCGAAACCUAAACCUAAGUAUGAGAAGUUGGCCAGAGAAAAUUAAACCAACGAGCACAAAUAUGAGCCAGUAAGCUGUAUAAUACUUACCUAUUGUUUGUCGUGGUCUACUAGAGUACUAGUAAAGACUCCUCCAGAGAGACCAGGCCGUCGCCAUGCCCCGAGCUAUUCAGUAUUCUCUCCGCCGUCUUUCAGACUUCCGAAUCAAGUCCUGCCACCAGCUUCAGGGCUACUGAGUGCUUUGAGCAUUCGAGACCUCCUACCUUUAGUUCUGGGCAACCCGCUAGCUGUUCGUGCGCGCUGCCUGGCCUUCGUACGGGAUGGGAUUAGGGCUGGCCAUGGCGACAAGCUAUGGGGCACGCUUUUGUCCUGUGCUAUCAUAGCCUAAUGUGUCACAUGUUUCCGACGCGCUUUUGUCGGUUCUUUUGACGUUGAUCUGCUGUUUUGCAUGUUGCUAUCAACCACUGUCUAUCCCUAAUAAUAAGCACGAAGGUUUCAUUCGUAUUCAUUCGCCGUGCAUCAAUUUUCAUGCAUGUUCUGAUUUUUCGUGUCUUCUUACACUCCAUCGAACCUUCUUUUUCCUAUUUCCACAGCACUUCUUUUUCGGGCCGCCGCCGCCGACUCAACUGUCCGUGCAGAACCUCCCUGCGGUGACCGCUCUCGAUAUGCGUCGGCGUCGGAUUAGAUUAUCGUGCAAGAGACGAGCAAAGGGGUUCAGGGCUGAUCGGCACUAUCCACCGUUUCUCGUGCACUGCACCACCGCGUGCUCUGACGCCAGCCACGUCCGUGGCCGCGGCUGCUAGCAUCGGCUCCGAGAUCAUUUUGAUUGAAUGUCUAAUUAUAUUGUUAUGUUUUGUAUAAACAUGAAUUUAACGCACGGGCCUGUGCUAGUCUUUUUUAAAACAAACAAGUUUAUUGGCUCUCGAUCGAUCGAACGAUCGAUGUUGACCGACUGUUUUGCUUGUUGGUCCAUACAUAUCAACCACCAGAACGAACAAGCCUGCUGGCUCUCUGUAUACACUCACCUACUGCCUUGCUUCUUGAUAUUCCUAUGAACCGGUCCUUCCUUUAAAAGAAACAAACAACCGCUGAUUGACACUCGUUAAAAUUUCUUGUAUUAAGAAACAGAUGUAGCGGUACUCGACAGCUAAUGUGCGCCCACACGAGACAAGAGAAUCAUCUAUGUGGUAGUUGAAAGUUUUUUUUUUUGAGAACGACAGCUAAUGUGCGCCCACACGAGACAAAGAAUCAUCGUAGGGUAGUUGAAAACUUUUUUUAGAACACAGUAAAAACGCAGUCACUCAGAACACGCACGUACGCUCAUCUCUACGAACGCACGCACGCUCAACCCUAUGAGCAACUCCGAAAGACUGAGUCCUACCACUGAAAGAAUAGCGUUGGUUAAAUCUUAAAAUAAUCGAGUAAAAUGUGACACACAUAUCAGGUUUAGGACUUGAACUUGGGUUGCCUGGUAUCACCAUAAGAAACCAGACCUCCUGAGCUGGGAUCAGUUCACUAGGAUAGUUGAAAAUUGAAACUACAUGGGUUAUACCAGGUUCAAAUUUUGCACUUUUGAUUGGGGAAUGAUUUAAUAUAUGUAUGUUUCGUGAUUUAUAUAUGCCGGGCCAGCCUCCUCUCAUGUCCAGGAUAGCGGAGUGACCAGCACAUUUGUGCGGCUAGAUUUCUUUUAUUUGGUAUACUUUUAUUCAUUACAAAAAAAAUACUUUUCUCUCUAAUUUUGUGCUUGUAGUAAUCACCCAUAACACUUAUAGCAAAAUUACAUGAGUGAAGUUUCAGUAUUUGUUAUCCAGGUUAAAAGAAUUCUUUUCAGUAUUUGUUAUGCCACAUUUGUAAUUUUUUAACAUUAGCAUUUUGGUGUGAGCCAAAUACCGAUGGCACAUGUCCACGUACAUUUGUCUUUCGUUGACGAUCUUAGUUUACUUCCUCCGUUCCACAAUAAGUCCAGUUAUGGGUUUGGCUUAACUCAAUCUACCUUAAGUUUGACCUAUCUUUUACAGCUCGUUUGACACACAUCAUUUGGGCCUAGAAUUCUGGAUUCAUUUUGAAUUCCAAAAACCAACUUGUUUGGUUGGCACGGAAUUUGUCACUGAAAUUGAAUCUCGAAUAAAAUGGAAUCACACUAUAAUUAACUCUAAUUCUUCUCUAAAAGCCAUCAUUUCUCUGAAAUUGUCUCUCACUCUACAAAUCCAUGUGGUAGACAAACAUGAUUUUUGAACCCGGAAUUCAAAUUCAACCAAAUGAAAUCCUAUCAAAAAUUGGAUUUCAUUUCAUUUCUACCAAAUUAAAUGAAUGGAUGGAUGCCAAACGAGCUGUUAGAGAAUUGCAUCAACAUCUACAACAUCAAGUAAAUAUAUUAUAUGACAUAUUUCAUUAUGCAUGUAGUGAUAUUAAUUUGAAGUCGUAAUUAUAAUUAUUUUUUCUUAUAAAACUGGUCAAACUUAAGAGUGUUUGACUUUAGGAAAUGAUUGUAGGAUCAAGUCUGUCGUCAACUCUGAACUCAGUUCAAAGCCAAGCUUCUCCAAGCUCUUGGCGUAACUAAUCAUCUUAAUGUUUCUGGACAGUGAUGGCACCAAUCCAUGUGUGUGCCGAUUUGUUGGUACUCCAAGCGCGGAAUGAUAUAGCAAACGUGUUUUCCACACACAAGAGUAACUCGGGGUUCAAUAUCGAACUCUUGGCGAGAUGUUUUGAAACAAUAUUUAAGUCCAAAGUUCCUGUCAAUCAACCUGCAAUGCACAAGUGUUUGCCUUGUGCCCCCAACAAUCACCAUAGUGGUUAAAAUAGGAACAUAGUACAUGGGUUCACUUGUCUACUUUCUCAUAACUUUGGUGCCACGAACAUAGCAUAAAGGCAAUAAGAUUAUUAGCGAUUUCAUGAUGGCUUACAUUUCAACUGCUGGGGCCGAAGCCUACGGCAGCUGCCAGGAGGCCUACAGUAAAUACACCAACUAUGUGUCAAUGGCUCAGGAGGCGCACGAGCCUGAGACGAUCCACGACCUGGAUCUGGAAGUGGUCAUGAGGGAGGGAGGAGACAUGAAGCACGGUAGGUUUUUUAAUGGGGACGGAUCCAUCGAUCCGGCCACCGCUCCAAGCCUCGCUCAUAUCAGGGCUCGAAGCACGAGCUCAAGUCCAAGUAUACGCACUAACAUGCACGACAGAUGUCGGAGCAGGUUUGUUGUUUUCAUUCACCAUCUCAGGUCUUUACAUGAUUGCAUUAAUUGGAACGGUGAUGACUUUAUUAUGACACUGUAGGAGCUUGCAGCUUCAGAGCAAGCCUUGGAGGAGCGUAUCGUGGGGCGUAUGCAGGCUACGAUGUAGGCCGCAGUGAAUGCUCAGUAUGACCGGCUUUCGGUAUGUUUCACACACAUAACAGCUAAGAUAGCGUGGUAUUAGUUUCUCAACUGCAACUAUUUGUCACUUCAAAAAUAAUAUGCAGGUGUACGUUGCUAGUACCAAACAGGGGGGACACCACCGCUGUUCAACAUGUCACUUCUUCAGCUUGAAGGUUUUCCACACAUUCAUGUGACUUCGCUCAGAAACUUUUCUUGCUUUAAUUGAGAGUUGGGGUAAAUGUCUAAUCAUCUGUGGAGUAUCGAUCUAGUCGUGGCUCUAACGAGCCUACUUCCUCACACGCAAGCCCGGCUGGAGCCUACUUCCUCACACGCAAGCCCGGCUGGAGGGAACCCUCUUGGACGAUCCCCUCCUCCGCCCGCGCCUAACUCCGAUAAUUUUGCCUCAAACUUCUAUCAUCUUGUGGUCCCACUACUUGUCCCCACCCUAAAAUUGCACAACAUAGCAUCACAUAGCGACAUAGAAUAAUUUCUGAGCCAAAAAACUCGUUCUUGCUACCAAGUCAACACUUUGGAGCCAAAUGCCUCAUUCUUGGCUCCACAAUGGUUGAGUGAUAGCACGAAUGAACCAAAUGGCUCAUUUAUGCGAUGAAGGCAUCAUUUUGAAGCCAAAUAAAUUUCUUGUCUCUAAAAUAGUACCAUGGUGGCAUUUGUGAGCCAAAUACCUUAUUUCUGCGACCAAUGCACCAUUUGCGCCAUUCUUUGCCGUAGGCCGGGCCAUUAGCAAAGAACCGACAUGUAAGCCCUGGUAUGACGCGCGCAGGUCGUUUUGUGGGCGAUUGUGGGCUCGUUUUUGCCGAAGGUAGCGUUCAGCAAAGGCCCGACAAGUGGGCCCUUGUCUGGCGCGCGGGAGGACGCAAAGGGCUGGCCGGAGCGAGCCACGCCUCGCGUCCUUGCCGUUAACGCCAGUGGAUCAUCAAUGGCUUUUCUUUGCCGACGUCCCGCUUUUGGGCCUUCCGCAAAGGCUUUGCCGAAGGCCCAAAAUAAGGCCUUCGGCACAUAAAUCUUUGCCAUAAAAGGCCCCGAGGAAGCCCUAUGCCGAAGGGCUCUGAAAAAAAGCCUUCGGCAAAGGCUUCCGGCCUGCGGCAAAAGGGAUUUGUGCGGUAGUAUACCCUUGUGACAAGAAGUUCUGCAUCCGAAAACAGUGCAUUAAUAUGAGAGCUAAAGAAAGUUUAUAAUUAAUAUAGUACAGUAGGUAGAUAGAUAAAUAGAUGGAUAGUUUAGAUUUGUGCAUCUUAUCUUAAUCUUAAAAUGCAAAAGUUGGUUUUGUUAUUCAAAAAAAAAAAAUCUGAGUCGCACAAGAACGAUGCUAGGGGUGUAGCCGGAGCUUCUCCUCGCUUUGUAAGCCAAAACUCCGUGCGCGGAGCAUCCUACCACGUUCCCGAAGUCGAAAUAGUCUUCAUCUCCAUCUUCGAGUAAACACGCCGACCGGCGACGACAUGUUGUCUCACUUAUCCGUUCGGAAUGUCACCCGAACAGCACUGGGAUGGGCGGCCAGCCCAGUAGGACGCCUGGCUCGCGUCGAGGUCCUGGUGACCCUCAGCUGCGGCUUGCUCGCCUUGCUGGUUUUCCUCGGCUCUGGCCGCCGCGCUAGCGCUAGUGGCUCCUUUCGCUUCAUCGUCUGGGCGGCGCUCAUGCUCAGCUACCCCGCCGUUUCCUACACCAUCGGGCUCAUGCAGUCUGCCUACUUCCGCAACGAGCUCGUUGUCAUCUGGGGGUGCUUUCUGUUGCUCAUCCUAGGCUGCGCCGACGGCAUCGCUGCCUACAGCCUCGAGGACUUCGACCAGCAAGCCCGCACCAUGCUCAACCAGGCCCUCCAGGUCAUCUACGUGCUCACCCUCCUGAUCUCCUACGCCAGCUCGUUGCCGAAGCAGCUCGCGAUUCCCCUCUUCGUGCUCUGGUUCUUGAGCGCCGCCAAGCUCGGGAUGCGCUUGAGGAGCUUCCUGCUUUCCGGCCGCGACCGCGUCCUCACCUUCGACAACAAGCUGAUGGCGGACUUCAUGCUCAAGGAGCACGGAUUCUGCGGAGCAGAAUACGACGCCGUCAAGAUGACGGGCUACAAGUACGUGGUCGCCGGCGAGACGAACCAGGAAGGUCUCGGCGAGCACGGCAUCCGACGAACCAACGACCUGGUCACGGUUGACCUGGUGUGGCGGUGCGAUGGUGAGCUCCUGGGCGGCGGCGACGAGGCAGCCGGCAAGCGCAGGGAUCUGUGCCUCUCCUUCGCGCUGUUCAAGCUGCUCCGGCGCCGCCUCGGCGGGUACCCUAUCCACGAGGCGCGCCUCAACAAGACGCGUGACUUCGUCUGGAAGGGUCUCCUCGGCGAGGGCCACGACCACGAGCGCAUGUUCCGCGUCGUCGAGGUCGAGCUGGGCUUCCUCUUCGAUUUCUACUACACAAGGCACCCAUCACCCAAAGAGACUCUCAUCCCAGACACGGCCGUGUUUGCCGCCGUCGUCGCGACGAGCCUGUCCGUCCUGCUAUCCUCGACGCUGCUCCGCUACCAACCACCUGAGCAGAGCACGGCGAGCUGCGCGAUCAAAAUUGCCACCACCGGCUUCGACAUUUGGUUGACAAGGAUGGUCAUAAUCCUGUUCCUGAUCCUGGAAUCAUUUCAGUACUUCGCUCUGCUGUUCUCGGAUUGGUUCAAGGUGAAAAUGCUGUGUCGGUACGUGCUCGAACCGUGCUGGCACGGCCACCCCUUCUGGGAGCCGCUCCUGCGGCUCAUGUGCCGUGUCAGACUGACGCGGUACUGGAACAACUCUCUGGGGCAGCACUCGCUCCUGCACGCGUGCUUCCAGACGGAGAACUCGUGCAUCUUGCGAGCGCCGCUCCCUGAAUCGGCCAAGAACUUCCUUCUCCGGUUCAAGACGACGCACCAGCAGAGCUUGCCUGCUCCGGUGAAGCUCGCAAUAUAUCGGUCCCUCAAGUCCGGGCGGGGGCGGCUCCGUCAUGGCGAGUGCGCGCUGGAGCGCAAUGAGAUGCUGGCCGAACUCUCCUGGGCGAUCGACCAGGAGAGCACUGUCCACAGCAUCCUCAUCUGGCACGUCGCCACCACGAUGUGCCACAUGCAGUUCGGGACGACGCCGUCGGGCGGCCGUCUCAUCAAGAGCCACCAGGUGGCCACGGUGCUCUCCGACUACUGCUGCUACCUGGUGUCGUCCGCGCCGGAGCUGCUGCCGGGCCACAGCUUCGACGCGCAGCUGCUCUUCCAGAAGGUGCAGAGCAACGCGCAGCAGAUAUUCAGAGGAUGCCGGCGUAUAGACGACAUGUACGACUGGCUGGAGAGUUUGUACAGUGGACAGGGAGAUCCCGUUUCUGGAGAUACAUUGGUCGAGGGUGCUAAACUCGGGAUUCAACUGCUGCGGAAGACGCCGGAGGUGCGGUGGAAGGUGCUCGACGAGGUAUGGGUGGAGAUGCUGCUGUCGGUGGCGCCGUCCGAAAACGUGACCGGGCACGUCCGGAAGCUGGCGACCGGCGGCGAGCUCAUCACGCAUCUCUGGGCCUUGUUGACGCACGCCGGCAUUGUGGAUACGCGGUUGAACCGCUACCAGCGGAGAGGCCCUUGACUAAUGGUGGGGUUCGCAUUUUGGACCAUCCCGCCGAGUCCAUCCAGUAGUAUAUGUUGUUUGGGACAGGGGGAGUAGUAGUUGGCUGAAUUCUACCCAUUGUCUCCUAUAAAAUACAGUUUGAACGUUCAUUCCAUGUUGAUAAAACUAUCAAGUUCAUGUUUGUAUUAGACUAGAAGUUACAUAUGACACGCUACUUGGACAAAAUGCAUCGCAAAUUUCCAGAGUGAGCUCUUUCUUGUAAAGUUAAGCACUAGAGCCCCAGGCCCCAGGAGUCGCUCUAGCUGAAGAAAGAAAUCGACCGGCAAAGGGGGGCAUUCUCCGCUUCUCCCAUGUGGCAACAUCUUUUUUUUUUAUCGGGACCAUGUGGCAACAUCAGUUCGUCAAACAUGCCGAAAUUCCUCACAUGACACUGUGUCGUGGAGACUCGCUAUGGGAAAAUCUGUCUUUGCCGGAGGCCUUGGUCUUUGCGGCAGCCUUUUUUCGGGCCUCCGGCAGCAAAGAAUACAAAAAGUUUCCGGCGAAGAAAAACCUCGGGCAAAGAAUAAAAACGGCAUCCGGCAAAGAAAAGCCGUCGGGAAAGAAGGUGAACACGUGUACUUGCCGCUGCGGUAACGGCGAGAAAUCGGACUAGAUUCUUUGCCGGAGGCCGGCCUCAGGCAAAGAGGUUUUCAAUUCUUUUUUCUUUUAUAUCCUUUUCUCUCUAAUUUCAAAUUAUGAUGUAAACCACCACUUUUUGAGUUGAACUUUUUACUGUAAUUUCAUUUAGCAUUGAUGACGAGCAAUAUGAAUUUAAAUCACCACAUUUUAUGUAACAUAUUUAUUUAUCAUUUUUUAGAGCCAUUUAAUAUGAAAAAUGAAACAAUACUAAAACUUUGUCCAAAAAUAGCAAUUUUUGUCAUGAAGUCGUAUUAUGGGCAUAUAAACUUGGGAUUAAAAUUUCAAGUUACUACACAAAACUAAAAUAUAUCAAACCUUGCAAAUGUAUACACAAAACAAAAAGAAACAAAAACAAGACAAAACAUCUUUGCCGGAGGCCAAGCCACCGGCAAAGAGGUUUGCCAGGUCACCAAUCCGGGUGACUGCCCUGCGGAUCGAUGAAGUGGCUAUAUCUGAGCCGCACAUCGCUGUGUCCUUUGUGUUUCUCCUCUGUGCUUCCUUCCCCUGUCUCUCAUCUGUCCCCGUGCUCUUCCUCUCUCAUCUCUCCCGGUCCGUUGGCCUCCCUCCUCUCUGCUCCCUUCCCCUGGAUCAGAGCGGCGGCGUCGACGGGGCCGCGCGGACAGCAGCAGCGGCGGCGGCCUGCAGGGAGGAGGCAGCGGCGGCGGCCUGCAGGGAGGAGGCAGCAGCGAGCGCGGCGCGUGCUGCCCGCGAGCUCCUCUCUCUCCCGCAGGUCCUGCGAGUCUCUCUCUCUCCCGCAGCUUCCUCUCUCUCCUGUGAGUCUCCCGCUCCUCUAUUCCGCGAGCUCCUCUCUCUCCUGCAGGCAGCGGCCAGGGCGACGAACGGGAGCUGUGCCUCCUCCCCAGCGACGGGAUUUAGCAGCCGCUCUUCCUCCUCCCCAGCGGCUCCUCCUCCCCCAGCUCUCUCCCUGCAGGCAGCGGCCAUGGCGGCGGAGCAGCGGCGACGGAGCAGAAGCAGGAGGCACAAGCAGCUGCAGCGGCCAUGGCGGGGCGAGCGGCGGCGGAAGAACAGCAGCCAUGGCGGGUGCGAGCGGCGGCGGCGGAGCAGCAGCCAUGGCGGCGCACACGGUGGAGCAGUGGCGAGCGCAGCGGAGCAGCAGCCAUUUGCAUAUUUUUUUAAAGUCCAAUAAUUACUUUGCCGGAGGUUGGCCUUCGGCAAAUGGCCUGCCAUGUGGCGUUCUGUCCGCCUACUUAUGGGCAUUCUUUUUGCCUCCCGCAAAGCCUUGUGACGAGAAAAUAUCGUCGACAAAAAAGCCUUCACCGGUUGGGCUCCAUAUCGAACCCUUUUCCCAGCGGCCCUGAAAAAAAGCCUCCGGCAAUGCCUUUGCCGGAAGCCCUAGGCCUUAGGCAAAGCCAGAUUUUUCAGUAGUGGCUCGGCCGGGUAAACUGCACCGACAGGUUCAUAUUCAUUUCCGUACACGUUAAUGCACAUAAUAGUAUUUUUUUUGCAGGGAAUGCACAUAAUAGUCCGCAUGUCACUCUUUCUCAUACCACAAAUAAUACUCACUCCGUCCCAUAUUAAGUGACUCAAGUUUGAUCAAAUAUGGAUGUAUUUAUAUCCAAAAGGAAUCUAAAUAUAUUUGUCAAGUUAAUAUGGAACGGAGGAAGUAGUCAGCUUGUCGAUCGAUCUGGGUUCCAGUUCCAGUUCUUCCAAACAAAGGAUUCUGACUUCAGUUUCUCAGUCAAAAAGGAGUAAAUUACAAAAACCCACCACAUUAGAGUCUAGGGUUUCAUAUAGGUACCAAUUUUCGUUUUAGUUGCAAAAAGCCACCGGAUUAGCGUAACCCCUCGCUCGCUAGCGUCUAAGCCUGUUUCUGACAGGUAUGGCCCGCUAUCUGGCCAGCGUGUCUUGCUAGCUCAGCUUGCCAGCGUGCUCUCCUUCUAUUCUCUAUUCUCUCCUUUGGUUCUCAUCAUGCCGCCCCUUCUACUUCCCUUGUCCUCGCCGUCCGUGCUCCUUCUCCCGCGAGGCUGCCUUCGAGCUUCCCCGUUCCCACUACACAGCCUCGCCUUGCGGAGGAGGGAGAGUGCCUCGCGCCCCCGCUCGUGCCGCUGCUCCCCGCAGCUCGCCGCGCGAGCAGCAGGCUGCUGCUUCCCAUGCGCGCCGCUCGCGAGGUCUGACACCUCCGCUCGUGCGGCUGCUCCCUGCCCGCCGCUGCUCCGCCGCGCCUCCGCCGCUUGCCGCGGGCUCUUCGGUGGCCAUGUCCCAUGAGCCCAUCGGCCUUUAGAUCGGGAACAGAGAGAGCAUGCAGGGAGGAAGAAGAGAUAUUGCCACGAUGGACCCACAUUGGCCUGAUUGAUGGACCAGACUCGUUAGAGGUUUAAACACUAGCGAGCGAGGAGUUACGCUAAUCCGGUGAUUUUUUGCAACUAAAACGAAAUUGGUAUUUAUGUGAAACCCUACAUCUAACGUGGUGUUUUUUUUUUAUUUACUACAAAAGAAGAGGAGAUGAGUGUGGGCUUCGUCGAGAGGAAAGAGGGAAACUGCGAGGUGGGCAACAAUAUCCUCGUCCUUGGUCGCAACUAAGCCCGGUAGUCUAGGCCCAAUGGGCUAACCUAACCCUGCCGGGCUUCACCGCUUCACCGACACAGCGUGCUCGUGGCCUCGUGGGUCCAUCGGAUAAACACCUCCCACUCCUACUACAGUUCCCCUAAAAAAAUAACUCCUCCUACAGCUGAGAAUUCGCUUGAAUCAAAGAACUCGAACAGUAAAGUUCAGAAGCGUGUCUCUGUCUCCAUCCCCGCGCCGGAUCCAGGGCGCCAUCGUCGUCAAUCUCGCCGACGCGAUGACGAUCUGCGCGCCCGCGUCGGAGUCCUCGGGCUCGGGGAGCCGCGCGUGGGUCCUACAUGGACUAGCCCUCGGCGCCGCGGCGGCGGCCGCCUACCUGUACCGGCGGCCGCGCGGGUUCCGCACCCUGGCGGUGGGUAUCAUACCGGCGCGGUAUGCCUCCUCCCGCUUCGAGGGCAAGCCGCUGGCGCUCAUCCUCGGCAAGCCCAUGAUACAGGUCCGUACGCACUCACACCAAUGUGAACUGUGAAGUGGAUGUAUGUUCGUGCGGAGCCUUUCGUCUGCAGCUGUGGCCUUGUGGGAUGAGGUCGAGUAAUAACAGUAGUUCGUUUGCUGUGGAUUUGGCCUAGUUGUCAGGUCUAUUAUCUUUGCUGGUGUGGUGUCUCGUCCUGUAGGUGCAAGUUGUCAGUGAAGCUUUUAGGAGAUGUGCUUCGAUUGGACAGUCUACUGCAUAUCUCGUUUAUUCAUGUAUUCUUGUGUGUUUUUCUGUCCAAUUAGUAACCAGAAAAAUAUGGUCAUGGUUGCUUAUUGUACUGAGCUUAAACCGAUAAGCCUAUGAUUUCCCUAAAGAAUCCUUCCUGGGUUGUUCAGACUUCAGAUAAUUUCUUAAGUGGGCAAAAUUUCAUCAACGUGGUGCAUUUUAUGACGACAGGACACCUCUCACUGGAAUGGACUUAAGUACUUAACUUUAACCGAUAGUGAGUCUAGUGAUCAAUUGAUCAUCAAUACUGGCUAAAGCAUCGAGUAACAUUUGUGGCAGAUCAACGUGAGUUUGAAUUGGGGGAAUGGGACUGCAAGCGGUAAAUACUGAAAUGGUGUUCAUUGUUACUUACUAUCCGGGCACUUUCUUAGCUGAACAGUCAGUAUAGUCCAUAAAUCACGCUGUACUUACUUCGCAGUCUUGACUAGAUCAUCCUUAAACUCACUGUUAGCACCUUGGAUCAUUACAGAGAACUUGGGAAAGAGUUAUGCUAGCCUCUUCUUUGGACCAUGUUGGUAAGCUUUCUAUUUUAUUUUAUUUUUAAUAUCUUUGUGCAAAACUUCCCUGUAGUAUGCAGAUCUAAAGUUUCUUUUAUGCGAGACUGUAGAGAUGCUUCUAUCUGCAGUUACAUGCUUGAGUAACAUUGUUGGUAUUUCUUUGUUUUCCUAAGUCGUGGCAACGGAUGAUGAAAAAAUUGCUGAGUGCUGUAGAGGAUUUGGAGCUGAUGUUAUAAUGACAUCGGUAUCAUGCCAAAAUGGUAAUGCUUUCAUGGUCAUGUCAUCAAGUCAAUUUUCAUAAUUGCCUGGUAAAUAUCCUUAUGUACUUUUGGCAUGUGCUUUCAAAUUUAGGAUCUGAACGCUGCUGUGAGGCACUUCAAAAGCUCGAGAAAUGUUAUGACAUUGUUGUCAAUAUUCAAGGAGACGAGCCUCUUAUUGAACCAGAGAUAAUAGAUGGUGUUGUUAUGGCACUGCAGGUGGCUACUUAUGAAACUCUAACCUUUUAUUGACGAAAACAGUAGGAGCCCUCUCCUACUGUGGUUGUAAACUCUAAUCCUGCUGUUUCUUGAUAUUCUACUAAACAAAAUCGUUUUAGUUUAAAAUUAUUUUAGUUUAAAAUAAUUUGGGUUGAUCCUUCUUUAUAUAACUUAUUCUUCUAUCAAUGCUUUAAGACAGAGCUUUUUGCGUUUUCUCCCUUAGUGGAUUUUGCUGAGCUUAACAUUGUAUCUUUACCGUACUAAAUGCAUUGGUAUUCCAGACUCUGCUUUGCCUUUGGCCUUGUAAUUAUAUUUAUUCCUUUCAUUUUGCACCUAUUCUUCUUAAUCAACUUCUUUUCUUUACAUUCAUGAUGUGGUUCCCUUUUAUUUCAGCGAGCUCCUGAUGCAGUCUUCAGCACAGCUGUCACGGCACUAAAACCUGAAGAUGCUUUCGACACAAACCGGGUGAAAUGUGUUGUGGACAACCAGGGUUAUGCAAUAUACUUCUCAAGAGGGCUGAUCCCAUUUAACAAGUGAGAUAAUAACAUUUGUUUGGACAUUAAACUCUUCCAUUCACCUCAUUUUCACCUACAAUUAUGAAAUUUGAACAUUUCAGAUCAGGGAAAGCCAAUCCUCAGUUUCCGUAUCAUCUCCACCUUGGAAUCUCGGUAUAUUAUCAACCCUUCCUUCUGAUAAUUGAUGGGUUUUACCUCAUUAAAUCCUAAAUAUACCUUCAUGCUGAAGCUCCCCAAAAUUAAUACUGGGACCUUUCAAGUGUAGUGCUUUGAUUCGAAGUUUCUGAAGAUCUAUCCACAGCUUGCACCAACUCCAUUGCAACUAGAAGAGGACCUGGAGCAACUUAAAGUUCUUGAAAAUGGCUACAGGAUGAAGGUAAUUUGGUUUGUGCUUCAGUAUUUUCAUGUAUAAAAGAAAAGUUUGUAUCCAUCAAUCUUCUUCACAUGUCAGUUCACUAUAGCUCCUGAAAUGUUAGGUUAUUGAUUCGCAUACUGUUGCAUGCUUGAAAAUACUACCUACCAUCUAGAAACCAUGCCUUGACAGCCCAUUGGAAUGUCAGUACAUGGCGUCAUGGACCUGUAUUGCUAUAGUGGCAAUAUAAGAAUUGUGCUGAUAUUUGCUCAAUAUCGCAGGCCUUUCUGUGGUGUAUUGGCUGUCACAUAUCUGCAGCCUAUGCCUUGUUCUCAGGGCCGGGCCGGCAAAAUUAGAGGCCCUGUGCGAAAUUGUAGCUGGGGACCUUCUAUCUCACUAGAAAAGUAGAAUAAUGAACCAUAAUAAACCUAUCCUAGUCCCUUUCUGAGAUUGAAUCAAAUCUUGUAAACUUUAUUUUUUUCUUACGCUUUUAGGCACCAGAUUCAUACUUUCUAAAUGACAUGGCUGAUUACUUGAUUAGGCUGAUUACUCUCAGAUCUUGAAACACCAGAUACAAAAUAAAACAUAGUUAAAGAGAUAUGGAUUGCAUCAACAAUCUAUUGACUAUUGUGUUUAGGGAUUAGGAUGCAAACACGCCUGCGUUGGAGCUACUGAUCGAAGACGAAGACUAGAAUUGCUGUCUGUCCUUGCGAGUGGCGAGACGAGAUCAGCCCGGCUGGCCGGUCAGGAGAAAACUAGAACGAUCGGCCGUCAGCGAGCACGAUCGCACACGGAAGAAGUCGAGAAGCCCCAAAUUUCUUUUUGGCCUGAACUCUGGAGGCACGGAACGCGAACGAGGGAAGACGCGGCGGCGUCGGGGCAGUCACGCGAGCGAGCGAGCAAGCGAUCCGCAGGCCUAGCGAUCGGCCUAAACGGGCCGCCUAAUGCCUAAUGCGCUGUAUACCUAAUAGACUGUAUAGAUUUCGGGGGGCCCCAAAUUUUGGGGCCCUGUUCGGCCGAACAGGCCGCACUCCCGUGGGCUCGGGCCUGCUUGUUCUGAUGAACUGAGUCCCUCAUUUCCUUUCAUGAUUGCAGGUUAUCAAAGUGGACCAUGACGCCCAUGGUGUGGAUGCACCUGAAGAUGUUGAGAAAAUAGAAGCGUUGAUGCGAGCAAGGAACAUUCAGUAGUUAUAUAAAUGUCACGAGAAGCUCAUUUCGCAUCUCACGUGGUUACCUGAGCUCGGAGUUGAUGGUAAUUCUGAGGACUGAAAAUGCCAGUUCGAGUUUGUAGACUGGGAGCUGUUGUGCUUCAUUUUCUUUUCCCAGUUUGUUUUGUGAAGUCCUUGUAACUUGUAACAUAUCACUGUGUUUUGAAGCUUUUAGGGCUUCCAGAGCAACGAACCUUUGGUGCAUCUGUGUGGCCAGUACAGACACGAGUCAAACCUUUUUUGCCAGUACCUCGCUGGUGUAAAUUCCACGGUGCUGCGGACCGUCGGCGAAGAGCCGCCGGAGACUCCUUUCUUGCCCCUCCCUGCCGUUGAUAUAGACAGAGAUGAACUUCAAAACAUAUUCAUGUGGAACCUUUGGAAGCCCGAGCCCGUGCUCUGGCAAACUCGGGCACUGCCGGCGACGGGUGCAUGCAUGUGGAACCAUUGGAAGCCCCUAGUGAAUUAGGUGGUGAUUGGUGAAAUGACCUCUCUUGCUUGCUGCCGAGUCACACUGACUGAGUGAGUCACUCAGUGUGACUGUGAUUGAUGGCAACGGCAUGCCAUACCAUAUCCGACAGAUGAGUAUGUGUGCGUGAACGACAAACUUCCGUCUUGAUUUGUCGUAGUAACGUGACCUGGGAUCAGCUAGUCGUUUGGCUAGAGGCUCGAUCGGUCGUCAUACAUGCAUACUUGGACCACGAUGCCCAUGAGCAAACGGCAAAAACACUCUACUUUUUCAUAUGGAUUUACAUAUGACCUCCCCAAUACUGCACUGCAGAUUUGCUGAAUGCAAAAGCAAAAGAACAGCCACUUUAUCACCCUACAGGUACACUGGAGAUGUGACCAAUAAAAAUGUAGCACUACCUGAAAUGAAAACCUUAUAGCCAGCCUCUCCUAGCGGAGAACUAGCGUACAUGCAUCAAUGCAUGCUUAAUGCUUUGAUCCAAUACCCUGAAUAGAAAUGCUUAGGUACAUGCUUGCAAAGGUACUCUAUCUUAAUCUCCAACUUAAUCCAAACUUCCUGCAGGCAUCUUAAAUCCGGUCAGCCCCAUCACCUUUUUCCCUUUUGCCGACAAAGCAAACAGGGCUGCCUCUAACUAGCUACACUAGCUAAUUGGCUAGCUCCUUUCUGUUUUUUCUGUCAAAAUAGGAGUAUCAUGGCCAGUCCAUAUGUCACUUCAAAGUCAAAUCGCGUUCGAUGCUUCGAGCAUGAUGUGCAUGCUUGGCCCCUAGGGCGCUUUUGCUGGACGACAGUUGUUAAGCUAAGUCCAAGUCCAACCAAACUGUCCACUUGGCUAUAAUGGCCACCGUGAUCUGAUGUGUUUAUAUAUCAGCACAUACACGAUCCAAUCGAGUGCUUUGCCGUCAUACGGUUUCUUGUCGUGGCGGCGCACAUUGAGAUUGGUGGAACCGUGGAAAGUGGUUGAUGAUGGCAUGCAUGGCAGACCAUUUUGAUUGUGGGCGUUCUACAGAUAAGGAGUACUCUAGACUACAUUUUGGUCGUCGAUCGUCUUCUCUCUUGUCUGCAAGCGGUCAAAAAGAAAGGGGGUGAAAGGCAGAGUCAUUUUUCCUCUUUUAGCACCAGUUAAUUUAACGUGUUCGUGCUGCAUAUCCUUUUAAUUAUCUGCUUCGUCGGCAGAAAAGAAAGGUACGGCAGAUAACAUGGGUUACGCUGAAAGGUUUCUGGAUUAAUUAUGCCUUGUGCAUCGUUCAUGACGUUAAUCGAGGAAUAUAUAUUUUCGUCCUUGAAUUAAACCACGAUCUGGCUAGCAGUUUGUACAAGGUAUGACCAGCUGGUCCGCGUGGGCACAACAUUAGUGACGUGGAUGCCACAUGGUCAAAAUCAGUGUCCACGCCAUCGAUCAAAUCCAUUGUUCUAAGCUGGAUAGAGGGUAAUUAAAAUGCUCCGAAAGUUACUACUGCACGGAGCAGUUUGAAAAGAUCAUAUGAGCUCAGGAGUAGUUCGAUCGAUGGAGUAAAAUGCUGAUCGAUGAUCCAUGGACCGUACUUCUUGUCAGUUGGACUAGAGCAGCUCAGAUACAGAAAUCAUGUAACCUGAAACCUGAUCGGCACGACGGAGUAAUUAAAAGUCAAAAUUUAUUCCUUUUGCGUGGACUCGAUCGUACUCGUGUACAACAUGGCGCUAUAUCGUAUACAGCAUGUCGCGUAGGUAUAUCGACAAUGACGACGACCUUGUAUAUCUAUCUCUAAUCCCUAAUCCCUAAUAAUAAAAGUAGGAAGGUUUCCUUCGUCAUCGUCCGUCGUGCAUCAAUUUUCGUGCAUGUUCUGAUUUUUCGUGUCUCCUUACACUCCAUCGAACCUUCUUGUUUCUAUUCCCACAGCGCUGCCUUCCCGGGCCGCCGCCGCCGACUCAGUUGCCCCUCACUCGAUACGCGUCGGCGUCGGAUUAGAUUAUCGUGCAAGAGACGAGCAAAGGGAUUCAGGGCUGAUCGGCGCUAUCCACCGUUCCUCAUGCACUGCACCACCGCGUGCUCUGACGCCAGCCACGGCCGGCAGGCGGUGUGGACUGGGUGCCAUGUCCGUGGCCGCGGCUGCUAGCAUCAGCCCCGAGAUCAUUUUGAUGAAUGUCCAAUUAUAUUGUUAUGUUUUGUAUAAACAUGAAUUUUCGUGUGCACAUGUUUAAGAGGCCGUGACAACGCACGGGCACUGUACUAGUAUAUAUAUGCAUGGAAAACAUGAUUCUUCCCUCUUUCUAUUUUUUAUUGGUAUAUAUAUAUAAAGACAAGAAACGCAAGCAAAUCUAAGCUCGAUGCAUGCAUUGGCGGACUUAAUUCGAGUGAUCGAGUCCCGUCCGGCGCCCCCCUGUCUCCGUGUACCACUCCAACACGUACGGAGAUUGAUAUCAGUGAUGCUGUGGAUCCGGGCCACCAGGGCUCUUCCUCUUGGACUCGCCAAUGCCGCCGACGUCGCCGCCGGCAUCGUCGACGUGGCCCGUCGUCUCUUCCCGCAACGCCUUCCUGAUCGAACGCCAGCCUCCCGCCGGCGCCGCCAUGCCCUCUCUCCCGUGAUCCCAUUGCCCGUCGGCGGACGCCACAGACGACGAGAGAACAAGCAGGAGGACCAAGCACAUGGCCAGCACGCAAGCCUUCCUCCCCAUGGGAACUGGUCACACCACGUACAAAUUAAGCUGCUUGCUAGCCUGCAGUAAGUACGUACAGCCUGCGCGAGAUGCAAAUGCCAACCCAAAUGAUCUGCGAUCGAGUGAGUAGAAUUAUAUAUGGAUCGAUGCUGGAAUGCUGGAUUGGUGGAUCAAUGUACUGCGGAUGAUGCCAUUGCGAGCAGCGCGCGGGUGGUUUAUAUAGGCGCGGGGUAGUGGCUGCCUUUCUUUGUAAAUAUUUUCGGCCGGAUUGGAUGGAAUGAGAACUAGUGUAGCUCUUUUUUGAGGGAGAGUACUAGUGUAGCUCUAGAGAGCGACGUGCAGGGAAUAUAUGAAGAAAGAGGGUCAGAUCGGUUGGUAGUUGCAGUGCGCGCCUUUCUUUGUUAUACUACUCCAUAAUACGUAUAUUUUUGCCCCAGUAUUAGUUGUUGGUGGUGCCUUAAUUUGUUCCGUGCACUAUAACUUGCAUGGAUUUCCACUCCAAGCCGCCCGGCCGGCGCCGGUCGGUCUCUCACGCGGAAGUGGCGGCCGGUUGGCUGUCUUGGCCGGUGCUGAACGAUUAAGAAAAAGAAAAAGGGGACAAGAUUAGCCGGGUUAGUGGUGGGGGUGGGGUGGGGGGGGGGGGGGUGUUUAAACGUGGGGUGUACAUGCUUGGCGCGCACCGCUGCCGACCUCUUGAUCGAUCCCCGGCCGUACGUACGUGCUCGAUCUCCUGUGGUCCGCCCUUGUUUCGACGGAAAGUUAAUUACAAGCCCUUGAUCUCGUCCUUGAAGCUGACGACGAGAUAAACGGUGGAUUGUAAUUUGUCGAGACGAGAAGAAAAGCUUUUUCUCUAAAAAAUAAUUUGUCGAGAUGGAUGGAUUCGGUGCGCGUCCCCGGUCGGCCGGGUUGACUCGCCCACGUAUACUUAUUAAUUAUAAGCGGGUCGUUUUCCUUUUUUCUUUUUUGGAUUGAAAGAGGAUCGUUUUACUGGUUGAGGGCGCGAUUCAUGCAUUUGAUUUUCAGAUCGAUCGGCACCAUAUGAGUAUAUAACUCGUGCGACGGUUUGUGCUUAAUUUCUGGCAUGUAAAGUGGUUUUACUUUUGUAUGGCUUCAAUUUCAACUGGAUCAAGCGGAUGCACGACUAUAGCGUACUACGUGUAAAGUGUCAUCUUGUAGAAAUGCACGACUCUAUGUUGCACAGGAUAGUGGUGUAGGUCUUCGUGAAAAAGCAAAAUCCACCCUGGCAUAUCGUCUUCAAAUUUAAAAUGUCAAUGUAAUAGUAUCACGAGCAAAACAAGCGUUUUCAACGAACUAGUAGUAGUACUAUUGACUACAGAGAAAAAAAAAACUGCUUCAAAGUAAAUGGGCCGUACUGGGCUGCUUUAAAACGGACCGGACGACCUGCUUACUCUGUACAGCCUAGGCCGAACACAACACGUGAACAUGUCGAUUCUAAUUAUUUGGGAUAAAUGAAGCCCAUUGCCUGUAUUGGCCCUUCGUCUUCUUCUUUUUCCCUUAGAAAAAGAUGGGCCCUUCAUUUCCCAUAGAAAAAUGACAUGUCCAACAUUUCUCAAUUGGAUGCUUGUUUUCGACGCAUGUCUUUGGUAGUUAUAUUGUAAAGCAUCUCACUAGUCGCCUAGCUAGUCACAGAAGAAAACAUCAGACCUCGCAAAGAGACGUCCGUGGACAGCCAAAUAAACGUGCCGUCCAACCAUGCAAGACUUCACCUAUUUCCCGGCCCUUGAUUUCACUAGGAAAAGCUAGAGCUCCUGCCUGAAAAGGACACGGCCGUGGCGUACGUCGAUCAACUUUACAAACACAGAAUCCCCUUGCAUGGCUCAGAGCCUCAGAGAACACACGAGCUUAAUAAUCCCACAACCAUCGACGAUCGUGAAGGUUCCAAAAUCCCUUUCAGCCACAUGGCACCAAAGGCACGGGGACGUACGACAAAUUAAUUGGGCCGCGUCCCCGAUUCGAGCCCUUUCUUAUGGUCAAGUGGAUCCCUCCAGGUGGGUGCCUCUUGCUAUUGCUCGCCGCCUGCCUGCCUGCCUUUGUCCAUCGACCUUAGAAUGGAGCUUGAUACUUGGAAGGAGAACGGUUGAAUUCCCCCAUGUGAGAUCCCAUUGCUAGUUGCUUCAUUCUAAGCUACUCAGGCAAGUUGCUUCUCGCUACACCAAAAUUUGGAAAACGAUCGCUACUCGCAGACUUGCAGUUGCAGACUCGGAAACAUAUAUACUAGUUGCAGCUUCCUUUCAGAAAAAAAGAAAAUUGCCGUUGCAGGCUCGGAAUUGGAGGCUCACAAACCGGUUAACAAAAGACAAUAUCUCCUGCGCUGCAUUGAUCGAUAUCCAUGGAUGAUUUAGGCCCUUGGCAAACAAGGGUAAUAAGCUCGUGUGGAUGUGUGUUGAAUUUCAGACGUGGUAUUUAAUUAGACUUGUGUUCUUGCUAGAAACGUGCGGCAAGCAAGUAUAGAAUUCUUUGGUUGAUAAUGAAACCCGGCCAAUGAUAAUACAGACAAAAAUACGUAAAAUUCAAUGGAAAAUAUACAAGGGCAGACAGUUGGAGCGGGGAUUGAAAGACAGCUAGCGGAGUGCAUGGAAUUAGAGCUAGCUAGCCCUGUCCAUGUUGGAGGAAAGCUACGUACUAUGGCUCUGGUCACGGUCUCAGGCCCUUUAGGUCUUUCCGUUUGUGUCGAUUGUCCCACUAGCUCCAAACUGGAGCACUCCCUCGCAUGCUUGCCAGGGAUACAUAUAUGAAUAUGACAAAUCUGCGUUUCGAGUCCUCCUAGAGCCGUGCCUGAAUGCAUUCUUCCUAUAACGGCCUCUAAAGUCGUGCAAUUUUAUCUGCUCUUUCGUCCAUGUCGAGAGCAACACAAAUCUCACUCGUACGAAGAAAAACUCAGAUGCAGAACAGAACAGAAGAGGUCCAUCUCGAGCAGCUAGGGUACGUUUACUUGCUUUCCGGCCCAUUUUCCAAUAUGUGACUCCAGUGCAGGGUUUAAGGCCAUUUUCAGCUGUUGUAGCCGUUUAUGAGGGCUAUACCCCUGACCGCAUGUUUUCGGACUGUUUUUGGUUGGUCAUGAAAAUUCACGGUUCUAGUUGUAUACGAGGGUUAUAGCCCACGUUUUUUUGCUUUUCGGUGCAUUUUCCAAUAUCGUGACUCCAGUGCACAAUUUCGGGCCAUUUUUGGCUGGUGGAUAAAAAUAUUCUAUCCGUUUUCGUGGAUUAUGGUCCUUGUUUUUUUAUUUUUUGGACAAUUUUUCGAUACCGUGACUCUCGGUACACGUUUUUUUUGAACUUUUUGGCACAUCAAAACUCACAAUUCUAGACGUUUUCGUGGGCUUUUGAAGGCUUUCGACUAAUUUUCCAAUAGCGUGACCCCCUGUACACAUUAUAGGGUUGUUUUUGGCCGUUCAUGGAGAAUCUCCGUGGCAGCCAUUUUUGGGGGUAAUAGCCAUAUUUUUUCGAUAUGUGGACCCCUAACACAGUUUUUUCAGCGAUUAUUUCUGGAGUGUGAGGAAAAAUCACCAUUCUGAACGUUUUGUAGCCUAUAGUCUACGGGUUUUUUUUGUGUUUCGGCUGAUUUUGCAACAUCUUGAUCCCCAGUACACGUUUUCGAGUUUUUUUACUCAAUCAUGAAAAACUUCAGCUCUCGGUGUUAUCAUGGGUUAUCCCACAUUUUUGCUUUCUUUGGUUGAUUUCUUGACGUUGUAACCUCGGCACACGUCUUCUAAUUGUUUUUGGACGGUCAUGAAAUACCACCGUUAUGGUCAUUUUCACGGUUUAUAGGCUAAGUUUUUUUUAUCUUUUCGGCCGUUUUUUCAAAUAUCAUGACCCUCGGUUGCGACGGUGGGCGCCGCAGCGCUCUAAAGGGAGAGGGACGAUCAAGAGAGGGUUUCAUGGCGAGGGGGUUGGCAGCUAGGGUCGAGACAGGGAUGUAUACGGACCACGAUCCCGGCCCAGUUAACCCGGUGAUUGGGUUCCUAGGACAACGUGCCAAACCGAUGAAGCUGGUAGUACUUCUACGGACUGAUUGUGCAUCCACUUAACUUGACGAGGUGAAACUGAAACGGGAAAGAACGCCGGUACCGUUCACCCUAAAACUCUAGCCUCUGGAGGAAUCUUCUUUUUUCGUCUCUCAACGAUUUUCAUCGUCCGAGUAAGCGAUUAGUCCAUCCACCUGUUGAGGUACAUGUGGCCUAUAUAUACCAUCAAAAUCACCACAAGUGCAGCUGUGAAACAUAAAGAAAAGCAGUGAACCACCUUUGUCUCCCCUGUCCCAGCUACCCUACCGCCCGGUUUCACUGUUUGCCGGUGCUCUGUUUCCCUCCCAAGUGAGUCGCGCCAAAAACACAACAAAAGGCGAAGUUCCUUCCGUUCAAUCAAUUCAAUGGCGGCGAUCACGAUCACGGCGCUGACGGAUACCAAGCGCACUCGUGACGCUGCUGGUUCCUUUCACGAUUUGGCGGCGUCGAGGAGCUCGAAGGCGCCGAGUCGGGUCUUGUAUGCAGCGGCCUUGUACUCGCCCUAGGUGAAAUCCGAAAAGGUCCAUACAUGCCCCAACACAUGGACGGUUAGAUUUAAUAGGCACUCCCUCACCCUUUUUUGGAAUACUAGGGUACCGUAAAUAAGAUAAAAAAAAGUACACAUGCUUAAGAACUGAUUGAAAAUUAAACCAGGAGAAAAUAUAUAAGGCCAGACAAUUGCAGCAGGGGCUGAAAGAUAGCUAGUGGAGCGCAUGGAAUUAGCUAGAGUGCUGGCCGUGCUCGAUGAAAGCUACAUGUAUACUCGGCUGGUUUGGGUCUCGGUCUGAGUGUCUCCGAAGCUAUAGUUUUGUGCCACUGGCUAGCUCCAAACUGGAGCACUCUCUCACCUCGCAAGCUUGCCAGGGAUACAUAUAUGCAUAUGACAAAUCUGUGUUUCGAGCCCCUGUAUGCACUUGGGCCUGCUUGUAUGUAUGCAAUAUUCCUACAACGGUCUCUAAAGUCGUGCAAUUUUAUCUUCUCUUUCGUCAGUGUCGAGAACAAUCAAAGAUCUCACAAAGAAAACCCAGCCGCAGAAUUCCUGCAUACGUAGAGAAGGUUGUUUCUCAAACCAGAUCGAUGGAGCACGUGGACCGCCCGCACGUCUUUUCCCGAUUCCUGCACGCGGCAGGCCGCUCUCGACCCGUGCCACUAGCCAGCAAUGACUUUAGCUAGGCUUAGUUUUUUUUUUAAAGAAAGCUUUUUAUUGAUCAUCGCUACCAAAGAGAAACCUAAAGAGAUAAAAUCUUUUCAGAUUAACGGAGAAGAAAACACUGACUGGUUUUGAGAUUAAAGAGUAACAUGUCGUCAGUACGGACAGGUCAGCAACCCGUCAAUGUUGACCAAUCACCACAUCAGCGACUACUUUUUCAUGACAGUUUGUUAGCUUGCUAUAGGUGGCACCGCUGACGAGACUAAUACAUGAGCUACAGAAUUUUCGGGCAGUGCCUAAAAGGAAUCAUCCAAAUGACAACAAUCAUAUCCUAAAUCGUUUAUGACGAUCCACCCAUUUGCACUGUCCGGUCGAGUUCCAGACAAGGUGGUUAAGCCCUAUUACUAAGGAAAGAAGGUACAUGCCCAUCGUUCGGGAAAUGGCUUCAACAAUGUGGGCGUCGGCACCAUAUAUAGGAAUCAUGCUCUAGCAAUCCUUAAGGAUCGCGCUAGGCUAUCAUAGGCCGUGCCAGUUUUGGGUUUGCAAAAGAAGGCAAAAGACAAGUGCUUUUUUCCAGUUUCCACAUAUAUGGACUGCACAACAAAACUCCACGUACGUUCCUUUCACGCUUUGGCGGCGGCAGGGGGGAGCAGCUGCACCUGGAAGGGUCCGAGGCGGUGGUCGCCGAGGCGGGUCUUGUAUGCGGCAGCCUUGUACUCUCCCCAGGUGAAGUCCCUGUAGAGGCUCCGCUCCCCUUCCCGCAUCAGCUCCGGCAGCGGCGCGAUCCGCUGCGCCGGCGCCGGCCCGCCGAAGUAGAUCACCGACAGCCUCGACGCCUUCCCCCCGCGCUCCGGUGCCACCAGUACCCUGUGCUUCACGCUCCUGAACCGCCCGUUGGUCAGCACCUGCAGGGUGUCUCCGACGUUGACGAAGAAGGAAUCCGGGUCAGGAGCCACGUUGACCCAUCGCGCCUCGUCGGCUUCCUGGAGCAAGAUCUGGUACCCCGCCGUGCGGUUGGACCUCAGCAAGGAGAUGAGCUGCGGGUCCGUGUGCUCCCCGAACCCCGUUAUUCCCACGCAGCCGUCGUCGUCUUCGUCCCGCUCUGUCGUCGGCGGCGGGUAAUGGUUCACCCGUACCAGCUCCUCUUCGCUGCCAGCCACCAUCCUCCUCAGCACGCCUCGCUCCGUUUCCCCGACGAUCCCGAGCCCUUCCGCCAUGAGCUCAAGCACCCGGCCGCUCAGUUCCCUGACGGCACGCGUGUACUCGUGCAGCGCGAGCCGGAGCGACGCCGGGAGCACGGAGUUUGAGCCGAGGGAGAGGAUGAGGUACUCGAGCCAGCCGACGUCGCCGUUGGAGCCGAUGCGCCGGCUGCCGUACCCCAGCGAAGGGCGCGCGCUGCCUGGGCCGGGGGCCGGGGUCGUCGUCGUCGUUGUGGAUUGCUUGUCUUUGUCGGGAAGCGCGAAGAAGGCCAUGGCGUCGGCUUCUAGCGUGGCGGCGAGCGAGCUGGGCACGCCGUGGUUUGUGGCCCGGAAGAAGCCCACGCCGCGGCAGGCCUCCGCCACGGCCCUCGCCGCGCCCGGGGACGACAGGUCCACGGUCGGGAUCAUGGCUGCUGCUGCUGCUGCUGCUAUGGGGCACUUCAGCAGCGGGAUCACGACCUGGUGAUCCACGGAGCUCGGCAACGCCGUCAUCGUGAUCGCCGCCAUUGAAUUGAAUUGAACGGAACGGAACUUUGGCCUUUCCUUGUGUUUUUGUCGCGACGAUCGAGCUUGGGGGGAAACAGUGAAACCGGGCUAGCUGAGACAGGGCAGGAGGUUCACUGCUUUUCUUUAUGUUUCGCGGCUAGCUGCACUUGUUGUGAUUUUGAUGGUAUAUAUAUGCGGUAGGCAUGCGUGAGCCGUGUUAGGCCAUGAAAUUACUCAUCGUCAGAGGAUAUAUACAGAUCGGAACAAGUUACAGUGCUUAUUACUGCUCUCCCCGCCUAAAAAUUAAGAGUAAAUUACAAUUAUUGAGGCUUCAUUCUCACGGGGUCACAAGUUACAAACGGAUGGGAAAUACACUUGUAAGGAGCAGCUGAAACAGCAACUUUCAGCCUUUGAUUCGCAUUGUAUAAAAAAUACAAUAACAUAAAAAAGCGUAGGAUUUGAACGUCAUAAAAUGUUGAAUCCUACACCUAUGAGGCUAUGACGACGAGGAGUGAGCUGCACCUACGAGAAGACGGCUGCAUUUUGCUUAGGUUAAAAACGCUCCUCUUAAUAUUAGGUCAACGUUUAUUUAUUUUGCGAGGAGGUUAACGUUUAUUUUCUAUGUCCUGUGAUGAACUGUAUGAACUUGAGAAUGUGAUGACGCGUUUGUAUUCUUGAUGGUGUUCUUUGCUGUUUCUGAGGAUGCGAUUCGACACCCGAAUUCACGGUUUGAAAUUGCAGCAUUUGUUUUUCCCCGAUGUGAAAUGACCCUGUAAAAACGUUUUUAGUUAACCCACAUAAUAGUUUUGCGGAUUACCCACAUACGGUAUCUGCUACAUAUGCUCUAAUCAAUGAGCUGAGAAGAUACAUUGUGUUGUGCGUCACACUAAAAUUAGUAAGCGUAAUGCAAAACACAUACUCCAAUUCAUUACAAAGCACAAAGCAUUUACUAAUCCAGUUUUGGAUCAAACAUGUUGCAAAGCACAAACCUUCAACAUGUUGGAAAGCACAACCUUUGAAGCAUGUGUUAGUUUUAUGGUUUUGGCAGAUUUUGCGUGAUGAAAAUAUCUUGUUUCACAAAGCAUGCGCGAUUGCGUAUUUCAAAACAUGGUCACGGAUCAAACCUUGUGCAAAAAAAAGCAUUGAUAUUCCCCAAAAAAAUUUGUGUUUCCAACAUUUGCAAACACAUAACUGAUGCUUGUUUUAACCAUUCCCAAAAAAAUGACGAAUAAACUGUUUGAAAUGCCCUGUCUAACCCUAACGAUACCCAGAGAAGUGAAAACCUUAUUUCAAAAAAAUGCACUGUUUAUUAGGAUAGUACAUUUACAUCCAAAUAAUUCAACAAAGAUGCCAAUUGGCUAUGGCAUGUUUAUGACCACGUCACGAGAACAAAUCAGUUUACACGACGAGAUAUCAUGUACUAGUACAGCCCAGCAAUAUGACGAGUUGUACACAGGAAAAAAGAACACCUUGGAGACUAUCAACACAAGCCCGAGAGAAGCCCAGAACUACAAAAGCCAUGCCACAUCUGCAAGAAUUACCUGCUGCCAUGCCAUUUCUUUCCCUUGAUAUGUUCUUGAAAAAUCCCACGGCGCUCAAUUGAGGGCACAAGCUUUGGCAAGCCUCGAUGUUGUCUGCAUUGCACGACAGUCAUUCGGCGGUGUCGUCCGUUCAGGUUUUCGCAGUACCAACAUCCGGAGAAAUGAACACAUUGCUGGAGCUAACUAACCAGCUGCUAUCGGCCAUUUCCCACCCUUCUCCUCUUCCUCUCCUGCUCGCGUCUCUCUUCUUCCUCGAUCAGGCGAAGCUGCUCUUCGUCUUCCUGCCUUGCGAUCUUGGCGCUGACCAAGAAAAGCAACAACAAAGUAAGUCUAAUAAACUGCAAACUGUGACUGAACAUCAGUCCUUCAGUUCCACUUUCUGAAAAUGGGUUCCGAACCAUGAUGCCAAAAUCAAUCCGACACUUGUAUAUAGGGCAUAAAUAUUUAUACUAGAGACGGUAGACUAAAAAUAACCGUACUGAUCAGGGACAUACACUUUUUCCCAAUAAUAAUUUGUGAAAUAUAAUACUGCAGAUUUUUCUCACUGGCAUGUGCAUUACACCCCAUCUGUCAGUAAAGUAUCCAGAAAAUUAUUCCUAUCACCCAAAUGACCUCUAUGUCUUGCAACAGAACAGAACACAAAUCUUGAAGAGAAGCGUGCAUUAUGUGAAGAACAUAGAUACCUUCUUUUUUCUUCCAUUUCUAUAGUGGCAAAAUCUGCUUCCAUGUCACUGUCAUCGUCAUCUCUGCCUGCAUAUUUCCUAGGAUCAUACCUGUGCAGGAAGCCCAGAAUUAUAAUAGUUUUCUUUGAAAGAUAUGAUGCAUAAACUUAAUUUGUAUCAUAAAAUUUCAAAUCAAAUGAUCUUAUAAAAAAAACACUAACCUAAAAUUCAUAACUACAAGCACAAGUAAAUAUUUCAACAGGUAUUGUCGUCGACACACACAAUUCAUGGCAUAGUCAUCUCAAGAUCCAUGAUCAGUAAAUUAUCCAAACUCUAGUAGACACUAACCCAGCUUGUACAGCAAAACAAUGCACGAAUGAAAUGUACUACUAAACCACGAUAACUGGCAAGAUGCCCAGAAAACGAUGACAGUGCUUCCUCAAAACCAAAAACAUAAACAAAAAAAGAUAACAAAUAAUACCUGAACAUGCUCCUGAUCAUUGCCAUUGGGUCUUCCUCAUCUUCAAAAUCAUCAUCAAAUCUUCUUUUCGCCAAUUGUUUUUUCUUUGCGCGAUCAUCACGUAUUCCAUUGGCAGAUGCUUGUCGAGAUGGCUACAGGCACAAACACAAACACGAUGAAGAAACAAACUUAGCGGAAUAAUAUUAUCCCAAAUUAUCGCACCGAAUGGCAUAACACGAAAGUAAAUAAAUGACAGAUUAUCGCAUCAGAGCUUCAUUUUACAACUAAAGGCUUCACAGAAAUAUUACCAUGGGUUUUGACGAAGGCCUCGCCUGCCUUUCUACUUGCUUUACUCUAUCAUUUGCUUGAACUCUUCUUUGCUCAGGAUAAUGACCUUGAGAGGAAAGAGGCCUUUGCCGUUGCAGAAGCUCUGGUCUGUAGCUUUGUGACUGUGGUCUUUGGCUCUGUGAGGAUUGCAAUUGUGAAGAUUGUUGUGGUCUCUGUCUCUGCAACGAUUGCUGCGGCCUCUGACUCUGUGGCAACUGUUGUGGUCUGUCAGGCCGCGAUGACUGCAGUGGCCUCUGGCUAUGGGAUGACUGUUGUGGCCUCUGGCUUUGUGAUGACUGCUGUGGUCUCUGGCUCUGUGACGACUGCUGUGGUCUCUGGCCAUAAGAGCCUAACUGGAGCCUCUGACUUUGUGACGGUUGUGGUCGCUCAUUUGGUGAUAAAAGGUGUUUUGAAGCUAAGUGAUUCUUCCUCAGAGAUUGUUCGUUUACAUCCUUCAAAGCAGGCUUACUUGUAGUAGGACCCUUGCUCAGAAACUUCUGACCUGCAGCUUUGCUUGUCGACAAGCUGGACCCAUUUCUAACAGCACCAUGCAUCCUUCCAUUGUCAAGUGAUGAAGCCCUUUCUCUAUUUGGAAAAGCUUCCUUUCUCUUGCUUUCAGCAUGUCUUAGAGCGGAGGAUGUGCUGUUCAACCCGUUUCUGUUUGGUAAUCUGGCAGGAUGACUUGUUGGUGCUCUGCCCUUCACAGCUGAAUGCAUCAACUGGCGAUCUUCAGCAAUGAAAAACUAACAAUCAGCACUCUCCACUAAACAGAAAAGACAAAGUUCCAUGAAAUAGAAAUUCAAACUCACCAGACUUUUGAGUCAAGGCAGACCUAGCGGCAGGUGUUGCCUUUGGAGAUGGAAUGUCAGCAUCAUCUGAGAGUAGAAACGAAUAGUCCCGAUUAUCCUUAAGUGCCUCGGCCUUCUUUUUUGCCUGUGAAUUGUAGCUGCUAUUUUGUGACUACAGUGACCAAAAUUUACUAUAGAAAACAAAUGAAAAAUGCAGCAAAGAUAUAUCCUUUGUACCUCAUUAAUAAAAUUCUGUUUCUGGUGAAAUCCAUUUGUUUUAGCUUGCACUUUUGAAGAUGAUGAUGGGAUGUCCUUCUACAUACAUGUAUUGACUAGAAUCAGUAAGUAUUGGAUCAGACCAAGAAUAAUCAGGAUCGGUGUAGUGCCACAUACUCCGGGAGGUCUUCGCUCUCUGGGCACUGUGUUCUGUAGCUCUUUCAUUGACUUCCUUUCUUCAAUCACUCGCUUUGAUAUCACUGGCUUGGAUGGCCCAAAGAAGGAGCCAAAACUAGACAAGUGACAUACAUAAUGAAGGAGAGCACACCCAUCUCAGUAAAUACCACAGCAGCACCAAAUAAAGUAAAAGAAAUGAAUGGGUAGUAGAGAAAAAAAAGUAGGACGAAAGAAAGCAGCAUGGAGUGUAAAAACGAACACUAGUGCAUUAGAAGAAAACACCCUUAUAGUGUUGGAAGAUUUGUGCACAUGGAACAUACGGAAAACCGUUCCCUAUUUUCCUGCAACCACAGUAAAAUCUAUUCCCCAUAACGACACUAAAAUCAGUAUUGCAAGUGGACAACAAUAUUUCAAGAAAGGAUAUCAUGCCAAUGUGUUGACUAUGAUAACGUUCCCAGUUUCAAAGCAAAAUUGCCAAAAAAACUUAAUAUAUUUCCUCCGUACACACUUAAAAAUCUCACUUUAACACGCUAAAGAUUCUGAUAGAAUGUAAGGAAUCAUUCUAAGACUACCUUAUUCUCACGACUGUACAAGUUCCUGGAGCACAAUCAAACAAAAUGCUCAACAAAGUGUAGAAGAGGCGCAUUGAAAUUCAAGACACUUACUUGGCUGGAGGUCUUCUAUCAUGCGAGAAAGAUGAGCGGCCAGCUGUGCUGGCACCAGCUCCCUGUGCCCGUCGCCUAAUCUGCUCCUUUAAUCGUUCCCUAACCUGAAGGAACUCCUGCUGACCCUCUGGUGGCCCUUCCUCCUCCUCGACCGCUCCUGAACCUUCCUCAUACUCAUCUUCAUCAUAGUAUUCGUCUUCAUACUCAUCCUCCAUUCCCCAACGAUAACCCUUUACAAUGAUGGCAGAAAGAAAAGGCACUGUCAAACAUGAAAGAAGUAAGCCCAUUUUACACCCCUGAACUUAUCAAGAAGUCCAAAAACACCCUGGACUUUAAAACCGGGCAAGAUGCCCCCACUGAACUUUUGAAAACCAUUCAUCCCGACCCCUCCCCCCUGGCAGUUUUGUACCUGGUUUUCAGUGGCGUUGAUUAAUUAGCUAAUUAAUUAUUAAACAGUACAUAAGAGUAAUUACUUAUCUAAGAACAAACAAAGCUAUCCAAUUGGUCAAAACAGUACAUGAACAAACAAAGAAACAAAAAACUCAGACCAAGAAGACAAAAUCAAGAUGAUCAUGCAAAAAAUUAGACAAAUACAUGCAUGCAUCCAGGACCCAAAUUAAGUAGUAGCAGUACUGCACUCAGCUAGAAGAGGCAGAAGAUCUUGCUGUUGUUGCUACCACAACUUGCUGAUACUCUAAGAUAAAAUCAGUAACAAAUUAGUAUACAGGUGACAGUGGCACAUAAUUUUAACUUGCUACACGGAAGAUGAAAUAGUAACAAAUUAAUACUCUAAGAUGAAGGAAUAAAUUAGCCGCAAACAAGCCACUACUGUCUUACUUGAGAUACGGCAGAGCAAAUCAUCACCAAGUUUCAGAAUAAAAUCACUAGACAUAAUUUCUAGCAAUGCUGCUAAUUUCAGAAUAAGACAGAUAGCACAACAGUUCUUACAAAGCAAAUUUCUCAAUAGAUCCAACCAAUACAAGAUUCAUGUCCUGUAAACAGAAGGAGAACAACUGCGCACACCAUAACACAUCAUCGAAGCUAAACUGAAUGAAACCCAUGGUACAACACAAAUAAACUUCUGCACUGUCCAAAACAAGACAAUCCAAAAUCGGCACAUCGAUUAUAAGUUUGGCACUACUACAAAUAUCAACACUAGUUAUCACCAAGAUGUUACUGCUACCGUGAGCAUACAGUGACUGCAUGUACAAAAGAAGGUAUAUUCUAACUAAGCAUAGCAGUGGGGAGCAUAUAGCAUUUCCAGCCAAGAACAUCAAGAAACAGAGAAGGGAGGAAGAAUAAAACCGGAUCGAAAUGCUUACCUUGCAAGAAGUCGAACUGAAGAGACAGUGGAGGAUGCCGUAGAUAGCCAAGAAAUAAGCAGAUCCGUCCCUUCCUCUGCAUAGCAGAUACAUAACGGACCAAAAAAACAGAUCAAGAAAGGCCAAGAAAACAGAUCAAGAACAGAAACGGACCAAGAAUGGAGAUGAGGAGCUUACCCCGCGUCGUGAGGUCGCCUUGCGUCGUCGCCGGCCGCCUUGGGUCACCGCCGCCGCCGGUGGCCUUCGACAGACGAGAGGAGAGAGCGGGCGGCUAGGGUUCGGGGUCGGGAGGAGAGAGCGGCGCGAGUGGGGAAAUAUGGCUAGGGUUCGGAAGAGCGGCGAGCAGAGACGUACCGCGCUUCGCUGCGGCGUUCGGUAUGGGUGGGGAGGCUGGUGGCCAGCGAAGGGAUGGAAAAGGAGGGGGCGGCAGGCGGCAGCCGGCAGCCACCGGAGAGAUGAGGGAGGGGCGGCGCCGGCGCUGACCUAACGCUGGGAGCGAGCGAAUGCAAGGGGGAGGGAGGGGAUCGGGGUUGGCUGAGGUCGGGACUCGGGGUCAGGGGCGAGAUUCUGGUUCUUUUUUUUUUUUUCGGGAUGGAGGUCCCUCGGAGAGCCGCCAAAGCCCUCAAUCCCACGGCUCCGCACGCAUAGGUGCCAACGGGCCGGCCUGGGCUCGUUAAGGCUCGGCUGGAACUGAGAAAAGGCCAUGUAGCAUAAGGCCCAACUAGGGAAAAAAAUUAAAAAAGAGGUGAAAACGCCAAAAUUGGAAAGACAAUGGGCCAAACUGUUGGGCUAGACCAGAUUUUUGGGAUUUAGUGACACAAAUAUUGGAAAAGAAAAAAAGAAAAAAAAAUCGGGCCGGCCCAGGUGCCUGAGGUUGAGGCCCAGGCUCGGCACAGGCUGUGAUUAAUUCCGUGACGGGCCAGGCGCAGUCAGGCUAAGCCCUCUGGGCUUUCGGGCCUUGCCACAAAGCACGGCCUGUUGGCCUCCUAUACUUCGCGGGGGAGUGCCUACUCCGUUUUUUUCAGUUCCUUCCGCACGCGCGAGGCUUUUUCCUCAUCCCAUCGCCCUCUUGCUGACACUCGCUCCCCUCCCGUCUACCCGUCGGCGGCCCAUCCCGCCGCCUCUCCCCAUGCGUCCUCCCGCUGCUCCUCUCACAUCCCGACGCCGCUGCCACCCGCCUUGGCCCCGGGAUCCAGAGGUGUCGCAGCGCCGCCCCGUCGCCGGCCGUACGGACGUAGCCUCAUGAGCAGUGCGAAAAGUACGGAGUACAUACCAACCAAAUGCAAUGCAUGCAUGGCGCCGGCCCUGCGUACGUACACCUGGCCGGCCGUAGGAACGUAUAGCCUCGUGCGUUAAUUGCAUUCAUGCACCGACCCACGUCUAUACAAAUCAACCACGCCAGACACACGUGCGGCAUGGCGGCCAGAUCAACCACGCCAGACACACGUGCGGCAUGCACCGGCCGCUGGCCGCCAUGCCUGCAUGCAUGCAUACGUGGUGUGCCUGCCAACCAGGCCAGCUGGGGUGCCAGCGCGCGCGUGAAGGCUGGACCUUUGUUCGAGCUAGACUCCGGUAUUUGGUGGAUCCGGCCGGCGCCGCGCGCGGACCGCCUUGGUGUCGACCCGAUCGAUCGAGCCCAUGCAUGCAGAGAUCGACUACGUUGUGUUCGUGUACGUAACCCCCACAAUGAAGCUAGCUGGUGCUGGCUACGUACUGGCUAGCUAGCUAUAGAUCUCGAUCGCUUUGGCACAUCGUCACAUCGACAACACAUGGCAUGCACGGUCACGGAGGAGCCAACGUAACUCUCUCUGCUCGACCGAGAGGCGUGUGCGUGAGUGCACGUCUGACCGUUUAAACCCAUCAUGCAUGCAACCCCACACUUGGCUCGCGUACGUACGUACGUUACGUGAUCAACCCCAUCCCCGUGCCCGUGCGUGCAUGGGGUGCAUGGAUUACGUGCAUUCUGUCUCGAACAAACAAAGGAAUAAUUUUCAAAACAUUUUGCAUGCAUGCGCCGGCAUAUACACAUGGUACGUACGUAUAUAUACACGCGAGCCGGCCGUACGUGCAGUGGGGUGUGCGACAUACAUGCAUGCAUGGUUGCAUGCCCGGGGGGUCGACAGCGAGCGGGCGCCGGACCUCUGUUCGAGUUUGACUCCGGUAUUUGGCGUGGAUCCACGUUUCCAGCCAAUAAUGCGAAGGCCGCCGGUAUAUUCGACGUACGGAUGCGGGUACGUGUCGACCGCUUCGUUUCCGGGCCCCUCCUCCGCCUUCGAUCGGUUGGCGCAUCGUCCCAUUGACACCACACGGCACAAUCAAGAUCCGCGCGCGUCUUCUGGUUCAUCUGAGACCUUCGUUUAAUCCCAUGCAUGCAGGAUAUCGUGAGUAUCCAAUUAGCUAGCUAGAUUAAUUUGCCCUGCACAAGUUAAGGCAUUUUCAUCAACCAAUAGGAGUAGAUGUUUUUUUUCUGUCUAGCUAGCAUGCAAUAGCCUAGCACUACUACAGAAAGAUUUAUCAGUAACGGUCGAAAAACAUCAUCAGUAACGGUCGGGGCCGCCGUUACUAACUUCGUGUUACUGAUGAUACCCAUCAGUAACGGUCGCCACGACCGUUACUGAUGUAUAUAUACAUCAGUGGCGGUCGCUCCUGCCCAACCGUUACUGAUGUAUAUAUAUCAUCAGUAACGGUCGCGUUUUCACAACAGUGUCGGUCGAGCGACCAACACUGAUACAUUUUCGGUAUUUAAAAAAAUAAUUAAAACCACAGAAAAUACACAGAAUAAUAUAUAUACAGCACAGAAAAAUGUAUCUCAUCACAGAAAAAUACAUAUAAAGCCGCAUCACAUCACAACACAUCACAUCACAUCAUUUAAAGCAUACAAUGUAUAUAAGCCGCAUCAUUUAAAGCAUAUAAAGAUUACAAAUGUAUCUCACUUCACGACAUUGAUUACAAAGUUUCAAAAUUUCAUAAAAGCAUAAUUACAAAGUGUCAAAAUUUCAUGAAAGCAUAUAAAGAAUACAAAUGUAUCUCAUUUCAAGCUUGAAUCUCUUGUCGUGGGUGAACCCAAGACACGACUUGUUCCACACGUUCGAAGAAGUCUCCACUAGGCUUGAUGACCUCAUUGUUUAUGAGAUGGACGAACUCCCUUUGAAUGUUAUAGACGACCCAUUUAGGUCGGUGUCACAUUGUCAUUCGGGGCCGUCAGUACUCUUACAUCGCCGCGACUGACCCCUUCCACUCUGGCUUGAACAUGCUGGCAUUCUUCAUAAGGACGUGACAGCCGUAGUAGCCAUAGAACACACUGUCGGGCGGCUGUUGCUGGCAAAGGAACCUGUGGUUGUGGUGAGACUCGUCUUUAUAACCUUUACCAGCUAGUUUUUCCUUGGUCACCAUUUUCCAGGCAGUGUUAAUGAGUGAUUUGAUGGGUUUUCAGAACCUACCUCGAACACACUUCUUCGGAAGUAGUGAAUCGAAGUAGUACACCGCGGACCAAGGCAAACAAAUGAGUAGUGUCACCCAAUGGUCUCUGUUUUCAAAAGAAACAAAUUUUACAUCUAAGAGUGUAUAAGAAAGACUGAAUUAGAAAAAACAAACGGUUCCAUAUAUAAAAUUGAACUUACUCCAAAUUAAGAGGUUGAUAUCAAACUUUUGGCGGUGUAAGAGGUGGAACAGUUCGUUGAACUCCACACCAAAGGUGAUAAGACGUUCCUGAAUCUUCCCGGUUUCUUGGUCAAAGAAGCCAUAGUCUUUUGGGAUUCUAACAUUGAUCUGUUGGGCAUGCCGUUGAGAACCAGCUGAUUCUUGCAUGUAGAACUGAUGAAGCUAUUGCAUCUCUCUGGACACGGCACGCAGGGAAUCUUCGGUGACCAUCGGUCUUCCAGGAUAGUAAAGAAGCACCCGGUCGAACUCCCUAGCCACGAAAUAGGAUCCGUCUUCGAAUCUCUGGCCUUAAUUUGGGUUCUUGAUGAGAAUGUCAGGCCUAUUGUCCUCCCAGACUCCAGUUAUGUCUGGCACGUGGUGCAUCUCAUCUUAAGUGACAUUGGAGAACUCCUUGAUGGUCUUGCCGCCGCACCCCCUCUUUUUAUGCCUCCUCUUACUGUCCCAUGCCUUCUGCUCCUCUGCCUUGUACUUGCCAUCGAUCUUGCGGCCAUCCAUGGACUCAGCGGCACCCAAGAGAGAGAAGGUGGUAGGGACGCUUCCAUCCUGUGCUGACCCUGUGGUCUCGCUAUCUUUGAGCUGUGCAGGCAUCGACAUUGCCCGCUCUUCAUCUCCGCCGGCAUCGACGGGAGGAAGUAUCCUAGGGGAAAGGCCGAGCGGCGAAUGAGAAGUACCUUUGUGGACGGAGGGAGAUGGAGUCAUAGAGGGCCGGCGCUGGUUGUAGAGAGAUACCAAGGUCCUAGGCCACAUAAUGCGGUAGUUUGGACAAUCGCCUAGGAUAUCCACACCUUCCUUUGGAGGUAGCGGGAUAGUAUAAUCCCAAUGCUCCUCAACGACGGAGUCCACCAUCACACUCACUUGUGCGUCGUUCAUGAGAAUGCCGUGCACCAGUGGCGGUGAUUGUCUGGGCAUCAGACGGCCAAUGACGCCUACAGGCUUCCUAGGCUUGUCAACGUGGAUACGACACUUCACCGGUGCCUGCGCGUAACAAGAAGAAGGCAUAUGUGUGUAAGAUCUUUAUUCAUGAAGGUUAGGAGUGAAAAAGAGUUUGAAAAGAUUGCUUACAAGGAUGUUGUCGCUCAGACCCGGAUCGUUAUCCCGGAUGCCCUCGCUUGGGGAAGGUUGGCUAGCGGGGGGGUUGUCCAUGCUACGAGCCGGGCUGUAACCAGGGGUGUAGGUGUCUUCGUCCUCCAUACGUUUGUCGGAGGCGGCGCUGCUCUUCAGCGGGGUGCUCUUUCGCGGGGGAAGAGGAGGAAGAGGAGGAAGGAGGUUCCUCAAACCUUCCACUCCUCCCCCGAUUAUGGCGUCAAGGGCGGGGUGGUCUUUGGCCAAUGCCGACACCAAAUGAUGGACGGCUUGCACUGCAUAUUCCCGCGACACCUCUUGAGACACGAUAGAUGCCUGCUCUCGCGCCUCCGCCUUAGCUUGUUCUAUUAUCUCAGAAGAAGCGGGGAGCUUUUUCUGGACCCUGCUUCGCUUCGGAGUAGGCGGGAAAUAAUCAUCCCAGCAGGCCCCUUCGCCUUCUCCUAGAACACGGCCCGUGUACUCCGCCUUUUGCAAGCCGGCAGUCACAGCCGACUCCCACCUCUUGCUCUGCACGGAGUUGUCGGAGGUUUCUGACAUCUUGCUCUCCUCCCAUUUGUGGGCAUUUGCCUGUUAUCAUAUAAGACAGGACGUGAGUCUAUAUGGAUCAGGAGUGUCAUAAUUAAAGCCGAAAACAACUAAAUGCACAUGAACCCUUACCGUAAAAAUUUGAACAGGCGGCUGCAUUGGCUCAAUGCCCGCCCACUCCUCGGGUGUCAUGUGCGGACGUGCAUAUUCUCUAGCACGUUGGUCCUCCAACAUGUCAUGCACUGGAGGCACCCUGCCUGCCGCCUCGAGAAUUCAGUACUGUUUGCGCCAGACCUUCUUCUUCCCCUCUUUCCCAGCACUCCCUAGCCUGUGGUUCAAGGGCUUCCUUGCGCGCAACGCUCUCAUGCGUUCACUCUUCGCAAUGAAGGCAGGGUCAUAUGAUUCCUUCUUGAAUUUUUCCCAUUCGGCCUCAUCAGUUACCGACGGCCAUUUCUUCUUGAUGAUCUCGUAGGGUUUGUCCAUCCACUUUCUAGCGGUGGUUUUCCAAUUAGCAAGUCCAUUGCGGACUGCUAUGUUGACGGCCGUUAAAAAUCGCUCGCGCCACUCGUCAGUGACUUGUAACCUCCUUGCAACGUCCGCGAUGCACGUGUUUCUAACGACUUCGGAGAUGUCACUCCACUCGUCGGUGAUCUUGCAAUACUUACGUGCAACGGCUCCACAGGUCGUUGCGAAGGCCUUUUGUGCCCUCUCAGGCGACUCCGGGCAGCCCCUCUUAGAGUGCCGGGUGACCACGUGACAGAACUCCUUCAAGUUGUUGUUGGGGAACGCGGUAUGCUACGCUAGCACAAAAUAAAAUUUUCUACCGCUUCCGCCCGGAUCAAUGCUGUAGAUAAUGGAUCACGAGAUUACCACUAGACGCGCAGACCCGUAGCGGAAGUAGAGUCGAUGUAGCGCGUCGAUGCCGAGUAGUCGAACAGCCUGCUCCUCCUCGCCGAUCCCACGAACAGUUCGUCCAAGCGCCGCAGGUGCAGCGCCUCCGAGGUAUCCACACGUACAGGGAGGAACUCCGUGCGGCGGACUGCUAGAUCCGAUCGCAAGGCUUUGGGCGUGGAGGUGCGACGGCCGAGUCUAACUCGCGUCUGAACUGGGGUUCACCCUAGACGGGUUGGUCUCCUCCACUUAUAUAGACGUCCCUAGUGGGCUCAACACUUGAGGCCCAUUAGGAGUCCAAGCCCGAUACGAGUUGGAUCCGAUCCAACUCGGUUCCUACCCCUUAAGCGUGUGACCCUUCAGGUUCGCGGUCAGUCGGCCACGACUACAAGCUCGGACCGCGGGCCCGAGUAACACCUUACUCGUCCACUGGCACCGACUCAAGUCGAUAGUUGGUAGCGGCGCCUAGCAGCACGUGCCAACUCCCGAGUAACCACAAGGUAUAUUGACGAACCAUACAAUGUGUCAUAUGCAACAUUCCUUUUGCCUCGCGAUAUGUGUGUCGAGCUCAAGGCGAGUGCGUGUCAUCCUUGUGGAUAGCUCGAGUCUCUUCUCGUUCCUGUGAUACAGAUUCCCGAACGGGUUAACACUUAACCCAAGUCACAUGGCCAUGCUUUCCGAAUCUGAUCACUCGAGAGGGCCCAGAGAUAUCUCUCCGAACAGGAGGGGCAAAUCCCAUCUUGAUCAACCAUGACUCGCAGCAUGCUUCUCAGCAAACCCGAAAACUACCUUUAUAACCACCCAGUUACGGAGUAGCGUUUGGCAACCCCUAAGUAGGCCGAUUCACAUCCCAAGCUCAUACGAUGACCUCAGGUCUAGGACUGGCAUAUACAUCGUACUUGAGACUAACAAAUGACAAUCAUCUCGUUGUGUCUCAGUGCGGGUCUGUCCGACUCAACAAUCUCAUUUUCGAGUCCAUGCUAUCAGUCGGCAACACCUUGCCCUAUGACUUGUGAAACAUAGUCAUCAUACUGAUUCACAUUGCUAGUCUAGAUUAUGUAUCCGCAUAACCUCAAUGACUAGGGACCAUUAGAACAACAUCAUAGAAUACAUAGUCUCACAAACAAAUCACGUAUUUAUUGAUACAUAUCAGUGAUGAUGUUCAAGGACAAUAACAAUAACUCAUGAAUACAUAGGAAAUAACAUCAUCACAUAAUUGCCUCUAGGGCAUAUCUCCAACAGUUGUGGCUCCCCCUCGGCGUCUUCUUCCUUUGCUUCUUACCGGGAGUUUCAGAACUGUCUUCCACCCGUCGCUCGUUGUCGCGCUCUUCUGAACGAGAGCUACCUGAGCCAGAGCUGGCAAUUUGCUCUCCCGAUGAAGACUCUUCAUUGACACGAUCUACCUCCUCCCGAUCAAGAACAGGUUUCUGGCUACUCUUGCCCAUUUCGAACUAUGCCAUCAAAACCAUCAAAUAUAUAUCGGCCGAAAAUUUCGGCAUGAUCUAUGCUAAAAAACUAGAAAUUUUUCUCUACUAAUAGCUCAAAACCUGCAUAAAAAACCCACCCGCAUAUGUACCCCCUCGGCACGAUGGCCGGCCCCUUCUCCAAUGACCCGACACGAUGGUCGGGCUCACAAUUCAUUACUCAAUUCUCCAAAAUAGCAUAUAAAACAUCAUGUAUAUAGCAUAUAAAAAACUACAAUGCAUAUACUCAUGUGUGCUAUAUAUUAUCAAAUGCAUAUAUUCAUGUGUGCUAUAUAUAAAAAAUUACAAUGGAAAUGUACUAACCCUAAAUUAACCCUACAAUAUACUAACCCUAUAUCAAAUUCACAAUAUGUGUGCCCAUCUAACUCAAUUAUCCACUACUACAAACUACAAUGCUAAUCCUAAAUUAACAUGCUUCUUUUCCUAAAUCCUAACUUUAAAUUAACAGCAACAAAUCCUAACCCUAAAUUAACUGGAACAAGUCCUAACCCUAACCCUAAAUGAAGCUAAAUCAGAGGAGAGGGAGGGAGGCAGAGGAGAAGGAGGCAGAGGAGGUAGAGAAGGCGUGCACCUGUCGCUCGGGGAGGACAGAGACGGCGCGGGCUCGGUGAGGAGGGAGACGGCGGCGCUCAGGGAGGAGGGAGAAGGCGGCGCGGGGUGGCAGCGGUCGGGGUGGCGACGGUCAGGGUCGACGGGCAAGGGGUCGAUGGCGAGGACGAGGCUCGGGCUCGGGGACGACGGUGCUCGACGCGGGGCAGCGGGCUCGGGGUCGACGGUGGCGGCGGCGAAAAAAUCCGGCAGCGCUUCGCUCUUCUAGGGUUAAUCGCCCACUGUUGGUCGCUCCUUGUGUUGAGGACGCGCGGGCGGAAUAACCCUAGAUUUCACUAAGUGUUCCUUUAUAUACCCCAUGCACAAGAGUAACGGGCGGAUAAGGGAGGCGACUGUUACUGAUGAUCCUUCGAUCAUCAGUAACGGUCGCGCUAGAAAGCACCCGCCACUGAUGUUCACCGAAGUGCAAUGCCCAUCUACUCAUCAGUAACGGGCGCGUAGAAGCCUGACCGUUACUGAUGAGUAUAGGCACUCAUCAGUAACGGACGCAUAGCAGCCUGGCCGUUACUGAUGAGUAUAGGACAUGGACUCCAUUUCUCUAGUAUUUGUACAUCAUGGAAUUCAUGUAUUUAAAGUUUGAUGAAUAAAUUCAUGCAUUUCUCUAGUAUUUUUGCUAAAUUAAAUUCAAAAAAUUCAUCACAUGCAUACACAAAAAUUCAUCACAUAAUUUCACUUAGUACAAAGUUUGCAUUAAUAUUCAGUACGAGUACAUUUUUACAAUGUGACUACUAGUGCUUCUUCUUCCUUCGGUAAGUCAUAACUUGACUCCUCGCAGAACUGCUUCUGAGGUAGGGUUUUGUGGUAUUUUCUCGCUCCCAUCACUUCUUCUUUUCCCUCUCCUUUUCCUCGUUAAUAUCGUGCGUUCCGCUUUUUCAUCAUCUGCGGCGAUCGUCGGAUCAUGGAAACCUUCGUAGUCUUCUUGUGAAGUAACUCCGUCCACUCCAACAAUGCUUCUUUUCCCUCUUCUUACUAUGACGCGGCCUUUAUUUGCCGGGUCAUCUAUGUAAAAACCUGCUUGAAUUGUUUAGCAAAGACCCAUGGUUCCUCUCUUGCCAGGAUUUUUCUCACGUCGACUUGUUCACGAGGGAUCUCAGGUGGUAGCACCAUCGUCGUGAACUUGUGACUUUCUUCUUUGCCACCUUUGGUCCAUCUUACACGGAACAUUGGGAUCUUUGUGAUCGAGUACUCCAAUUCCCAGAUCUCCUCGAUAACGCCGAAGAACGCUUUGGUUUUGCUGUUGUCGUCGGUCGCGGUCUCAGAAGUCAUGACUACACCACUAUUUUGAUACGUGCUUUUACGGUCCUGAGACACGGUGUAGAAGUUAUAGCCGUUGAUCGCAUAUGAUUGCCAAGUAGAGACGUGAUAAGUAGGUUCCCGUGUCAAGCAUGCAACCGUUUCUUCUGAUACAUUGGUCAUCUCCCUGCCGUACCAAUAAUUCUUCAGCCACCUUUCGAAUGUUUUAUUGUGCUCCCAAUGGAUCAAGACUUCUGCUCUUUUAAGGUUUUCAUUUUGCAGUUGUUCCAUGUGCAUUUUCUGAUAAGGCCGGCAGCAAUCGGCAGUUUGCAACACAACCAAAUGUGCUCUUUCAAAGUCAGCUUCCCUUCCUCUUCCAUAGACAUUAAGGUAUGUAUGUCCAAGGCCACCUUCGCCAUCGAGCUUGCCCUUGUGCCGUGAUUCGGGAACACCUAUUGAUUUCUGAUCGGCCAACCAAUCCGUGCAGAACUCGAUGCACUCUUCUGCCCUAAAGCUUUUCACGAUGCUACCUUCCGGACGCGAUCUGUUACGAACGUACCGCUUCUGAACCCUGUUGUAUCGUUCAGGGCCAUACAUGUUAUGCAGGAACGAGGGCCCUAGGGACAAGAUCUCAUCGCAUAUGUGGAUCACUAGAUGGACCAUGGUAUCGAAGAAUGAUGGAGGGAAGAACAUCUCGAGCUUGCACAGAAUCUGUAUCAUAAUAUCCUUCAAUAUUUGGCAUCGUCUAAUGGUGAUUGACUUCUGCGAUAUGCUGUCAAAAAAAUCAGAAAGCUUCAUGAUUGUCUCCCUUACGUGCGGCUCCAUGAUACCUCUGAUUGCGACUGGAAGUAACUGAGUGAGUAUGACAUGGUUGUCGUGAGACUUCAUGCCAGAUAGCUUGUGACUCUUCAUGUCAACUAGAUGCUUGAUGCUCGACGAGUAGUUCGAUGGGACUUUAACGCCCUCCAGACACUGGCACAUCUUAUUCAACUCGUCUUUGUACAGGUUGUAACAUGAAAGACGACACCGCGUGGUCACCGUCAAGAAACCAUUCUUGUCGGCUGCCGACACUUGAUCUUUGCCCCACAACUCUUUCCUGAUAGACAUGAGUUGUAGGUCCUUCCGUGCAUUGGGUCCAUCUUUCGUCUUCUCUGGAUUGUUCAUCAACAACCCCAGCACGUUGUCGCAUACAUUUUUCUCCACGUGCAUUACAUCUAUGCUGUGGCGGCAUUCCAAAUGUGCCUAGUACUCCAGGUCCCAGAAUACGGACCUCCUUUUACACACGACGCCUUCAGGUUCCUUAUAUUUCUUCGCAGAAAUCUUUCCGGGGACAACUUCAAGAUCGUUCACAAUUUCGAGGAUUUGCAUACCAGACUUCUCUUUCGGCGCUGUCCCGUGCUCCAUCUUCCCAUUGAACAUUUCCUUGUCAUCCCUCCAAGGGUCUUUAGCAUCCAACCACUUUCGGUGGCACAUGUAAACAAUUUUGGAUGAAGCGGGCAAGUUCUCCGAUGUCGUGUUUUCCCCGCACUUUGUACGGGCCUUGUAGCCAUGUGUCACCUGGCAUGAAGUAUUUCCAUUCGCGGGGUAGUCAUGCACGCAGGUCAGAAGUGCUGCUCUCAUCGUGAAGUACUCCCUCCUGUUUGCGUCCCAAACCACUCUGCCAGGGUUCCAAAACUGCUUCAGCUCAUCCUUCACUAGCUGCAGAUACACAUUUAGGUCAGCUCCCGGCUGCUUUGUACCCUGUAUGAGCAUGCACAUGUGGAUGUACUUUCUCUUCAUGAUUAACCAUGGAGGAAGGUUGUAAACAAACAAGAUCACUGGCGCUUGUUGUUCAUAAUUCCAAAAAGAUUUAUCCCGUCAGUGCUGAGACCGAGCCUCAGGUUUCUGGGCUCUGCCCCAAAAUCAGGAAAUGUCGUGUCGAAGUUCCUCCACUGAGUCCCAUCGGCAGGGUGUCUUAGGACCCCAGCUUCCUCCACACGGUAGUGCCCGUCAGGAUCGAAUGCAGCCUGCGCCGGAUCGUGAUAGACGAGAUACCUCGCGUCCUUAACGUUCUGCAUCCAACGCUCAACUUGGCCACCUGCCGUAAGAUACCAGACAGUCUUUGCCGGCCUGCCCUUCAUCACUUCUUCCCCAUCGUCUUCGCCAGCUCUGGCGUUUUUCUUCUUGUAUCUCGAUGCACCGCAUAUGUGGCAGCUCUCAUGGUUCUCGUACUCUCCAAUGUAUACCAUGCAGUCGUUUGGACAUGAUGAUGUUUCACACAAUCUAAUUCAAGCGGGCAUGUAAUCUUCUUCGCCUCCUAUGUGUUCUUGGGCAACUUGUUUGGUUGUGAAAAAACCGAAGCAAGGUAACUCAACAAGUUCGUGAAGCCCUUGUCUGCCAGCAUGAUGCUGCCUUCAGCCUCAAAAGUUCGAGCGUCACUUCGAGCACGUGGUUUUUUUUGCCAGCUCCAUCAUACAAGGGUGUAUUUGCGCCCUCCAACAAUUUUUUGAACUGAGCAGACUCUGCUUCAUCUUCGGGGUCCUCCAGCUGCUCCCGUAGGUACGGGUCAUCUAGCAUUUCGGUAAUCCUGUCUCGUGGAGCUCCUUCACCUUCCACAUUAGCCUCCUCAUCGACCCUUGUUUCUUCCUCGGAAUCAUUCGCCAGAUCAUACCGCAGGACAUCAUCAUCUUCGCUACCGCUACCGACAUCAACCACAUCCUCCCCGUGACAAGUCCGGCGAGAAUAAUCUUCCACAAAACCCGAUGCCAUCACGUGCAUCUGAACAUCUUCAGGCUUCAUCAUGCAUGUGUUUCCACAUUUGCGACAUGGACAAUGCAUCAUCAAAAGUCAUUUUUGUUCCAUAUCACCUUUCGCGACUCCAAAAAAGACCGUCCAUUCGGUUAUCCAUUGAGCAUUGAUUCUUUCCUUGGCGUACAUCCAAAAACGGUCUUUCGAUCUACAACACAAUACACAAGAAAACAAACAAAGCAAAAUAGUUGGCAUAAUCAUUGACAAGGGAAUUAAGGUGUUAAUUAACCGGAGCUAACUAAAAAUUUGAAAUUAGAGACAUUCGGAGAGAAAUUGGAGGCCGGCGAGAAAGAUCGAGAGGGAGAGAGAGCUCGCAAGCGACAGGAAAGCUCCGGGCGACGACGAGGAGGCUGCAUUUUGGCCGGCGGCCGCGGAGCUCAAAAAUUUGAAAUUGGGGAACUUCGGAGAGAAAUUGGAGGCCGGCGAGAGAGAUCGGGAGGGAGAGAUAGAUCGGGAGAGAGAUCGGGAGGGAGAGAUAGAUCGGGAGAGAGAGGGAAGCUUCGGGGUCGAGAAUCAGAGCUCGCUGGCCGUCGGAGCUCCAAAAAUGGAGAUCGGCAGCCAUGGCCGCCCGCCAGCCAUGGAGACGGCGCCGCCGACGCGAGGGGGAGAGAGGAGGAAGGGGGAGGGAGGAGGGGCUACCUGGGGGGCUCGCCGGCGGCCAUGGCGUCGUCGGGCAGCGCCUCGCUGUCGCCGGAAGUGAAGGAGCCACAGCUCGUCCGUUACGACGCGCAGCGCGACGAGCUGCGGCUCUGCCCAACGAAUUUAAAUCGCGACGCAUCAGUGGCGAUCGGGAAACGGGCGACCGUUACUGAUAAUCGUGGACACAUCAGUAACGGUCGCGUUGGGUCGACCGUUACUGAUGCGUGGUUCAUCAGUGGCGGUCCCCUUGCGCGACCGCCACUGAUGUACGGCUGGGCGGGGACGGGCAAAGCCCGUUGUGUUCAUCAGUAACGGUCGCGGCCGCGACCGACACUGAUGUUAUUCAUCAGUAACGGUCACGCCGGACCCGUUACUGAUGUGCCGUUGCAUAUAGACCAUUUUGUAGUAGUGUAGAUGUGACUAUGUCGCAGCUGACUCAAUCGCUUGAUUUUUAGUUUAAGCAAAAAACGCUUAAAUCUAAGUUGACACAUCAUGACAUCAAAGCCAUUGAAAUACGGUUUUGCUAUAUCUGAAUUGUCUGAUUUUUAGCUAGAGAUCAGAUGAUUCCUCAACCAUUGGAUAUGUUUUUACGCUUUAACAUUCAGAACGAACGAUGAAAGGAAAAGAGUGGGAUGGCUUCCAAAUAAUAAUUGAACGGUUGUGAUACAUCAACUGAGAUUUCACUAUUUUUCUUAAAAAUUGGGCAACUAAGAUAUAGCCACAUCCAUUGAAAUACGGUCUAUCCGCAGUUGUCCUAUCCUCCCUCUCCCACGUUCUGUCGUUGUAUUAAGAUGUGAUCGUCAAGCAAAUCGACUGUUCGCUGACUAAAAAAUGUACAAGUUUCUUAUACCAAAACCGGCAACGCUUAAUUCUAUCCGAACAACUUAAUUGUCUUUGCACAACUGCACUGGUAUGUUUCUCCUUCUAAUAAACGCGAAGAGACAACACCCGUACGUACGGAUGCAACAGCGACAUCGGUGGACCACGGCACGGACACACCUACACCAGGGAGUAGUUGUGUAUGGGCGCAAUACGUACGGACAGUUUUUGUACGGUAUUUGUAGCUUGCGCGCCACAGGUGAAUGUCACGUUCCCAGGUAGGAGACAUGCACGUCUAUGUAGCUUUUGGGCUGCAGCAACAUCCAUCUCCAUCUCUUUAUGACUUUAUCUACUCGCUCUGGCCACCUCUCUUCAAACGACUUAAAUUUGUCUAAAAAUAAACGUAUCUAUAUACUAAACGGUUUUGCUAUUGAUAAGUCGCGAUCAAUUGACAUGUGAGCCAUCGGAUCGUAAUCCAAUAUAUAAUACUUCCUCCGUUUCAUAACUCUUGUCUCAAAUUUGCCUAAAAAUGAAUGUAUCCAUUCCUAAAAAACGUUUAGUUACAUGUAAUAUUUUAACGACUUAGAAAUAGCCACACCAUAUAUACUAAAAUACUUCUAGAUACAUGUAAUAUUUAGGCACUUCACAUUGGACGGAGUAAGUAAUAAUUUUCAAGCGAAAAAUUAAUUGGGCCUAUUUCUAUAUUCACUCGUGUCAUCUCCAACAAGGUACUAGUUAGUACCAGUACUAAAAAAUUUCUCUCCUUUUUUCAAUGUGUUUCAAUUUUUUUCUUAUUUAUUUCUUUUUUUGAUAGACCCACGUGUCAUCUUCUUUGUUGUCUUGAUAUCCGUGUAGUACAUGUUAUUUUUCAAACGACCAUUAUUUGGUUGUGUCAUUCUUCUCUCAUUUACAUUGACCACUAAUUUUCUUGGUACCUGUGUAGUAUCUCUUGUGGGAUGCCUUUUGCAACCUUGGGUCAGCCAGCCAUGCGUGAUUCCAGCAAGGCCGAUACACGCACGGCCUACCAAGACAUGGAUUGGGAACCUACGAUGAGCUUUAGCCUUUAGCCCAUGCUAUAUGGAUAAUUGAUUUUGGUUCUCAUGGAUCGAGCAGCGGAGACUUAUUAACGCAAGGCUUUGCCAAAAAUCAAGCUCAUCGUUGAUAGUAUGAUCUUGUAGCCUGAACUAAAAUAAUGUAUUUGUAAAAUGAAAAAAAGGUCGUAAGGAAGAAUAAAAUGGUUUCCUAUGCUGCUAUGUGCUAUCGACGGAUGCGUCGUCUAAUCGUUGCUAUGGACCAUACAGAUGCGGCAUGACAUCUCGACAUCCAUCUGGAGUUAAAUUCCAGUCCUCUGUUAUAUAGUAAAAGCAAUAUGAAGAGUAUUGAGGAGAGGUUUCACGUUGAUUCACGUCACCUCAAUUAGUUUGACCGUUGGAUAGAAGAUCCGAGGAUCAUAAAUUGUUUGUCCAAACAUAUGUUACGUUGCUAAAUCCUCUAGAGUCCCACACGAUUUCCGUUAAAAAAAUAUGUCACAUUAAAACAUGUCACGUUAUCGCACUAAAUCCCGCCCCUCACGAUUUCCAUUAAAAACAAAGAACCGGACUCUUGGUUUUAUACGCGCUUUGCACGGACGGUACAGAAGAUCGAUUAACAGCAGAGCAAUUAAAACUUCCUUUCAAAAAAAAAAAUUAACACGUACGAUAAAUUCUCGGCAGAUCUAACACCAGUUCCCACCAGUCCAUAUCUUUCUAUGCGCGUUCAACAGCAGUAUCUGUCAAUCUAUUAUGUUAUCUAUUUUUAUCUAGGAAACCAUGCCGCGGCACGACGAUGCGCGCACGACGCCCAGCUGAGCAGCUCCUGUUGUGCUUGCAAUGCAGUCUUACGCAAGAAAAAAAAGAGAGGAUGCAUGCAUCUCUAGGUCCAGUGCAGCACCAUGCAGACGGCGUCGCGCACGGAGGCAAACUAGCUGAACUGCGAGCGUUAGUUCUGUUUUAUCUAUUCUAUCGUUACUCCUUCGAUUUGAGUGUCACUGAAUUUGUACAAAAUACUAAAUUAACAACACUUAUUAUGGAUCGGAAUAAGUAAAUAUAAAAAGCAAUAUGAGCAGCACCGAGGAGAGGCACCGCACUCAUCCACCUCAUCCUAAUUAUCUGGUCCGUUAGAACUGAUAUUCGAUGGUUAACAUUUAGGGAGUAGGAUAUAUCUAAUGGGUUGGACAAAACAUCAUUCAAGGCCCACAUAGGCCUAAUAUUCCAUAUAAGCCAAAAGUCUAUUUGUAUUGUGCCAAACGUAACAUACUACGUUCUACGACAAAUAUGUAUGAUAUCACAACUUUUUUUCAUUAUUUUUUGUAAUGGAUCGCGAGAAUAUUAAGUAGUAAACUAUUCAUUAUCUUUUAUCUAUAUUAUGAAAGCACGAGGAGGGCUAUGAGGGGAGGCACCAUGCUGAUCCACAUAAUCUAAAUUAUUUUAACCGUUAAAUCUCAUAUUUGAUGACUACGAUUUAAUUAGGUGGAUAUAUCUGAUGGGUCAAAGACUAAACAUCAAAGUGAUUUGAGACCAACAUAGGCCCAAUAUGCUAGAUAGGCCAAAUAGUUCUUUACAUGAUUCCAAACGCACAAAUGACCAAUCAGUUUGAUUUGCAUCAUCUGAAUUGUUUAAACCGUUAUAUAAUAAAGCACAGUAUAGGGCACUAGCGUUGAUCCACAUAAUCUGAAUUAUUGAAACUAUUAGAUCUUGAUUUGUAUGGUGUCAAAAACAAUAUGCAAAGACCGUUGCACGAUCAAUAUGUUAAGACCUCUCAACUUUAUUUCCCUUAUAUGUCUUCUGAAUCAUGAGAAUAUUAGGUAGUAAACCUAGCUCCAUUCAUCAUAAUCUAUAUUUAUGCAAGAGGAUUAAUUAUCAACGAGCGUUUAAAGAAUUAAAAAAACAUUUUUUAGGAUUACGAGAAUAUGAAGUAGUAACCUCCUCUCAAUCCGUCAUAAUCAAUAUUUAUGAAAGGAUUAUUUAUUAACAAGCAUUUAAAGAAUUAUAAUUGUACAUCCUAACACGUAAACAGAACAUAUUGCAUUAAUGAUUAAAAAAAGUUACGACCAUGGGCAGAUCCACCUUGGGGGCACCAUGGACACGUGCCCAGGUUUCUGGGUUGUGUAUCCAAAAGGGAAGCAACGACUCUAAUGGUGUCACGUGGCAGAAUUGUGAAGCUUAAGCCCGAGCACAUAGGCUAUAGACUUAGGCUAGCUCCACCAAUGGUUAUGACAUGACCAUUUUUUCAAUGUUUUCGACAGAUAAGAGAAUAUAAAGUAGUAAGCUCACCUCUAUUCAUUAUAAUCUACGUCUAUAUUUUUGCAAAGGUGAGUUAUUAACGGUCAUUUAAAGAAUUACAACUCUACAUGCUAACAUGUGAUCCUAAAGUUAACUAUGGAUACUAAUUAACAUCAUAUAUGAGCGACUAACUAGAUAUCGAAUAAAAAACAAUUACUAAUCAAAUAUCACUACAAAGCCAAAAGGCAAAUGACUAGCUCACGAUCUAAACUUUGAUCAAGUAUAGAUAAAAUAAUCAUGUAAAAGACCUCACAUAAGGAUUUAUUAUUAAAAAAAUCUACUUAUAUAGCUUGGCAUACACACAACACGUCAGUGCAAACAAGUGAUUGACUAAUCCAGCUUGUGAAGUUUAAACUUUUGUAAAUAAUAAUAUACACAAUCAGUCGUCUCAUGAUCAGUCAUCUCAGGUGCGACCAUCAUCUCACAACAAUCAAUUAGUUUAACGCACACAUUGAUCAACCAAUCAGGCUCACAUUGUAAACUUAAAAUUGUGAAUUACGAUCUAAAGCCACAUAAAAAUAAAACGUUGCGUCAUAUUCAAAACACAAUAAUUUCAUACUUCUAAGAGUAGUGUGAUUAGUUAAAUGUGCUUUCCUAGAUGUAGGUUUUGUUAGUUGAUCUGCCUUUAUAGCUAUUGUUGUUGUUCUCGACAACAAUUAGAGUAAGGGGUGCCAAUGCUCGAUGGCACAAGUGCGGGUGUAAAUGUAGGGCGUGUACGCCGGCCUUAUAGCGAAGGUUGUCGUACACUUGGACAAGUUGACACGUCAAUAUUUUUUGAAUAUGUUCGGUCGACCCUGCAGGUGCGACUUAAUCCUAUGUUAGGAAAAGCUUCGAGGGGGUUGUUAGCCGAGGGUUUGGGCCGAGCGGAUCUUCCCAAGACACCUUUAGGCGAGAGGUCCGUCGGGGCCGCUCGUACUUGGACCGAACGCGUAUUUCCAAGUAUCGAGGUUAGGAUUCCCUCGGAACUCUAACCCAACCCCUUCUCCUUCGAGUCCGGGCCGAACGCGUCUUCCCGGAUCUCGAAACUAGAGCUCUUUGCAAGAGACUCUAGCCCUCUCCCUUGAGUUUAUUCAAGUGAGAGUGAAUGAUACAUGCCCUCAUGUGGGGUAUUUAAAGCCUAGGGGUCCAUGACAAAUGACCAUGGCUACCCUUGAGGGAGAGAGAAAAGUGGAGGCAAAAGGAUAAAAGUAGGUCCUUUGGUCCAUAGCUUUUGUGUGCACCAUGAGAGAAAAGUAGGGUUUGGUCCAUGGUCCACCAUGGACCAAGGGCCCUCCUCUCACUUUUCUUGCUCCCCACUCUAACUCAUUUGACCCCUUGACCAUGGCAUGAGAGGCUUGACUUGUUGACUAGUUUUCCUCUGCCACGUAGGAUUGACCGCGCCACGUAGGUGUCUUUGACUCGUGCUUGCGGAAUGUUGACUUGGUCGCCAUCACAUAGGAUUUACGGCUCGGCCCAUAUAAGGGUUUAUUUUACUACUAUUCUUCAAAUUUUAUUUGAGUGUAUAUGUGUAGUGAGGUUUAUUAAUUUUGCAUUUCGAAAAAAUCAAUCGUGAACAUGGUUCGUGAAGGAACUUUUAAUUUCCUAUUUUCAUACUGGUCUAAUAGCACAUACCAGUGACAUGCCUUUGUCAUUUUUUUGUGCUUUAAAAAUAAUACAAAUACAAUAAUAAAUAUCUUUAAUAAAGAUGUUUUGCACGGGACACCUUGCUAGUUCUUUAAUUAAUGCAAAAAAGGGAAAUAUCAGGAAAACAUAGCUUAUGCAUUUUUUUUGUAAAUCCGGUACGCAUAUCCAUUUAACUGGUUUAAGUAACACUAAAGUAACAUAUCUUGGAGGGAAGCGCCGUCGCCGCGUCGUAUAAUUGCCUUAAAAAAAAGAUACUCUUUCCGUUUCAUAAUUUUUAUCUCAAAAUUUGCCCCCAAAAUAAUGUAUUUAUUUAUAAGAAAUGUUUAGAUUCAUGUAAUAUUUCGACAAAAAUUAUUAAACUGAGGGAGUAUCUCUUGUCCGUCGAGCACAUACUGCAUAAGCAUGCACACGCAGGUUGUGUCUCUGGUCUCUUCUGCGGUCAUUUGCAGUUUCGCGCUAAACUGACUAACGAACACUUCAAAGUUUAAAAAAAUAAAAAAAAAAAUAGCGAGAGCACCUGGUUGCGGGCUUGCUGCAGGAGCUCAAAGUUAAAUUGAUGCUCCUGUCGCCUAUAUAUACGAGCCAGUAGCUCCUUCAUCACAGCAUCAAGAUCACCACCACAAGUGCAUCUGUGCAAAGCGUGAAAAACAGAGCAAAACAUCCUCUGCCUCAGCCCGCGAAGCCAGCUCCUCUCCCCUGUUCCUACUCUGUUUCCCUCACUCACUGACUCACUCGAGAGUUCCUAGUGGAACGCGAGGCUUUGCUCGGGACCCGGCCAUGGUGGCGAUCAAGGCGCCGAGCUCCAUCGACCACGCGAACCCGCUGACCAAGUCCCCCAAGGCCGCAGCAGCAGCAGCAGCAGCGAUCCCGACGGUGGACCUGUCGUCCCCGGGCGCGGCGAGGGCCGUGGCGGAUGCCUGCCGCGGCGUGGGCUUCUUCCGGGCCACCAACCACGGCAUCCCCAGCUCGCUCGCCGCAGCGCUCGAGGCCCGCGCCAUGGCCUUCUUCGCGCUCCCGCACGAAGACAAGGUGGACGCCACCAUUGCCGCGGCCGCCCGGAGGCCCUUCGGGUACGGCAGCAGGAGCAUCGGCUCCAACGGCGACGUCGGCUGGCUCGAGUACCUCCUCCUCUCCCUCGGCUCAAACUCAAACUCCAGCUCCAUCCCAGGAGCUUCCUCCCUCCCGCCAUCGCUCCGGGCGGCGCUGGAGGAGUACACGGGAGCGGUGAGGAACGCGAGCGGGAAGGUGCUGGAGCUAAUGGCGGAGGGGCUGGGGAUGCAGGAGAGAUGUGCGCUGAGAAGGAUGGUGGAUGGAAGCGAGGAAGAGCUUGUCAGGGUGAACCAUUACCCGCCGACCAAGGAAGAAGACUGCGUGGCGGGGAUGACGGGGUUCGGGGAGCACACGGACCCGCAGAUCAUCUCCCUGCUCCGGUCCAACCGCACGGCCGGGCUCCAGAUUAAGCUCCAAGGACCCGACGCGCCAUGGGUCAACGUGGCUCCCGACCCGGAUUCCCUCUUCGUCAACGUCGGCGACUGCUUGCAGGUGCUGACGAACGGGCGGUUCAGGAGCGUGAAGCACAGGGUGGUGGCGCCGGAAGGGGCGCAGGCGUCGAGGCUGUCGGUGAUCUACUUCGGCGGGCCGGCGCCGGCGCAGAGGAUCGCGCCGCUGCCGGAGCUGAUGAGGGAGGGCGAGCAGAGCCUCUACAGGGACUUCACCUGGGGGGAGUACAAGGCGGCUGCCUACAAGACCCGCCUCGGCGACAACCGCCUCGGCCCCUACGAGCUGCGCAACGUCGCAGAUACUAAUCCGACGGCUCUGAUCACCGCCUCCAAGGAACCCACAGCCGCCGAUCACUGCUGCAGCAACAGCAGCAGCAGCAGCGCCGCCUGCGUCGUCGUCCAGCCGCCGCACGUAGCACAAGUGCACUAGCUAAGCUAGCUGAUGUCCGGCCGGCGGCUACUGUCGAUCGUUGGUCGGUCGUUUGAUGUGUAAUCCAGAUGUGGUAACUAAAGCUAGCUGUACGUGUGCCUGCCUGCUUUCCCAGCCCAAAAUUGGCAUGCGCCUGCGAAAAUGCCUCUCCCGCAUGCUCUGCUUCGUCCCGGUUUCAGUUUGUCCUUUCUGGGAAAACAUUUGUAACUUCCGCUAGUAGUAGUAGUAGGCUCGUAGCUGCAAGCCUGCAAGUGUGCUGCACCCUUUUGUCACCGGCAGUUUAACAGCUUGAAUCGCACGCUAUAUGCUGCCUGGUGUACUGUAAAUUAACGGCCCUAUUGUUCCGAUUGUCUUUGUGUGUUACUUACUUCUAGAGUACAAGUUAACUGGAGUACUAAGUGACAACGUUGUAAAAAAGCCCCCCUCUUCGCUUCUUUGGGGCCUUUUGUGCCGUAUAAGAAGUUAAGUACUUCAGAGGAAGAAGGAAACAGUUCAGUUUAGAUUCUACACGGUGCCAACCCCCGAUGCAUCAUCAAGACAUCAAGGUUCAGAUCAGACGACAGGGCUCGAGCCGUGCUCGGUAACAGCUCACGUCCGCUUGUUACAACUAGACGAGCCCCGUACGUUGUCGUGGAAAUUUUUAGUUAACAUACGUGAGCCCACGUUGUUGAGAACAUACAUGAAUGAAAAAUAGCAACAAAAGAGUAUUCAGUGAAAUGUAUAAUGGAAUUGUAUGAUAAAUUAUAGAUCAUUCACUUAGUAAAAAUAGCUUGAUGAAAAAUAGCAUGCAUGCAUGUGCAAAAAAUAUGAGUGUUUCACUAAAUAGAUAUGAACAAAUUAAUAGUGUGAUGAUGUGGCAUGCUUGCAUGUUGAGAGAAAUCAAGUAGCAGUAGCAUGUUCUUCUCCUUAGAUAUGGAAGAUUAGUGCUGUGCGUGGUACGGUUCGAGCUGAUCCAAGAGAAACGUGGUAUCUACGGAUCGGAUGUUCGGUUUACAAAAAAAAUCGGAACAACUAAAUCCUAUCCAAUUGAACCAUUGAUUCACCGGUUCGAACCUUCCUGUUCCUCAGGCCGAGGCAGCGAUUGAUCUCUCCAAUUCCUCGAUUUGCUGCUGCUGCCGCCGCCGCCGCUAAGCCCCACCGUGGUCGCCGCCGCCGUCUCCUUCAGUGCAAGUGAUCACAGUUCGCACCGCCUGCAAAUCCGCUCCCUCCCCACCCCCUCAGCGGCUCGCCGCCUUCAAAGCCGAAGCCAAGACGACUCCGCCGCUAAGACCAUCGGCGGCCGCCUCCGCAUCCCACGCCGCCACCGGGUGGAUUCGUCUCCAUCGCGCCGGCGCCCCCAACUCCCCGCCAACCUCCACCAUUACCCUGCUGUCGAUUCAGCGAGAUUGAAGUUUUUCUACCUCCGUCCCAGGCGCGCACUGCAGCCGAGCAGGCGACGAAAAUAACUCCUCCAUUACCCUGCUGUCGGCAACCUUCUUCGAGCUUUGAGCUAUUCGGCUUUUCCGGCCUGCAGCAGAGCAGCCGACGAGAGCCCUCUGGCAAGACGAAGCAUGCUGUUCUUUUCGGUAUGCAGUAUGCGCAGGCAAUUUAGGUUCGAACCAAAAGAUCCAUUGGAUCGUGUGGAUCACGGAUGCUGCUCCAAUGGAUCGAACCUUUUUACUCCCUUGCACCCUAGGUACGUGAAGUUUGGUGCGGUUCAGAGCCGGUACGAGCCACGCCCACCCCUAGUUACAAUCCGUUUUACUAAACCAACUAGUGGAAUGUCCGUGCUUCGUGACGGCUGAUGUUCAACAUAUAAUGGAAACGAAUAUUGAAAAGAAGGUGCAUAUCGUUUGCACGGAAUACAUAUCGGCCAUACCCAAUUGCUAUGAUAACAAAAUUCGACAAUACCAAAACAUUGAAAAACGACGAUAAAUAAUAUGAGAACUCAAGAAUACAGAACUUGGUUCAUACAUAGGAUGCGGUACAAACAGAUCUAUCUAAAGUACCACAUUAAAUAACAUCAAAGAAAGGUAAACUGGAACCAACCUAUAAUAGGGCAAGCUUGUUCAAGUAUAUUACAAUAAAAAUAUGCCUGGAAGGCAAAUUGGAAACAAAGAUCAUGAUUAGUGACAACAAAAACACUUACCACAUCUAUUAGCUGAUGAAAUGGUAGGAGCAAACCUUCACUAACAGCAUACAAGAACGAUGUCGCCAUUCUCUACAGCCUCCCAGAUAUUUUCAAGCCUCUCAUUCCUACAAGGACUUGAGUUGAUAUUAACAACUGGCACAGUUUGGUACCUCUUUUGUACAGUAGGAUAGAAUCACAUAAGGUAGAUUAUAUGUAUCCUGGAGGUUAUGGUAGAUUAAUAUAGACAACUUGUAACAUAUACAUUUUUAUAUUAGUGAUAUACAAGAAAUGGAAGUUGAAGGACUCAGCUACUUAUGGCUAAUGAAUUUGUUCAGGGUUCAGAAGACCGUAACCGGAUGGUUUGAGUUUCCAACGCAUUUGCAGCAUUGCCUUUUUCAAAUUUUAGUAAGCCCCAAAAUUACACCACUGAAAUUAAGCAACCAAACUCAGUAAAGGGAUACGUUCAAAAUGCAGAUAUUACCUUAUUACAUCCAAACAAAACGUAUGAAAUAUCAUGUUUAUGGGAAUUCCUAGAUUAGUGUGAAUAGUCCCAAGAGGAGCAACAAUAUCACCAACAUCCUCCCCGGAAGGCCGAAACAUGGCCCUUAUAGAUUUGGGAUAACACAACAAACCUACAGAUGCAAAGCAUGACAGUGAAACUUUGCUCAUAUGUCAGCUUAUUAGUGCAACCAGAAAACCAUAAUGCUUUUAGAAAAUAUUGGUCACUUGGAAAAAUAAAUAAACACAGAUUCUAGAGUACUAAGUGACAAUGUGUUACCGGUAUUAUGAGCAGCUCUGCAGAAAUCAAAGUUCAGUUCUCACAAACUCAGCUUCAUAUUUCAGUCUAUUUGUUGUUCACCUUUAACCCCACUUCAGGUGGGUUUCAUUCUCAUGCUUCAUGAUAGCAUAAGCAGCAAGUAUACAGUACCUUAGUCUUAAAAAAACAUAUAAUUUUCUUCCCUGUUACAUUGUGUCGUCAGUGGUGUUCCCCAUAUAAUUGACAUAUAUUCUUUGAACAUUCUAAAAGAAAAAAGGGGAUCAAACUUGUUACACACAUGUUCCCCAAAUAAUUGACUUUCUCCUCUAUCAAAAUCUAUUUGACAGAGAGAAUGGGUUAAAAUUCAGAUAUAUUGCCAGACUUACAGUUGUACAUAAUUGAAGUUAAGAACAAAGCAUUUCAAAAAUAAGAAACAAGGGAAUAUGAAACAUAUGAAAUUUGUAAACAAAGAAUGAGCAAAACAACAAAACAUGUGCAUCCAAAACUUAUUUAUUCCUACUUACUACUUACAUGAAUUAUAUUCUGAGUCUUCUGAGUGAGUUCCAGGUACCAAUGAGCCAAAUGGAAUCACGAUCAAAUUCGUUAGCAAGUGAUUGACGAACCGCCUAUGAUUUAUCGAAAUUAUGUCCAAUUAUGCUAUCUCAGAUAAGCAUCAACAUAAAAAUUUCCUACAACAACCUUCAUUUAUAUUAAAAGAUCAUGCAUUUUACUUGACGCUCUUUUACCAAAAUAUUGCAGUAAUCAAGUCAUGACCCAAAGAUUUCCGCACAUUUUACGGACUACAAAAUUAUAAAUCACCACAUGAAUUUAUUUUGUUUCAAAAUACCGCGCCAGAUUGCCAGAAGACCAUGAGUAAGAAAGAAGUGUCUACUCUUGGCAAAAGUCUAAACUACUCCUAAGUGCCCAUCGAUGGAAGGAAAUCUCAAUCAAUACAGGGGCACAUUGAGGAGUAAGACGGAGAGAGGUAUGGAUAGGGUUAGUUACCUUGAGGUGCUGGAUGCCGAACGAGUGGUCCAUGAGGGCCAGGGGAGAGUAUCCGGCGAUGGAGAUCGCCUGCGCAAGGGACGCCGAUGACUGUCAGCAGCAUGGUGCUGCCCCCGCCAAGCGCAGCCUCAACGGUGGCCAACAGGCGGCGGCGGCCAUCGUCUUCAUCAUCCGCCGCUGCUUCAUGUGUGAGGAAGAGGAACGGCGGAGGGCGCCUGCGCAAGGGACGCCGAUGACUGUCGGCAGCAUGGUGCCGCCCCCGCCAAGCGCGGCCUCAACGGUGGCCAACAGGCGGCGACGGCCGUCGUCUUCAUCGUCCGCAAUUGCUUCAUGUGUGAGGAAGAGGAAUGGCGGAGGGCGCCCACGCGGGAGACACUGAUGACGUCGAGCGCCCCGGUGCCGCCCCCGUCGAGCGCGGCCUCGGCGGGGGCCAACUGGCAGUGGAGGCCGCCAUCGUCAUCCGCCGUUGUGUCGUGCGAGAGGAGGGGCGCUGGUGACGAGACGUCUCUGGAGUAGGGGAUGGGAUGGGGACGAUGGCGGAUCUGGAGGGCUAGAAAGGAGGAGGUGGAUCGAGAGAACGGAAAGAACGGGUGCGUGGAGAACGGUGGAACGUGGUGCGGGAGAGAGGAGCUAAUUACGGCCGUGAUUGAUUGUUGGAUUGUUUUUUUUUUAGGGUUCAGAUAGGGAUGGUUUUCUUGGGGUGCGGGGAUCGGACGGGUGGGACGAGUGCGACGGAUGAACGUACGUACCAAACUCGAAAUUAAGUAGUAGUAAAGAUAGGGUGCUAAAUUAGGCAUUUGCAAUGACAGGUGACAGUUCACGUGGGUGCCAUGCUUUCCUUUUCCGUGACAAAUAGUACUCCCUCUGAUUCUAAAUUCUUGACUCAAAUUUGUCAAAAUAUGGAUGUAUCUAUUCUUAAAAAACGUCUACAUACACGUAAUAUUUUGACAAUAAUUUAGUAUUGGAGGGAGUAGUAUGUAUGUAAGGUUCGUGCUAACCUACAUGUUGACCCUACAAGCAAUUUUUUCUUUGAAAGCAUGCCAAAAUGCCAAAUUAGUCCUUAAAAAAAAGCUAGCCAAAUUAAAGCAUCCGGUUUUGUUCCUCAUCGUUCAUUUCCCUCCCUCCCUCCUUCCCUCCCACCCAUGUUGUCGUACAAUUGUUUUUUUUAACGGGUAAGGCUUCUCAUUUCUCAAAUAAUAGUACAAUUGGGUUUACCUGCCAUUUGCUGCCCAGCCACUAAUUGGUGCUUAUCUUCACGCCUUGUCGCCCCCUUGCAAUGGCAUUCAUCGGUUGGUUAAAAAGGGAAAAACAAGUUUGCAGCACCGGUACAUUUGUACAUCCUUUUCUAUCCACGCAACCACGCGAGGCCGGACGACACGUGCUGAUGCGACUGACGGGAAAGCUGGUUUGGACGGAUGAGCAGAGAGAGAGAACCCGCGCUCGAGCCGCACGUCGGUUUCUUCUUGCAGGAUAAACAUUGCACGUACCAAACGAGCAAAAAUAAGGAACCGGGUGCCAUAUAUAUCCACUCGAUCGGCUCGGACUUUGUCGCCGCCGCCGCGGCUGCUGCUCCUGGCGUCCCGCAGACAGAUUCCCACGAGCCUUGGGCUUCAUCACACGGAUGCCUGUUACCACUCGAUCGACCAGCCCAAAUAGUCUAGCCGUCCGGACUUCGCGUGCGUGCUGCUCAUAUAAUUGUUGGUUGCGUGGGGGCAAUUAUUGACGUACGUGUAGGCGCGCGUACUAGGAUUAAUCUAUCGACGACCACCGUCAUUCACGAGGUCCGGUCGCGUUUGCUAUCGAGCCCAGGCUCCUAGCUAGUUCGACCGGAUAAGGCCGUUCCCGAAUCUAGUCUCAGUGGCAGUAGAAGAACAGUAGCAGCAUUCUGGUGUGUUCUCUGCCAUUGCUCAUGGGGAAAUAGCGGUGUGGUUGAUCUGGUGGAUUUUUGUGCGGAACCCGACAAGCAUGCAUAUUAAAUGGCUUAAAUUUGUCAAAUAAAUAUAAAUGCAUCUGAAACCAAAACGGGACGGAGGAAGUACCAGUAGUAUAAAAGAACUGUGCACAUAAUGCAUGGACGAUGAAAUGGCCUCACAUGGCGAUCGACCGCGCGCGCUUAGGGCGCCGGCACACGUAGAAGAGAGCCUCGUGCUCGCGCGCGAGCUGAGCAUAUAGCACGUACGGUCCGAGCGGCGUCCCGGGCGGGGAUCUGCAGCCUAGGCCUGUCCGGGGCGCCGUCGCAUCGGUCGAUCCAUCGAUGGCGGGACACGGGACACACUGCACACAGCACGAACACGUGCGUGCAUGCGCUAGCUGCAUAUGCCAAAUCUGGUCUCGGUUCACGUUGGUACGUACGCGCUCGAUUGAUCGAUCGAUGGACAACUGACGUAUCGAUUCGAUACGUCAGGGAGGGCUACGUACGGAAAGCUAUAGCUAGCGGGGCCGCCAGAAUCGAGCAGGGGCUCGAUCGAUUCAGAUUCGAUUCGAUCUGGGGUCGAGAAAUAUGUGUGUGACUAGCUGCUGCUAUACGCACGUGCAUAAUACUACUGGUAUGCUACACUUCUCGUUAACUAAGAUGAUCUAUCAGCCGGAGGUGGCCCGUUAAAUUGAAGAGAGGGAGAGAGAAACGUUCAAACUGAAAGGAAAAAAUGGUGUAACUAUUUUCAAACAAAGGUAUUAAAUGUCGAUGGACAUGUCAGAGACAUCGGAUCAAGAUCCGAGGGUCAUCCACACUUUCCCCUCCGUAACGUGUUAUCGCUGGAUUAAAAUCUGACGACCAACAGGGGCGGAGUUACAGCGUAGACAUUGGGUUCAGAUGAGGAAUUGGAUCCGAGCCUACACAUAUGAACCCCAUGAUUAUAGUGUAAUGAACCCAGUGGUUUCCUUUUCUGGCUCCACCCGUGACGACCAAUCACGUCGACUUGUCUCUAACUAAAAAAAUACAGACGACUUCUUAAUAGCAAAACAUGAAAAAGGAAUAUAAUGUCUCUGUAAAAUAUAGAAAGACGUGGUUCUCCGUUAAGAUGUUGUGGUUAUUUCUCUUCUGUCAGUUGACCAUUUUUGUCCCCGUCUGAUCCAGCGCCGCUCCGUUACCGUACCAUGUUUUUUCACGUCAUUAUCCGUCCGUAUUCCUUAUUUGUUUUUGCAUUCAUAUCAUGUCCGUGCCGCUUCCAAACCAAUGGAAAUUGUGAAAUAAAAUAUGGUACUAUAUAAAAUCAUUAUCCGGUCCCGUUUUACAUAUAUGCUAUAUUCCUCAAGUAUGUACAUCGAUCGCGGUCUUGUAUGAUUCAAAAACAAAAACGAAAUAUCAGUAGAGAGCAAGCGUACAUGCACACGCAGGAUAUGCUUUCGUUGGUUAAUUCGGUGUACGUACGGACCACCGCGAUGUCUCUGCGCCCGUCGACGUCACACACGCUUACGUGAGUGCGUGCGUACAGUCGGUGAUUAAUCGAUCCGGAAACGUGCCAAUAUAGUCUGCAGCCGCGCCGGCUUUUUAUACUCCCUGCAAUCAAUGCACCCGGCCCUCUCGUUUCGGCCGAAAACUGCAUACCACGCUCGAUCGAAUCAUCCAAGUAUACAGAUACACACAUGCUUCUCGAUGACUCGAUCGAUGGACUUACGGUAUAAUCGUACAGUAGUUGCUUUCGCUUCCAGACGUAGGUACACGGAACGACGAACCGGGAAAAACGGCCCUCCUGCUCCUGGCUUGGAAUCAUUCCACCUCUGGUGGAAAUCCUGGACCACCCGUACGUCCAUAUGCUCCCUUGCGAGUUGCAGACACGUUAUACGUACUCAUGUAAUCGCUCCGUUUCAUAAAAAUUGACACGAUUUUAAAUCAGAACUAAGUUAAAAUCAUGUCAAUCUUCGUGAAACGGAGGAAGUACCUGACAGGAAUGCAUGCAGGGAUCAGGCACUCCAGUUUGGAGUUGGAACGGGGCACACAUGUGGAAAAAGUUUCGAACUAACAAGGUGGCGACUGCGACCAAAGCCAGAACCAUUUUUUGUCGAGCACGAUCGAUCGACCUGCAGCGCCAGAGCCACUAGAGGGCCCAGAUCAGCUUGCCCCGCCCCAAUUCCAUGCGUUCCGGUUGUUUCCUUUCGAGCCCCCUGCCCCAGUUGCCUGCCCUUUUAUCUCUCAGCGAUCAGUUACGUUCAUGCAUUCUUGGCCACACGUACCUACACUACAAUCGGUACUACUACGUACAUGCGAGAUAGCUAUGUCCCGAUCGAGCCUGCAAUUAACGGCAACUCGACCGAUCAAUCUGCAAGUAGAGACAGUAAUCUCGAAUUUGGUUCAAAAGCAGGCAGCGAAUCCUGGAACGACCAAGUUACACGGUACUCCUAUGUAAGCUAGUACUAGUACAACUAGUAGCAUGCCACCGGUGGAUCACUCACCUGGGGAUACAAAACCGUUCUCCUUCGAUUAGAGUCGUCUGCAUUAUUGACAGUUUCGAUGGACCAGGCAGACAGAAGCAAAGCCUGGAUGCGCGCGGGAUCCACUUGUCCAGCAAAAGGGCACGAAUCGGGGAGGUCACAGGACUUAAACAUACGAUAGGCCACGCGAGCCAAAGGCGUGCCGUACUGUGCUGCCCCUGCCUGGCCUGUCGUGUGAUGUGACAGAAAAAAAUUAAAGGGAGCGGCGAACCUGCGUUUCAUGAUCAUUGAUAGAUGGAUGGGUGGAUCGAGCUAGUAUUAAGCUGGUUGUGGUGUGUGUGUGUGGAGGGGGGUCUGUCUUUGAAAAGUCGACGCUGCAUGCGGACGUUCAGUUUCAAGUGGCGUGCAAGAUGUUCCUAGUGAAAAUGUGAAAUCAUGGGGGAAAUAGGCGAAGUUUGCAGGGUUGAACGGCACACCGCGUUUGGCUGACGGCUCUAUGCGCGGAUAUGAUGUUUUCUUUUUAACGAAUAUUCUGAUAUUUUUCAAUACCAAAACCGUAUUCGGAGUUAGCUGGCGUCUGAAUUUUAAACAGAAGACUUAAAUCUCCGGACUCUUGAAUUAAGAUCUAAGUGUCAUCCCCACUCUCUCUUCUCCCGCAUGCUGUUGUUGGAUUAAGAUCCAAUGUUCAAACACGUCAGCUGAUCGCUAACUAAGAAACAAGCGACUUCUUAAUAGCAAACCGUUUUCUGAAUCCCCACAUUCGAUAAUAAAAUUCCACCGGGAACCUACCAUGCUGUAUGCAGAUAUCGACCUUCUUUUUUUGGAUUGUGAUAAGUGUAUUUUCAUAGUUUAAAUAUUGUUCACGGUGCAAAUUCCGCCCUUGCGUGGCGGGUUAUUGGACAUUCAACUGUGGAUACCGAGCUUAGCAAAUUUUUGUCGAACUCUUUUUGGAAUGGAAUGGAUUAAUACAAUUUGACUAAGAGUCAUCAUUUUUAUGGUUUAGGGUGGUGGCUGCACCCCAAAACCUACCAAGGAUCGAACCCCAGGUUUGACCCUCGGCGUGUCUCAUUUGAGCCGAAUUUCUUUUGGCAGUAGGAGAUGCAAUCCGUUCACGCUUCACACUGAAGCGUCAGUGACUUCGUCGAUCUCAAAACGUUUUCACGAUUCUGGUCAUCCGUGUGAGUGUGUGCGCACGGCGGUGUACGUCGUGUGUGAUCAUUGUUCCUAAAAUAAAGUACUUCCUUCGUCUAACAAAGGAUGUCUGAAUUUUGAUUAAAUUUGAAUGCAUCUAUACAUCAAGUCAUGUCUACAUACAUCAACAUUUUGACAAACUUGAGACAUCUUUUGCUGGACGGUGAAAGUAUAGGAGCCCGGGAAUAGCCGCAUCUUAUUACAAGCAAUUAAUAUUUCGACCCUGAACCAGUUUGAGCUUAACCCCAGUGGAUCGGAAUCGGGUUCACUGAGCGAGCGAGCGCUCCAUUACAGAUUUUUACAGGCACUGAGGCACCGUCUCUUCCUGCUGCCCCCCUCCGGGGAGCUAGCUGCGUGCUAUGGACCGCCCAUUCGUGGAACGGGCUGUACCCACCAAUACCUACGUACCUGCGCGCCUGCCAUGCCACCCCUCUGCCACGGGGGGCUGUCGGCUCCAAAGAAUCAUGCAAUAAUUACCAGCUUCUUCUAUCGGCGGCAUACAGAGGAGAGGAUUGAGCUUUUGAGCAUCUCGUGUGCAGAGAGAAUCUCUCUGCCCGUUCGCGCCAGGUGGAUGUAUUUACUUGCGCCAGGAGCAAACGAGCAACUCGUGACCGCCUACGCACGUUUCCCCGACUAGACAAGUCAAUUGGUGAAAAUUGGUGAAAUUGGCAGCUAGCUUAUUUAUCCCUUUAUCCAUUCGCACCCACCCCACCCCGGCCACCCUCCGCGCUGCGCAUGCAUGCAUGUCCUCGUGGGCUCUCGAGGACUUGAAGUACGUACGUCGCAUGCAUGCAGAUAAGACGGAGCUAGAGAGAAAGCCUCUUCUUUUCGCUCGUGGCCCGGCAUGUGCAUGCCAAUGGCAAUGCCAGCGUCCCAGUCAGCUACUCUCUCCGUUCCAAAUUCUUGCCUCAAAUUUAUCCAAAAAUAAAUAUAUUUAUUUUUUAAAAACGUUUAUAUACAUGUAAUAGUCCGACAAAAAUUAUGAAACGGAAGGAAUACUGACCAUAGCUAUGGUCAGUACAACUCCUAGUGACAAGUGCAAGCAGGGGAAGUUCAUACUCUAUGUGGGAGGUGCAAUGCAUCUCUCGCUCUAAAGACGUGGUACUCCUAGACUACAGGACUACCACGUACUGGAUUCAUCGAGAUGUGAUGGAACGGUGUACCAGGGUGCGUGGCAUGCAUGUAGACGCCGGGCCGAUCGAUGUAUGUCGAGAGCGGGAUAUGGACAACGAAAAAGGGUGUGGGCAGGGUAGGUGUUCGAUCAAAAUCCACGGACAGUUCCAAACUGAGGAGACCAUGGGGAAACUACUGGACAUCGGGGGUAUAGUGUUCACGUGACGUCAGAACUGGGGAGAGCUACACAACCUCAAGUCGUCGUCUUCUGGUAAGCAAGAGGACCCUUGUUUGGGAGCGCAAUGCAAGUGCAGAUGUUGUGCAGGCGCAGCAGAGACGUGACCCUUGCAGAAGAAAACGCGAAGAGCCGGGUAUAGUGGAUAUGUGGAUGCGUGAAUUAUCGUGGGCCGGGCCGCUUCAAAGCCUGGUAACGCGUGUCGUCGUGGCCUGGCCCAGAUUAUGCUGCUCAUCCGUCCAGCUCGCAAUACAUGAAGAGAAGUUCAAAAACCCGCUGUCCACUUUUGCAUUUAUCCAACGUUUCCUUGAUGAUUUGUCUCUCAUUCGUGAUGUUGUCCAUGCUGUGACACCGGAGCCUCCUCCUGGUGGUGGUCGCCUUGUCCCGCCCACCAACCGCUGGUCUCCUCCGUCGGCUGGUAUGUGUAAAAUUAAUGCGGAUGCUGGAGUUGCAAGGUCAGGUGCAGGUGGUUCUUGUGCUGCGGUCUGUCGCGAUGAAUGUGGAAGAUUCAUGAGAGCCUCUUCGAUUACAAUCGAGGGCAUGACCGACCCUACAAUACUUGAAGCAUUGGCAUGUAAUGAAGGCUUGUCUCUGGCCUUGGACCUUAACAUCUCAAAAGUUUGUGUUGUUUCGUACUGCUUAACGGUUAUCAAGAGUCUACAACAAGAUGAUCUUUGCUAUUAUAGUGCGAUCAUUAAGGAUAUUGUGGCAAGGAAGGAUCAGUUCCGUGAUGCUGUUUUCAGACGUGAGAAGAGAACUCUUUAUAGAGAUGCUCAUAAUCUAGUUAGAGCGGAGUUACCGCUUUCUGUUGGCCAUCAUAUUUGGCUUUUAAGUACCCCAUGCAUUACUUGUAUUCCUGUUCAAGUUGGUGUUGAAUAAAGCUGGCCUUUCCCCUAAAAAUAAAAUAUCCGUCCAGCAGAACUGAAUCCCCAAUAGCGCGGUUACAAGACAAGAAUGAUUAUGUAAUUAUGUUCCUUGUUAUCGUUUCACUUUGCACCACAGAAAGAGUGCUCUGUUUGGCUCCACCAAGGCAAAAGGAAAGAGAAACAGGAACCGAGGAGUGUCUCAUUGUCAAUUACUAAUUCAGCCAACGAACCCAUAAAACAUGUACCGACGCAAAUGCAAUUCAUCAGAAGUGUUCUUCAAGGAAGAACACAGACAGGGUAUCGGACUACCGGUGACUAUGUUUGGAUAUCUUACAUGCUCAGAAUGCUGCGGGCGAGUUAACUGGGAAAUAAUUGAAGAUGAAGAAAGGACACAGCAAGUUACAUAAGCGGCAACAGAUUUUGCUAGAGUGGCACAGCAGUGGCAGGUGCUGGAACAUGCACCUCAAAUACAAUCAGGAACUCGAACUGUUUAUAGCUUUGGACACUUUCUUCCAUCGCAAAACACUUCGAGUUUGUUCUUAUCAAGCAAAUGGUUUUCGAUUAGGCCCAGAUAUGACAUGGUGUUAUUACAUGCAUAACAGCGCUGGCUUGUCAAGCACCACUGGCAUACAGGCGAGUCCACUCCUUCGCUGCAAAGCAAAAAAAAAAUUGACAUGUUAGGUACAAAAAGCAAUGAAAAGUGGAGCAAAAUGACAUGCUAGUGUAUCAAAGUGCAGUGUUAGCGUGCGGCUUUGUUGGCUGAAUUUUCAGUUACCUGUCUCGACAGCUUCAGCUUCAUUGGAUUUCCAGUGUUUUGCCACGUUUUCUGAGAGCGGAUCAUCUGGAUUCGGAGCGCUCAGCAGUGCCUGAAUGCUGCAGACCAAACAUUGUAAAGAGGCAAAAAAAAAAGAGUAUACAAUAGUGGAUACAAGAAGCAACCCUCUGGAAAUACGAUAAUAUGAUACGAUCAUGAACUAUAAUGAAACUAUUUGGCCAAACAUGCCACGGAAGACAGAAGAGGUUGCUACCUCAAAAGAACAGUACGUAUCUGAAGAGCUGGGCUCCAUUUGUCCUUCAGGAUAUCGAGGCAUAUCCUACCAAGCUGCAGUGCAAGUCAAUCCGAAAUGAGAAACUGUUAUCGAAUGAAGUUCCAUUGAGAAUAUCAGUUCCCUACCUUGUCAAUGUUGGGAUGGUAUAUUUUUGUGAGAAACCUAACCUGCGUCAGGAAUAACCAAAGAGUGAUGUCCAUCAGAAAGAAUCACAACAGAGACAACAUACAGAAAAGUCAAAUAGAAUUGUGUAACUACUUUGGUUAGACGACAGUGUCACACUAAAACUAAAACAACCAUGUUGAUAUCCGUAAGAGUAAAACAGUCCAAGGACAGGAGUUGAGAACAAAAUAUUCAGCUACCUCUUAUUUAACAUGAUGGAAAUUACUACUCCCUCCGAUCCAUAUUAAUUGUCGAAAUAUUACAUGUAUCUAGACAAUUUUUUAGCCAUAGAUACAUCCAUAUUUGGGCAAAUUUGAGACAAUUAAUAUGGAUCGGAGGGAGUAUUAGUCUGAGUCUCAGAUGAUAUAUCACAAUGUCAGUACACUCCAAAUAUAGCAUUGCCAAUUAAGUAAAGUAAAGUACGGAACUGUGCAAAGGAGAUUAGUUAAGUGAACGGAGAGAGAAAUCUAGUAUGGAUACGAAAAGUAUUAACACAAUACUAAACAUGGGCAUUCAGUAUUCCUGAUCACAAAGAUGGUAUGCAAAUCUAUUAAUGGUACAUAUCAACAACAAACAUGGGCGCUGCCCAAAAUAAGAUGUCACAAUAAAUUGCUGGUUUCGGUUAACCACAGGCAUAAUUAAACGUCCAUCCCACUGUCGCACCAUAGCAUGAUAAAAUCAUUGCGAAGAUCGCUCUGCCAGAUUUUGAACUCAAAUUUCAGUUACAACUUACAACUAGGAAAUGAACCAAAUUCCACAUCAAGGAGCCUACCGGGACAAGAAAAUCCAUCACAAUAUGUGUCAAACUAAUAACUUCUUAAACAACCAUCCACUAAUACUUGAUCAAAAAAUUACUUUUGGAGCAGCCAUCGGAUAUUCCUCAGGUAAGAAAAGUUCAAGCUUGAAAACUCCACCUGUCCAACACAUAUUAGAAGAAAUAUCAGGAGGACCAGACACAGACAACUAAACAAAAUAAUGUUUCACCCAAUUAAAAAUGUCAUAAGCAAAUACAGUAUACAAAGAUAAGUAAACCAAGCUUAAAUAAAUAAGAUAACAUAGUGACAAAUGUACUGUCUAACAAUAGGAAAACAGGUCGUUCUGUGUACCAUUUAUCAUAUACAUGCACCGCAUUUCAUUACUCCAUGUUGCAUGGAAACAUGGUAGAUAGUUCCUUGUGCCGUAUAUCAGUAAACUUCAGUAAUCGCAAAGGUUAAGGAAACCCAAGACAUUCAAUUCCCAUAGGUUACUGAUAUAUGGUACAGUUGUAGAUCUAGCAUGUUAAGGAAACUACAAACUUGUGCCCCAUAUCAUAUCUAAACUAAUAGCAGGUAUAACUGUUGAAGUAUAAGGUGAAUUGCCCUCAUUUCUCCAUCAGCUUAGGCUUUUAGGGGCACUGGUUCGGCCCAUAUGCAACUCUCCAUGGUAUCCGAGCCAAGAGGUCCCGAGUUCAAGCUCAAUAUAAUAAAAAGGCACUUUUGAUCCAUGAGGGGGAGUGUUGAAGUACGAAAUGAAUUGCACUCGUUUCCCCAUCAGCUUAGACUUUUGGGUGAACUGGUUCGGCACAAGCAACUCUACAAAAGGCAGUCUUCCUAUGUGGAAUAACUUCUACAAAUAAAAAACCAGGUUCACUAGAGCUUAAGAUAACCGAUGAAAUGGACUUGUCAAGCUAUAUUUUGUGAUGGAUUCAACAAAGCAGAAUCUCAAAGUAUAGAAUCCAAAAGGCACAGAAGAGUACAAUUACCACUGGAACAGCUGGGUACAAGAUGGUCGGAUUGCUGGUCUAGCAAACAUAAGUUUAGAAGUGUAUAGUUCCGGCAGCACUAGAACAACACCUUUAUGUGACCAUCCUGAUAUGAUCAUCCAUCUGUGAUGUUUUACUACAUAUUUGCAGCAUUUUACAAACAAAAAGAGCCAUAGAUACGAAAAUGGGGACGCGGUGACCACAGUUACAGUCCUAAAUUGCCACAGAACUACGCAUUCGUGCUCCAAAGUAUUACAGGGUUAUCGGCAUACGAAACAUUCCAACAGAAAUAAAAUGAAAAGGAGGUUUUACCUUCAUAAGGAGACUGCGCCGGACCAAGGACCAUGACAUUGAAGUAGCGCAUGUUCUCCUCCGACGGCGACGCGCUAAUCCCCGGCGCUGCACGCACCCCCCCAACACACGAAUCAGCACAAACAUCCGAGGCUCGAACGCGGACAACACAACAGGAGCAUCGAAUUCUAGGAAAACGAACCUGGUUCGCUGAGCAGCCGCUGCGUCUCCUGCAGCAGAUCCAAAUUCCGAACAGAUUAGGCACCACGCACAAGGAAUAACCAGACGAUAAGGUUAUCAUAUCGCGUUAGAGUCUCAGAAACGGCUGUAGAUCUGGGGGGGUGAGGGGCGAUCGGAUCGCGGGGUAGGGCGCGCGCACCUUGAUGAUCCGGCGCGGGAGGUUGCUGUUGGCCAUGGAGUCCGGCCGGGGCUGGAGCGAGAGCCUAGAGGGGAGGGGGGGAGGGACCGCCUCGAGCUUCGCGCGGCGACGGAGGAGAAGACAGCGCGAGAGAGGUCAAAGGAGUCGUCGAUCUGUCGGGGAGGGCGAGCCGGGGGAGGAGGCGACGAACGAACAGAAAUGGGUCAGGGUCCGAUACUGUGUACCACGUAUUUAUAAACUCCACGCUACAGCCGCUGCUGCUGAUAUUUUCCUUUUCCUCUUGAGCUGGUGUUUUCGUUUUAUACUCUACCGACCUGUUUGUUUGUCCUUCUAUUUCAGUUUUUUUGCAUCUGGCAAUCUUAAAAGCAUCUUUUCUGUUUACACGUGAAGCUGAGAGGCACCUCCGAACAUGCUAAACACUGUUUACACAUGAAGCUGAGAAGCACCUUCGGACGUGCUAAACAGAAAAAGUGCUUUUGAGAUUGCUAAAAGUACCAAAAACUGAAACAGAAGUCCAAACAAAUAGGCCCAGAGUCUGCUGGAUUGUGAAUUUGAAUACGCACACGGCGAAAUCAAAAUACGAAGUCAUGGCCACUAUGUUUAAAAUAAAAUUCGUGUACUUGGACAAAACAGAAGUUGUUCGGUGAAUAAAAAAACCCUAGAAAUGAUUUUCCGACGUAAUAAACGGUAUAAUAGUACUACUAGUAGUACGAGGGCUGCUGCAGCGGAGAUUAAAAAAAAACGGUGUUCGUUUUAGGUGAGCCAGGGAGAGCAUCUCUCCACGCGAAGGGAGCACACAAUUUAUGCAUGUGCAGAGAGAGAGAGCACGGAGAAGAACAACCUUUGGGUUUGCCUAAUUGCAACGGCCAACUUGUGACUUUGUGUUGUGCGCGCUCGUCGUGGAAGGAUCUCAGGCGAAAAGGAAGGUGGGGGAAAGCUCGAUUAUUCUCCGCAGCUUCAAUCCCACGCUAAGCCGCCUGGUCGAAAAGGUUUGGCUGGCCAAACCGGUUUUGCAUGGUACUCCGUAACAUGUUUUUCAAGUUUUUUAGAACUUUGGAGGAACUCGAAACAAAUUGAGAGCAUACGCUUUCUAAGAGUUGAAAAGUAUUAUUUUCGAAGCACGGGCAGUCGGGCACGGGCAUCAGAGCAUCUCCGUUGCCAGUCGCUCGAAGCGAAGAGAAAUCACGCACUUCCUCUGCUACCGAAGCGAAGGCAGGAACAAGAACAACAGCGACGAGACACAGCCAGAAAUUCGGCAUAGUAUUUGCUCAGGGCUAGAUUCCACUGUAUUCGCUGUAAUCUGGUAAAGCAUGUCGCAUGUGCCCAGACUACAGGAGGAUUUCAAGACAAGUAUCCAGUCCUGUCUUAUUUACAACAGAUAGCGUGCAAAACUAUGCUCAAGAAUCAAGAUAGAUAAAUAACACUGGAUUUCCCCAGUACUUGCUACUUCACCGAACUACGGAGUACAACUGGUAAAGAAUAGUUUCACAAGUCGGAUCCUGAGAUCACAAUGAAAGAGAAGAUACAACAGGGAGUAUUAAAUCUGCACAUGAUCACAAGGAAAUCCAGAUGCACAUGAAUCCAGACAAUAGGAAGAACAGGGAACAGUUUGACAUAUUUUUUCUAAUAAAACAGAAGGUCAGAGUUGCAUGCCUACAUUGUCAACAAAAUAAUAGAUGAAUUGCACGAACAUACCUCAACGACUCAAUGUCAACAUGGAUUUACACUAACAAUUUUUAGUCUUUGACCUUUCAUACUCUUCAGAAUUAAUUAUUACCAGACUAAAAACUACAAUGCACCUAAGAACACGAGCUUUCGCUUCAGAAUAUCCCAAGGAUGGUGGGGGCAGGUGGAGCACGCCAUCAUUGGAGAGCAAGAGCAACGCCAUGUCAUUAACUGAUCAUCUUCAAAUGAUAAUCUGUAGAAGAGACAAUGGACAAGAGUCAAUUGAUCGCUUCACCAAACAGUAACAUUACAAAUUUGCUAUACAGGCUCCAAACAAACUGAUUUUCUAUCAGUCUACGCUUAAACAUAGCAGUUAACAGGGGCAAAGCUUAACACAGGCCCAUCAGCAAUCAUGCAGAGAACAAGGCAAGGCAGAUCAUCCAUGGGAAUCACACAACAAUCCACAAGGAAGCAUGCAUUACAUUCUUUGGAAAGCCAAUCAAGAGAAAUCUGGGUUCAGCGAUCGGAAAGAUUUACAAUGGAUAAGAUAUGUCAAAAUUUCAGUACUGGAAACUUCAGUUACAAAGCAAUUUGAUAAAUCUUACAUGCCAAGACAAGUAUAGAAGAUAUAUCUUUAUAUAAUAAUACUGACUCGUAAUUGUUAGGCUUACAGCAAAAAAAAGGUUAAGUUUCAUUAAACAAGCUUAUUUAUCGGUCUCUGAGGAGCUGGGUUACCUGUAGAUAAAUGGGACCAGAAACUAAGAGGUUACCUGUUGACUCAAGCUUAUGCUUAUUUUGGCGAUACACGUACUCUUAGGCUGGACAUAAUUCACCCUAACGAUUCUCACUAAGACAUGAGAAAGGAAUUCUAGUACGGAAAGGAAGUGAAAACCAGCGCAUGUGCAUCCAAGUGACUCCUAGUGAAACAGCACAGAGAGUGUCCCAGAUCGAUUUUAACUCUGAGUCACCAAGUGGUUCGUCGGUAUCAAUUUGAUCCUAACAGAUUCCAGGCAAUACCAUCAUAUGUCACCCAGUCAUGAUUUCCAGGAAAAGAAUAUAAGUAUUUUCAUCAUACAGACAGAAUUGAAGAAAAACUAUUAUUAGACCAUACAUUAUGGUCUUUCAUUUGUCAUGACAAAAAUGUACUCCCUCCGAUCCAUAAAAGGUGACGCCCAUUUUGUACUAAGUUAGCACAAAUUUUGUACUAGGUGGGCGACACAUUUUAUGGAUCGGAGGGAGUAAUAAGAAACACUAAAAGCUCAAGAUAGAAACUAUGAUUAGUUAGUUCAAUCUUUUAAUAACACCUAUGACAUAACAGAGCUGCACAAUUAUAAUUCUGUAAAUUUUAUCACACCCAAAAACCCAGAGAACCAAACGAUAAGAUACAUAAGUACUUAAAUCUACAAUCAUAACGAGAUGGUCAACAUAUCUCAUCAAUGCACAAAAUUAAAUAGAAAAACACACGACGAAAACAUCCACCAAACAUUAUCUACUGAAGACACAAAAUAUAAAUAGAAUCUCACAAAGCCUACACCAGGAUAGAUCUUAUAUGUGAAUAUCAAUGCUCAACAGGACCGAAAGCCUUAUUUAUGAAGGUUAUCGCACAUUUGGGCUAAGGCCAUUGUAACAUAAAAUAGUCCAAAAUGCACAACAUAUGGGGUGGUCGGACUUCGGCAACGAAACUUCAGACAUACUCGCUAGAUUUUCCGAAGCAACAGUAUCUAAACUUUUUUGUUGCUAAUCCUCCGCAGCAACUCGAGCCAAUUGUUUACCAAGAUCCUUAUCGAGAUUAGCUAGAUUAUUAAACCUUGACUGUAGAUAAACGGACAUGUAUGUAACAUAUUGCUCAGAACAAUCAAGUCGGGCUCACCCAAGCUUGUUUACACCCAUAUGAAGGAAAGGCUUAUUGAAUUGCAUUGUCAGGAAAUCAGCACUUCCCCAAACAAACUGAAAGUACCUUUAUUCCACAACCUAUAAACAUCAAUGGAUAUACUCAGAACACAACAGCUUACAUGUGUGGACCUUCCCACCAUUAAGGCCAAACAUAGUAACAAUAAGUUCCACUUAUUAAAAUGUCAUUGUAUACAAGAAUGUCAGAUUAAAUUAUGCCUCUACACAAGCAUACCAAUCCUGUCACUAUCACUGAAAGUCUGAAACAUUAACUAACAGCCAACAUCAUGCCACAUAACUUGUAAUUUUAGCACAUCAACAUUAGCAUUACAGAAACAAUAGUAGCCACAGAUCACAUAAACGAACAAAAACAAUCUACAGCAAUGUUCUAAACUGAAAUGCUAAAACAUACUUUACCUAAAACCCUCGUCCGCAUCAGAGGUAAUUGGAGUUGGAAAGGAAAGGCAGCGCAGCAACGGAUGAAAUCAGCUCCACUCCACCAGCACCAUUGGAUGCAGCCCCUCCGCUCUUCUUCGUGCGCUUCACCCUUGCGAGCUUCACGUGCGCAUCGACGAAGUUCUCCAUGCGCUUCACCUCCAGCUGCUUCAGGAAGUCAAUUCGCUCGCGUUCCAUCUCUAGCGAAUGCUUUUGUUUCGCACUCUCCACGCGCUCAUACAUCUCUGCAAAAGCCUCAAUUGCCCUCGCCAGCUCGCUGACACCACUAUCCCCAUCACCGCCAGCCUCGCGACGAAAGGGACGCUUGUUGCUACCGCCGGAGCGCGCCGACGAGACAGAACGCGACGGUGACCUCCGCAAGUUGUCAUGGUGGUUGUUGUUGUUGUUACCACCAGGAUGAUCACCAGAGUCCUCCGAAUCAGACACCGCUGCAGCGGCGGCAGCGGCUUCCUGCUGGAUGAACGCAGCGGCAGGGAGCAGCGCCCCGCGGCGGUAGCUGGGGAGGGGCAGAGCCAUGGGCGGGGGCGGGGACGGCGAGGAAGAAGGCGACGGGUACUUCCUCGCGGCGGUAGAAGAAGGAUGGACGGGCAGGGCGAGGUGCGGGGCCAUCGCCGGCGAGGGCCGCUUGUUGGCGGCGGAGUUGAGGGUGGGGCCGACGAGUCGGUCGAGCUCGUCGAAGAAGCUCCAGCCCGACGGCGCGCCGCGGACGCGCUCGGCCUUGUACUUCUUCUUGAGGGUGUCGACGCGGUUCUUGCACUGCACGUCGGUGCGCGGCGGGCGGCGGCGCGCGGCGGCCCCGCGGCGCGAGUUGACGGCGUUGGCCACCUCCUGCCACUGCUUCUGGCGCAGGUUGCCGCGGUUGAGCUCCACGUAGCGGCUGCCCCACGCGUCCACCAGCGCCGCCGUCUCGCCCUCGCUCCAGCAGUCCUCCCGGUAGGGCAGGUUAGGGUUGGGCGGCGGCAGCCUCCCAAACCCUCCCCCUCCUCCUCCUCCCCCUCCUCCCGCCGCCGCCGCAGCAGCAGCCGCAGCCAUCUCCCUCACCUCCAUCGGAACCAGAUCUCGCAGGAGCAAACCCUAACCCUAGCUAGCCCGCCCGCCGAGAGAAGAGGACCGAGCGAGCCUCGGGGAAGUCGCGCGUGACGGUGGGCUAUGUGAGCGGUGGGGGGUUCGGGGUUGGAAUAAAAGGACACGGCGAGGGAAGGGGGGAGGUGGGGUCGCCGGCCGCGAGGGGUCCGGGUUCCGUCCGUCACGCACGCGGCACGUGACGCGUGACCGGCGAGGGGGGGGCGGCAUCGGCAUGGCAUAUCUCGCUCGCUCUCGUGUGUCGUGGGUGACCGGAUUCGGAUCGGAGACGUGCCGCCGUUGGAUUGCGUUUGACCGGGUAACCGGCGAUUACUUUCGGGUUUCGGAGGGCGGGUGGGAUAAUGACAGCCAGCCAGGCACAGGCAAAGCAGAGCGCGGCGACAGGCGACAGCCGGAGACCGGACGGAAUACGGUGGCUGGCGCGGGGGUGGGAAAUUACCGCGUUGCCCCUACCCCGGGGAGCAGGCCGGGGCGGCACGCGGCAGGGGCAAGGCGGGGAUUUCGCGUGGGGCGGCGCGGUGUCAGGGGGUGAGCUGGUCGCCGUUGGUCGGUUUGCGUUUCGGGGCCGCCGAAAGAGGGGAGAGGAGAGAGAGAGAAACGCGCCGAGGAUGAUGGGGAAGGGAGAGGAGACUCGCGAACCGAAGACACCGCUGCUCCUCGCUCUGUACUCCAGUCUAGGCUUCUAGCUAGACUCGGCGCGGUGGAGUGGGUGGGUGAAGAGACUGAGGCGCGGGGCCCGCGUGCAAGCAGGCAGGGCGGGCAAUUAUUGUCGCCUCUGGUGCCGUCGCUCGGUACAGAGGACGGACGGACGGACGGCGUGGGCAAAAUUUAAUCGGCGUGCAGCAGGUGCCGGCUGCCGCCUGCAGGCGCCGGUCCUUCGGAUUGAUCGGUGGAUGGAUGCACUCGCCAAUGGCAAUUCAUCCAUCAAACAUCAUUCGUUACUGUAUAUUUUGUGGCAAAUCAAGAUUAGAGGUUCAUCAUCCGUUUACCGUUUUGGUUUGUCCCCUGGCGUCAUCAUCACCGUCUGGGCUUUGGAACUGACAAUAUGGUUCUUUCGGUGAAAUUCAGGUGAAAGUAAAACUCCACCGGUAGAUAGCAGCGGCCAUGGUGCCGUCGUGGGAACAGAGCAGUACGUACGUUACGGGCUCGCGUCAAAUCCUCGACGGAACCGUGCCCGCUGCACCGGUGGGUGAACAGAACACCAUAAAUCCCUCGCGGCCGUGGAGAGAAGUCAGGGGAACCGCGUGUACGUACGUGGUCCUCUCCUGCUAGCUAUAGCUAGGCUGCCCCGUGCGACCGGCGGCGAGGAAACGGCACGCUCGGGAGCCGUCAACAUUGAAUCGGAGGGCCGGGCGGCCGCGAUAGCGUAGCGACCAGCGAGAUACUCAGUCAGUACGGGCUACUUCGGGCUGUCACGCACGCACCGAGCCGGACGGCCGGGCCGACGCGUCGGGCUUGGGAACCACCGGCGCCGCAGGGGCGGGCUCGGACCGCGUCCAACGCCGCAGGCUUUGCAAAGCUUGCGUUGCGUGUACCCCACGCUACCACGCGGGUCCCCUCCACCAAUCAAUUCCAGGCCGGACGGACGGCCGGUACCGUGUACCGACGCGUCGCCCGCCGGAUCUCCGUGGCGUUUUCCUUUGCCUUUAGUUGUGUACCCGCCCCGCUUCACGCCGGCCUUGUGCGGCAGUUGUGUACACACACGCACGCACUUGUACUACUACUGGUGGCCUUGGACUUUGCUGGUUGCUGGUGCGCACCCAGCUUUUUGCGAACGGUUCCGGGAAACGCCGGCGGAAACUUGUGCGGCGGGUCGGUCGGUUGCCGGGGAAGGAAGGAUUCUUCACACAAGCAACGUGAGAUCUGACCAAGGGGAGCAGCAGCCAGCCAGCACGAGCAGCAGUUCGGCGCUGGAGCUACGCGCGAGCUGGGGCAGGAGCUACACGCCAUGUACGUUGCGUCCCCGGGCCGGUUUGAUUUACGACCGGAAGAGCCGCAGCGUUUCCGGCGCGAUGACCGGACAAAUUAGCCGGCUUGGCCGAUGGCUAUACUAUAUCGGAUUGGACAUAUGGAGUGAUAGUGCUCCCGACAGGUAGGAGACGGACGGACGAGAGCGAGUAAACUGCUGCCUGCGACUCUGCGAGUCCUGCCGUGCACGGCUCCAUGGACGGACCGCACGUCCAUGGCCUGUGUAGCUCCGACCGCACCGGACGCAGGCAAGCGGGACGUGCUGUUCAUCCUGCAGACGGGACUGACCCAAGUUAUUGGAGACGCGUCGGCAUUGAAGCCUUUUCCAUUCUCAGGAGCAUGACGUAAUCACGGGAUCACGCACGGCGUGGGCAAAAGAUUACCAGCCGCGCCGCGCGUGCCUGACUGCCUGUGCAGCUGUGCUAUUUUGAGUGCAGAAUACAGUUCUUCAGAACCGCGCCUGUUUUUUGAGGCUAACUGAACAUGCAGUUCCAUACAAUUUCAAAACUCUACGUAUAAUACGGAAGGGUAAAAGAUACUGAGGCGGUCGAGACCACUGUCGCGACACGCGAAGCCUGAAAUCGUAGCGGAUUUACUUUUUCUUUCUCUCGGGGCAACGUCCAGCAACAGCAAGUGACUGCUUGCCGGUUCAUCUGGCCGGACUGAAGGUGCAGAACUAUCUGCUUCCAUGACCAUGUCAUCUUACUGAACUGAUGUUGAUGUUGAUCGAACGGAAACUUGGUAUUAGUGCAAUUUGCAUUUGGUAGACGGGGGGUGGGAUGAAGAAGCUGCAGCGCAUUGGUCAGGGCAGCAGAUGGAAAACGCUGGAGACGGAGGUCAAAGAAGACGCGCGUAAAGGAACCGGUCAGAACAGUGACUUCCUUACUGGAUUUAGGUGACAGGCUGAAAAUUGUUUAUACUUUGGCACGUUGCCUGGGACACAGCAGUGGACAAGUUCGGUUCGGAGAAUUCUAUCCUCCAGUCAUGUUCCUUCUCGGUGAUUAACUAUCAGCUCAUCUGCCAAUCACAUGUUCUGUGGUGACAGCAGCCAGCAAAAAUAACCGAACGGAUUAGUGAUCGCCUAGAUUAUGUAGCUCAAUUUGCAUGCGUAGUUUCAAACGGUAUAAAACGAUGCCUUCGAAGAAAUGGGAGUAGUAAAAAACAUGUGGACUCGAUUUGGGCCGGGCCGCGAUAUCUUCGGUUCUCCACCCUCUUACGCGCAGCGUUUCUUCUCAGUGUCUGCUCAUCACUUGCGUUAGCUUGUAUUGUUUGCCUUCGCUUAAUAUUAGUGCCAUGUUAUCAUGGCUCCAUCGCCCAGUCGAACGCCGGCUAUCAGUUCAAAUUAUGGAUAGUCUAUUGGCUUUGAAUAAUGCGUGUCCUUGCUCUGAUUCCGUUGAGUGUCAUUCCAAGAGUAGGUAUCUAUCAGAAGAAUUUUCAGCAAAUGUCAGUGCUGCUUGAAGUCAACGAGUACUAAUCACAACAUGUGUGAACAUUUGCCAUCCUCCUGCGGUGCACUCUGACCUGCAUUGGAGAGCUGUAUUGCAGCCUGAAGGUCUUCUUCUCUAUUCUACUUCUACAUAUCUACCCACGUGUAUAUGCAGUAUCCUCCGAUGGUUUAGCCCAUGGGCAAUGCAGUUGUCUGCUUCAAUUCUUGGUGUUUCAGAACUAGUAGUACUACUAGAUAUGAUCAGUAUGCUGGGGACAGGACAGUAUGAAUGUACGAUAGAUAAGGUCCUAGAACAUGGGCCACAGGUUAUGCAGAUCGCAGACACGAGUGUUUGGCUGGAACUGAUCUCCGAAUGCGAGACUCCGAGAAACGUUGAUGCCGCUUUCUGUCGAUCACCUUGAGCCAUUGUCCGUCUGCUGGCCUGGCAGGGAAAGUCUACGGAAUGCCAUCUCGAAAGCCAUGGAAAUUCUGUUUUGCCUGACAGAACUCUGGCGUACAUGAGCAACAGCGACCGGAGCGUGGUUUGCCUGCGUGCUUGACUGUAUGGUCACGACGAACACGAGGUGGCGACCAUCCGCCGCGUUAUCCAGGACUGCACCCGUCAGAGAAGGAUCCUUCACUUUUUGGGAAUCCAAUCACUUCGGGAUCCAUCAGAGCAGAAGACACGGCCAUUUCGCCGGCGGCUUUCCCCAUACAGUGCACAUCUCGUGAACUUCCGUCCAUAUUUUCUGGCCAAAUUUGCAAAGGAUUUGUGCUUUUCAGAGUGCAGCAAACGUAGCAAUACCAGGAAACUACGGAGUAGAAUAGGAAGGAACGUACGCCUGUUUGUUCGGGCGGCAAAGUCAGAGCGACACUCUCUCUACUUUGUUUGUUCGUCAGGCCAGGACGCCCGCCAAACCCGACAUGGAUAACUCCAUUAUUGACGAUGGAAAGUAGAAAUCUGACCCCGGGGGCACUAGCAGACGACACUAUCCACAUUGUCUUCACACACCGAGAAUAUGACAAAAUAACAUGCAUUCUUAAUUCACCUAUCGUCCCCAGUACACACCAUCAGAAAACAUCUUCGAUCUUCUAAGGCGUGGAUGCAUUAGGGGUGCGUAUAAAAAUAAUCAUACUCCUUCCGAUACAUAAAAAGUUUCCCACAUUUAGUACAAAAUAUGUACUCCCUCCGUCGAACAAAGGAUGUUUCAACUUUGAUUAAAUUUGAAUGCAUCUAUACACUAAGUCAUGUCUAGAUACAUUUAAAUUUUGACAAACUUGAGACAUCUUUUGUUGGACGGAGGGAGUACUAAUUUUAGUACAAAAUGUGUGACACUUUUUAUGAAUGGGGGGAGUAUCUCCUAGACUCUUUUGAUUCAAAUGAGUUAAUCCUUCAGAAUUUUUUCUAUGUAGGCUUAUUUCAUUCGUAGGAUUAGAUUUUAGUGGAAAUUUGCCUAUGGUUCACUUUGCACUGCAGUGAUGCAAACCAGAUUCCGCGAAAACCCACUUCUAGUUCAUUUUUCAAAUCUUCAAUUCAAAUUUUGAGCAAAAAUUUGGAUAAAAGACUUGAGAAUUGAACUAAAAGUUGACCAUCAAUGGGAUCCCGUUUGCAUCUCUACUGCUCUCAAUUCCAAAGUAAAUUUUCCAUCUAAAUCUAAUCACUUGAAAAAAUUCCUUUGUUUCCAUGAUAACUAUACCAAUGCACGUAAUGUUUUUCUCUGUUUUUCCUCUAAUGCUAGAUUGAGUCUGUUUUUCCUUUAAUGUUUUUCCAACUCGAUUAGUUUAUUCAGGUGGUUUCUUCCUGUAGAAAACAACAUAUCAUGACAUUUCAAUCUUGUGUUUGCUAUUUCAGGGCUCAUUCACUCUACAUGCGUUUUAGAUGAUUUUUCUACAAGAUUUCAACUCUUACACCUUGUUUGGCACAUGUGGGUUUCUUACGUUUUCUAUUUCUACUCUACAAUCUUAAAAUCAUGUUCUCCUUCUGACCUUUGUUCUCAAAUUUAUCUAAAUACGGAUGUAUCUAUGUUUAAAAAAUGUCUAUAUAUAUUUAUAAUAUUUCAGUAACUAAUAUGAAUCGGAGCAACUAACUCGAACGAGCCCUCGGUGUUUGAAUAUUUAAAUACUCCUGAAUGCAAGUAUAGUUCUGCACUCCUACUGCAGCUUGCUACCACGAAACUAAACAUUUCUCUUUCUGCAGCCCCCGACUCGAUCUAGCCGCAGUCCAUGUCGUUCUUUUCGCCCUGGCGUGUGCAAGAGUCGAACCCAUAGUGUGAACAAUUGAGUUAGGCACGAGCCGGAGAGGAGGAGAAAGGACAAAUUAUUGCUCAGAUUAAUCAUCACCUCGAUCGUUGCGGCGCAAUACCGUUAUAUAACGACGGAAUACGGGCCCACACGUCAGUGUAAAGCGAGCUGCUUGCCGCUUUCUCCCUCUUGCGUGACGCCGUCGCCGUCCAGAGCCAUCUGGCCACCGGGCUCCCAGCCCCCCACAGAUGUGCCCCCUGCAUGCGCGCCAUGUAUCAGCCUCUGAUACGUCAGGCCAGGAACCAUCCUCAGCCGUCAGUUCGUCCAUCUCGACGGCUGCGAUCGCGCUGCCGCCACUUAUAAAUAGCACCGAUGCACGCGCGAGAAAGUCCGUUUUACCUUGCUGGGGGGGGGGGGUUUUACUUACAUGAGCGCGGGAAUGGAGGCGGAGCUGGAGGCGGCUCAGCGGCGCUUCCGGCUCUGGUUCCGCGGGCUGCGUUCCCUGCGGCGGGACCUCCGGUCGGCCCGCUGGGCCGGCGACGACCCGGCCCAGCUGGGGAAGCUGGCGGGCGGCUUCGUGGCCCACUUCUCCGACUACUGCGCCGCGCGGGCCGAGCUGGACCCGGUCCUGCUGCUGUCGGCGCCCUGGGCGAGCCCCGCGGAGCGUGGCGCCGCCUACUGGCUGGCCGGGUGGCGGCCGACCACGGUGGUCCACCUGCUGUACACCGAGUCCAGCCGCCGGUUCGAGGCGCAGCUCCCUGACCUGCUCCUGGGCGUGCGGUCGGGCAACCUGGGCGACCUCAGCCCGGCCCAGCUGGCCCAGAUCGACGAGCUCCAGCGCCGCGCCGUCGCCGAGGAAGACGCGCUCUCAAGGGAGAUGGCGCGGCUGCAGGAGGGCCACGGCGUCGUUGGCGGAGACGGGGAUCUGGACGUGGAGGGGAUCGUGAGGCGCGCCGGGGCCGUGGUGGCAGGGGCCGACGCGCUGCGGCUGCGCACCUUGAAGCGCGCCGUGGAGAUCCUCGAGCCGGCGCAGGCCGCCGAGCUGCUCGUCGCCAUGGCCGACAUGGAGAUCGGCUUCCGGGAGUUCGGGCUAAAGCACGGCGACGGCGGUGGCGAGCCGAGCCGCGGCGCGUAGGCAUAGGCGUGGCGCGGUCCAGAGAGCAGAUCCUCAUCCGCAUCGGCGGCUCGGCCCAGUUUUUUUCUUCCAAGUGUUUGCGCUGGUUUGACUGGGACAGAAAGACUGCUCACUGUUGUAAUCUUGUUGCCGUGACGAUUGUCUUUGCCGAACUGUCUCGCGGUGGGUGCUGCGUCGUAGCUGGACCGUGUGCGUGUGCGUGUGCGUGCGCGUGCGCCUGCUGGGAUGUCGUGUGAGAAAGCAAUAAAAUGCAAGGAAUGCAUGCUUGGUUUCGUUGAGAAGUCAUAUUUUGUUUUCGAGCAAGCGGUUUUUUUAACAUCUUUUCCGAUAAAUUGGCUGUUUGUCUGUUCACUACAGAAGACCCGUCCUUUUAAAAACGGUUUUGCUAUUAAUAAAUCCAUGUUUUAGUUAGAGUAGUCAUAGGAUUUUAAUCCAAUGAUAGCAAGUGAGAGAUGAGAGAACGAGGAUGACUCUCAGAUCUCCAGCAGUUAUGAAACGUCGACUGAUAUUUAAGGUUCAUUUUUUAAAAACUUGCGACUUAGAAAUAGCCAUACCCAUUUAAAAAACGUGUUAAAUCUUAUUAAAAUAAGAUUCUGAUCGAUAACUUAUUUUUAAUAGGUAUUGCUACGGAAAAGUUGUUUUUCUAGUUAAAGAUAAGUUGAAACACCAACUGUCAUAUCUUGAUCCAACGGCGGCACAUUGAAGAUGGGGUGUAGCUGCUAGCUUCGGCAUUGAAGAUGGCGUCAUGGUAGGGAGAAGCUAUCAAGUUAUCCGAGAUAGAGGAGGCACUGAUGGAACACAUCCGCUUGCUAGGCUUGUAAUCGGACAAAUAAUUCAAACAGCUUUGCUAUUCAUAAGACAAUUGAGAAAUAAUUAUUUUCAAGCCGACGCUAACAAUCGUUUAAUCCAAUCUCUGAUAUGUGUGAGAUCUAUACAAGUGUUGUUGACUGAAAAUAACUGCUUCCUCCGCGCCUGGAUACUCGUCGUGGUCCGGAAAUCCAACCAGUUGUUCGUUCGAGCCAGAUCCAAACGACACCGGACAGACAACCACGGGCGGUUCUACCGUGCCGCACGGUCACGCGCCCAAUUAACCGGCCACACGGCCAAGCGAAUCCAGGAUUAAAAAUAGGAAUCGCGUACAAUUACCGGCCACCCAGCCAGGCAGCCCGCAACGAUAAACCAGCAGUCUCCCGCUCCAUGUUUGGGAGCCAUGCCCAACUACAAACCCAACGUUUCCAAGCUGGCCGCCGCGCCCCGCGACAUCCACACGGCAGAUUAACCCUUCUUCUCCUUUCCUUCCUUCCUCCCUCUCCGCGCGCGCGCGACCUCCCGCAGACCCGCCUCCGCGAAUCUAGCCACCCCCGCGCGUGCGCCACGCACCGUCCGUCCGUCGGACCUCGGCCGGGCCGGCCCGCGGUCGUCGGCGCGCGGAGGGCGUUCGUGAGAAUGCGUGCGGCGGCGAUUGGUUGCUAGCUAGCUAGCGGCAUGCCUGGCAUGAGCGCGUGAUGGCGCCGCCGUUCCUGAAGACCGGGCACGGCCGCGACAGGUUCUCCUUCAGGCGGCGGAAAUCGUCCUCCUCCUCGUCCUCCUCGUCGACGCCGUCUUCUCCGCUCUCGGUGUCGUCCACAGCGUCGGAGGACAUCGCCGACCCGGGCAGCCCCAUGGAGUCGUCAGCGACGACGGGCAAGACGCUGCCCUGCGCCCGGCGGGCGCUCUCGCGGAGCAGCUGCGGGUCCAGGGGCAAGCUGUCCGUCGACCUGAUCCCGCCGCCGCUCGCCGGCGGCCCGUCCGACGCGCCCAGGUCCUCCACCUCCGCCGCGCCGCCCCCCAAGCCUCCCCCCCGCAACGAGGGCCCGCCUUCAGGUCUCACCAUUGUUAAUUUUCUAGUGUCUGUCUGACUUUCUGUCGUCAAAUGCAGAGAAAUGCCUUGUUAUGUUUUCGUGAUCGAUUGCAUGUAUCCAGAUGCUGACAUCGUGAGGGACAAGUUCUCCAAGCUGCUGCUGGGGGAGGACAUGUCCGGCACCGGCAAAGGGGUGUCCUCUGCCCUCGCUCUCUCCAACGCCAUCACCAAUCUUGCAGGUAAUCUCUCCCUUACCUUCCAUUUCCGAUCUUUCCAUUUCCAAUAACAGUCCCUGUCUUUCAAAUCUUCCCAUUCUGUCCGUUGGGUUCUGAUGGAUACUGACACGAUCAGCUAUGAUUUCUUUCUCAUGACGUGGCACAUUGCAGCUUCCGUGUUCGGUGAGCAGCGGCGUCUCCAGCCGAUGGCCGCAGAGCCGAAGGCCCGAUGGACAAAAGAAAUUGACUGGCUUCUGUCCGUUGCCGACCACAUCGUCGAAUUCGUUCCUUCACGUCAGGUGUCCGAGGAUGGCUCCACCAUGGAGGUCAGAAACAAGAGGAUCCUUGCUUAUCACAAGUACCUGGAUGUAGUUCUGUAUCACGGAACAUCUUUAUGCAAAUCCAAUUACAGCGGUGCUAUUUUUCUCUCUCUCCCCCCAAACAGAUAAUGAUGACUCAGCAGCGUAAGGAUCUGCAGAUGAACAUCCCCGCACUGCGCAAGCUCGACGGGAUGCUCCUUGUAAAGCUCUGCCACAUUCUUCUUUGAAAUCAUUUACGAGAAUGACAUGCGUGGAGAUACCUGAUGAAUUGCUAAUAUGCUAUGGCUGCACAUUUCCUGUUGUGGGGGCACAGAGCUAUCUUGACAGCUUCAGGGACAAGCAGGAGUUUUGGUACGUGUCGAAAGACGCAGAUGACUCGGAGAAGGGAGACGCGCCGAAGCAGGAUGACAAGUGGUGGCUCCCGACUGUCAGGGUCCCUCCUAAUGGUCUGUCGGACUCGUCGAGGAGGUGGCUUCUACACCAGAGGGAGCUCGUCGGCCAAGUCCAUAAGGCAACAAUGGCCAUCAAUGCUAAUGUUCUUAUGGAGAUGGAUGUUCCAGAAGCCUAUAUGGAGUCUCUGCCUAAGGUGACCCAUAUGAACACAGCAACAUUGCAUAACAUUUUUCUUUACUUCGGUUCACUGCAUUUAGAGGGAUCGAGACUCACUUUGACAGCAUCUUCUUUUUUUAUGCUUGAUAGAAUGGAAAGUCUAGCCUUGGAGACUCAAUGUACAAGCUUAUAACUGACGAAUAUUUUGACCCAGAAGAACUCAUAGCAUCAGUAGACUUGUCAGCCGAGUACAGCAUCGUUGAUCUGAAGAACCGAAUCGAAGCCUCGAUUGUCAUUUGGCAGAAGAAAAUGACGCAGAAGGAUGCCAAGAUGUGGGGGCAUGGUGUCAGUCAUGAGAAGCGGGGACGGUUUGAGGGGAGGGCGGAGAAUGUUCUUCUCCUCCUUAAGCACAGAUUCCCCGGAAUUUCUCAGUCAGCUCUGGACAUAAGCAAAAUCCAGUACAACAGGGUACUGGCAACCAUCUUCAAUUUUCCACUGUAUUUUCGGAUUUCCUACAGUACUUUAUUACUCAUGCUCAUUGCAUACAUUUUCUCGUUGUGAUUUUUUUGCAGGAUGUUGGCAGUGCCAUUUUGGAGAGCUACUCCAGGACUCUUGAGAGUCUAGCAUACACGGUUAUGUCUCGCAUCGAAGACGUUCUUCGCGCCGACUCCCUUGCUCAAGACCCCAAGAACGCGGAGGCGACGAGAAUGCCGAGCUUAUCAUCAGAUGACACAGACACGGUCGUCCAAGAUGCCAAGGACGAGGUGGAGAGGCUGGGAAGAAUGGAGCCUCUGAACUCGACACUAUUCGACUACGUGGGCCCACGGGACGGAGAUAUCGGGCCCAUGAUGUCGGAUUCACAGGAACCUCGGGGUGCAAAGCUGUCAAAGGUUUCGUCGAUCGCAACCAAGAGGUUCUCCUACCUAGAUAAGCUUGAGAAUUUGGGUGGAACAAGGAGCCCCAUAUCUAGACACUAGUCGCUGCCGUAGGGGAAAAGACGAUCAAUAUGGUGUUGAUGUUGCUGCAGAGACUCCGGGGAAAACUGCACGUAAAUAGCUCCGCAAAAACUGAGGGUGCAGCAUGCAUUGUGAGGUUUAUGUAAGCUUUCAAGCUUUCAGGCACCAAUACCUCCAAUUUGGUGCAGUUGCCAAGACAAUGUGAUGACGAUUCUCCUGCUAAAUUUACAUGAAAUAACCACAAGAUUCUGACACUGGACCUGAAAAUGGACCUCCAGAUUUUCUUACUGUACUUCUGUAGCAAAGUUUUGUGGUUCCAGUAAAGUGUUUGUUAUCUUAGACUUGACUUGCAGACCAUGCUUGGGUUCGGCUAGUGUUCUCCCCACGUACAAUUUAAGAGGGUAAUAACAUAUCACUGAACUUGGAGAUCGAUCUGUGUUAGCUUCUGGCGUUCUAGAUCGGCACUGUAAUAAGUAACUGUAACUGUACCAUGGCUCUAUGCAUUGGGAAAUUAAAACCACUCGUAUGAGUAAAUCAAUUUACAGGAACAAAUGAGCAGUAAAAAGCAUCCUUCCGGUUGCUGAUAGUACGUGCAGCUAGGCACGCCAUAUGAGUACAUACAACGAAGGACUUAACGUCCAGAUACGCAGAUCCAUGGUACACAAGCACAGGCAUAUGCAGGAACAGAUUCAGAGAGAGAGAGAGAGAGAAAGAAACUGAAACCAAAGCUUUAAUCAAAUCAGAUCAGAUCUUGCCGCGUGGGCCGGGGGUGGGGGGAAGCUGCGGCCCCUUCUUGAUGGGCAGCAGGUCCGGCGACGUGGUGGCGCCGAGGUAGGCGAUCAGGGACCCGCCGCCGAGGAGCAGGAACUUGAGCAGCAGGCCGCGCUUGGUGAAUGGCGCCGCGAAGGUCUGGAAGAACUUGCUCUGCAGCCCGUUGUAAGGGGACGGCGCGUCGGACCCGUACAGGUCCCACUGCCCCGUCGUGUUGCCGAUGUCGUCCAGGUCGAAGUACACGCUCUUCUCCCCGUACUUCGCCUGCACCGCGACGCCUCGUGCAGGCCUGCAGGCGUACGCGCACGCGUAUAUAUACGGUUAUUUAUACGUAUGUACAUACGCUCGAUCGAUGACAUAUUAGCUCGCUUCACGUGCGUACCUGCGGGUGGAGCGGCAGAGGGAGGACGGCCGGGCGGUGGCGGCGAGCUUGCGGCCGGACAUGGAACUGCCGGCCAGGCCCUUCACGGCGGCCGACGGCUGGACGGCGACGAGCGACACCAUUGUUGUAACAGUGGGAUGUGUUCUGAGCUUCUUUUUCUUUUUUUUUUUGCUGCGGGUUACGUGCGCGAACUUGAUCCAGUGCUGGGGAUAUUUGGAAGGUGUGCUGCUGCGGGGCUGAUCAGGUUUGGGUGGGAGAGGCUUGGCGGGGAUGGGCGAGGCCCCCAUUGGGAGCGCGCCACGCGGCAGGGUUCCGGAUAGGCUUAUCCUGAUCGCUUGAUUCUUGGGAGGGAUGACAUGGCGCGGCCAACGUGGCACCGGAGCUUGCGUGGGGUUGUCCAGCUGGGAACGGGCGUCGGAAAAGAUCUCACCAGAUGUCCCCGACGGCAUCGAUCGAUCGAUCACGGUCUCACUGAGAUAUGGUGGGCCGGUGGGCCCAGAAGCCCUCUAGCUAGGUGCUAGGACAGUGCACGUAACGUACUCCGUAUUGAUCAUUGAAGGAAAGUAAAGAGAGAUAGGUAGAGAAGGACGUCCACGUACUCCGUUGCAUUUUGCAAAUGUUGCACGUACGUACGUAUCAGCACCAGGAUACAUAUGCAACGUGGGCAGGCAGAGUACGUAUAUUGUAGUGUAACGUAUUGCUAGUCGAUCUUAAGCACCUUCCGCUUGGCCGGGGAUACUAAUUAACCGGUAAAUACGGCGGAAGGGAUGUGUACAGGCGCGAUAUAUACAGUGGAUCCAGAUCUGAGAUCGAUCUAGCUGAGCCUUGCGUACGUGCUAUAUACACAUCCUCAUCCGCGAUGGGCAAGCGCAUGCAUGCAGGGUACGCUUCUACGACAAUGGAGCAGCAAAGGAAUUGACGCUACGCUACGUACAGCGAAUCGAUCAUGCACGGAUUUGCGAAUCGAUAUCUUCACGAUGCAUGGCCACAGGCAGGAUGGCGCACAAGUGUGCUGGGAGCGAGAAGACGCGACUAAAAAAAUAUGUGAAUGCGAUGAGCCGGGCCAGGCUGCCAGCUUUAAGCCCAGAUCCAGAGCGACAAGCAAGCCGUUGUUGCACGCCCAACACUACCAACAUGGACCCGCUUUUUUUCGGCGGGCCUGAAUCCACCGUCUAUACUGAUGCCCUCUGGCCCAAACGAGAAAAGAAAUACCAUACAGUACGGCCGUUUGUUUUUUGUGGGUAUACUGUACACAGGUUGGCGCGGCUAACGAAGAUGCGAGGGCACAGGGAGGCGCACCUUCCUCGGUUCAGUUCAGUUCAGUUCAGGCCGAGAUCCACCGAUCCGCGCGCGCACAGCGCACCGGUGAGAAAGCCAGCACCGACGACGCGGCGCCCCCACGCCACCAGCCAGCCACCGGCCAAACGCACUAACCAAAACCUCGCCGUCGUCGUGCGCUCCCGCCGAACCCCACCCUAGUUCUCUCCCUACUACAUCUCCACGGCGGGAGCUUUGCGCAGCUCUCCCCCGCUCCCCGUGCCACACUCGCUCCUGCACCUCCCGCUCCCCGUCUCCCUUCCCGGCCUGGGGCGUCGGUCCCCAAUUCGGGUCGGGGGGCGCCGAGGUCGCGAGGCGGAUCAGGAUCUGAUCCCGCGCGGCCGGAGCGGGAGCGGUGGGUCGGUCGAUUGGGCGGCGCCGGGAUCAGAUCUAUGCGCGAGAUCUAGCCGGGCGUGCGGGCGGCUGCUGGUGAUCGGAGCCGGACCCGGAGGGGAGUGAGGGAUGGCGUGGUGGUCGGGGAAGGUGUCGCUGGGCGGGCUGCAGGACAUCGCCGGCGCCGUGAACAAGAUCAGCGAGAGCGUGAAGAACAUCGAGAAGAACUUCGACAGCGCGCUCGGCCUCGAGGAGAAGCGCGACGACGAGGAAGGUAUGCGCCACUCAUGCUAAAGCCGCCCCCCCCCGACCCGACCCCUUUCCUCCCGUGUAGCCGCCUAGCCGGGCAGCAUUGGUGCAUGCUUGGCUGCGUGCAAGUGUCGAUUGGGAACUGCGAUGGGAUUUUUUUGGUUGAAUACUGCACUGGGUCAUGGGAUUGUCACUGGCGGUAAUGCUGUUUGUAGCGUUGUUCAUGCGAUGAUUGGUUAGUUAGCUAUCGAUAGUGUAUACUGACUGAUGUGAUUGUAGGAAGCAGAAGUUUGAAUUCAGGUCAUCGCUGGUUCCAUUGCUCUCGCAGCUUCUUAUGUAGAUAGAUUAUUGCUUAAGUCUCGGACUCUGUAAAUUGGUCAAGCAAAACCCCAGUCCCUAAGUUUCGUAUUUAUCAGCUGCUGCAUUAUUGAUCAUUGAUUGGUCUAGCCAGAUCAUAAAAACUUAUACAUACUUCUUAGUAGCGUUGGCAUUACAACAGAUUUUGUAUUGCUCUUUCCUUUUGAGAAGUAAUGGAACUUGGAGGCAGUGAAUUCAUGCCUAUUCUCAUAACUUUUUUCCAAUAGUUUUUGUUCUGAGUAGCAUCGCUAGGAUGAGCAUAUUUGGAGAAUAUAUAGCUUCUAAUUGUUCAUUUACAUGGCUAACGUGAGACCCAAAAAAUGUGUUUUUGGGUGAUCCAGGAUCAGGAUCACGUACAUCCAACUCUGAUGGAAUAGGAUUCUUUAAUCCUGUCAUGGCAUUUAUGGGACAAAAUGGUGAGGAGAACUCUACGGAAGUAUCAGAAAAGCAACAAUUGCCAAUACAUUCGUCAGCAGAAGAAGAAAAUCAUAGGGUCACCACCGAGCCAGCUACAUCUGAAGCAGAUGCUUCUGAAGUAUCAGUAACAACCCAAUCUCCAAAGCAGCUUCCAAAAUUAGAAGAGAAUGUCAGCAGCUCCACUGAGCUACCUGUAUCUAAGGUGGAUGUUCCUGACCAAUCUGUAACACCGCAAGCUCCAACACAUCCUUCAGCAUUAGAAGAAAAUAAUGGUGGCUCCACUGAGUCACCUACAUCUAAGGGGGCAACUUCUGAAGUAUCAGAGACACCGCAGUCCCCGAUACAUCCAUCUAUAGCCGAAGAAAAUUCUAGUGGCUCCAUUGAAACUAGUAACUCAGUUGAGAGGGAAAAUCAGGGUCACGAAGGUAAUGAAUAUUCUGAUCCCAAUGACGAAGCUUUACCGAGCCAGCUUGGAGUGUCCGGCAGGGACAUACCUGGUGGUGGAACAUCUUCACCUAAUAAAUUAGAUCAAUCAAGUGUUAUUGGAGCAGAAGAAUCUAUUCAUGAUGGAAAGGAUGACACAAAUGGUAACCAGUCACAGCCAGCAGAUUCCACGGUAGCCAGUUCAGAUGAUGUAAAUGAAGGCAAUAAGAUUGGUCAAGAAUUUGAUGCCCAAAAGGAAAUAAUCAGCCCACAUGAGAGCAAUGUUAUCGAUGACAAAGCCAGUCAUGUGGAAGUCAAGUUACAUGACGACGCUGCUGAGAAUGAAGAAGAAAACAGUCAAACAGAAGCACAUGCAGUAUCUGUUGUUGAAAAUGUGGAUAAUACAGUGUUGCAACUUGAAAACCCUACCUCAAAGUCGAUAACUAUGGAUGAUGAUUCAGACUCGCAAAAUGAGUUAGCACCCGCUUCUGUACAUGUUCCUGUUGGUCUUGUAGAAGUUGGUUCUCAUGCAAAUGAUUUGAGAAAAGAAGAAAAGAUUCAUGACUCUGUAACAACCAUAAAUUCUCGAGAAUCUGUUGGUUCUGUUGUUGAACUAGAGAAACUAAGACGUGAAAUGAAGAUGAUGGAUGCUGCAUUGCAAGGUGCUGCAAGGCAGUCCCAGGUAUCAUUUCCAAAAUCCACAUGCUCUAGCAUCUACUGUAGCAAUUAAGUUAGUAACAUGUUUGGUUGAGGAACUAGACAGUGAGUAUAUCAUCCGAUUCUAGCCCACUUGUUUGGGUUGAGGAAUAGACUCGGUUAGUCCAACACCACUUCAUCCUUCAUAUGCAUGAGAUUGGCACUAAUGGGAAUUGAGUCAUCCCACCAAUUUGAUUGAUCAUCCCAUGUUGAGGCAACUCAUCUUGGAUUGAGGCAAUCCCUCGAACUAAAUACCCCCUUGAUGCAUGUGUGGUUGAACUUGUACAUUAUGAAAGUUACUCCUGGAUGAUUCAACUUGGAAGCAAACCUUUAGUGCAAUCUGUUUGAACCAAUGAGUGCUUGCUAAAUUGUCUGUAUAUGUACCUUUUUAUUCAGUCUGAAUCUAGUUUACCCGUGAUGUGGAUUCAUCUCAUAUUUUCCUUUUUUUGGGGUGUCAUGCUUUACGGAAAAAAACAUAAAAUAUGUACAGUUAUCUAAUAUUUCAAAGUGCUUUGUAGUGUCAGAAAGGAGCAUAUCAUGCAAUUAUCUUUCUUCUUUUCUGAGUAUUAUAUUCUGAUGCACCGAGCCGGUCAUGAGGUAUUAUGUGCUUCAGAUGCGUUCUUAACAAUGAUCGUCAAAACAUUGUAUAAUUUGAAUGGCCUAUGGCCCCAUGUUAGUCAUUUCUUUGCAACAUACAUGACCCUUCACCACCUAUUUAGGUUCUAACAACACUUUAUUUUUCCUACAGUCCAAAGCUGAUGAAAUUGCUAGACUGAUGAAUGAAAAUGAGCAAUUGAAAUCAGCAAUUGAUGAGCUCAAGGUAUGUUUGCUAAGCAGAUUCCUUAUCUUUUGCCUUCUGGACAUAAACAUUUGGGAUGUCUUUCAGUUAAUUAACAAAAAAAGGAUGCCUUCGGUUUAGUAAUCACCACAAUUUUGAGUUGAAUUAUGUGAAAAUAAACAAGAUAAAUACUGAGUUGCUUGGCAGCUCCUUUAGCCUUUGAUGAGUGUUAUAAUAAAUUUUUUUACUGUACAGGGUAAGUCAGCUGAAGAAGAAAUGGAUGCUCUCAAGGAUGAAUAUCACCAAAGAGUAGCAACUCUUGAAAGGAAGGUGAGACACAUUACUUUUGUUACUCAGUGCUACUAUUGACAGUUGAUCAUUGCGUAUUGCAUACGGCAACCUGAUUUAGGACUAAUAAUCAUGGAGAACAGAUAGAUACAAGUGCGCUAAAUGCCGCUAAGACCAGAGGGUUGAUAAACAAUAUACGAUAUUACUCACAUACAAUAUUGUAAUUACUAAUUACAAUCUUCAUGCUUUUUGUGCGGUGGUAGGCCUGGUAAUGGGGCUAAGCCCGCACCGAAUCCAAACCACACCAUAACAUCUCACGUGUAUUUCCCAAUCGCAACCAAACCAGAAGUGAAAUUAGAAAACCCAAACCACACCGCACCGUACGACUUCUCCAUCCAAUCCGCACCAAACCAAUUCAGAAACCGCAGGCUCCGGCACCACGGUCAGGCUUCGAUGGAGAUAGGCGGAGGGAGGCAGAAGCGGGGAGAUUGAAGGGCGACCGGUGGCGGAGGGUGUUGGACCUUGGGGACACUGGCGACGUGCAGAUCGGGAGGAAAAUGAUGUUGGGGAGCAGAUUGGGAGGAAGACGAUGUGGGGGAGCCGGUUACAGUUUACGAAGAAGAGGAGGCAGGGGGCGCCGGCGGCGGAGCGCCGGAUCAGGCAAGGGCGGCUGGCGGUGGAACGCCGGAGCAGGCAGGCGACGACAUCGGGAGGAAAACGAUGUGGGGGAGCCGGUGACAGUUGACAAGGAGGAGGAGACAGGGGGCACCGGCGACGGAGCGCCGGAUUAGGCAAGGGCGUCUGGCGGCGGAACGCCGAAGCUGGCAGGUGGCGGCGAGCGCAACCCCGUCACCAUCACAAGGGGAAGUUGAGGCCGUGCCAUCAUGGUCUUUGUUAUUCCAAGUGGUGUUCAUGGGCUGAAACCAAGGUUGGAGACCACGGUCUGAGCCCAAUUCAGUUCUAGACCGGUCCAAACCAAACCGCACCAGUCCAAACCGCAUUUGUACUAAUACCAAACCAGCCCAGACCGAUUUUCUAUCCCAUCCAUUUGAAACCGCACUGUUUGAACCCGCAUGCAAAACCCGCACCAAAAAAACCGAACGAACCUGCACCAUUACCAGGCCUAUGCAGUGGCUCUAUUUUGUUAUUCUUUUUUUUUGCAUUCUUUGUUUUAAUGGUAAAAUAAUCAAAGAUUCUCUUCUGUGCUUUAAACUUUGAACUUUAUGUUAAUGGUAAAAUCAUGGUAAAAUAAUCAAGCUAUUUAGCUACACUUUGAACUUCUUUUUCCUGCAAUUCUUCUAUUGUUGAACCCUUUGACUAGCUGGGGCGCAAUUACAUUUAUUGCACUAUGGUUAAUUUUGUUUUUCUCUUAAUUCAGUUCAUCAAGAAAUUGAGUUGAUAUUUAAUACUAAAGUUGUGUUUAGAGUGAGGCAAUGAGCUGCAUUAGUAAGGUUCCUUAGAAUGCUAUUGUCAGAAUCUCAUAAUCCUCUAUGUCAUUUUUUGUCCCUUCCGGGUUCAUAACUUAUAUUGCCAGUGUCCUUGUUCAUAUAUACAAUUAAUCUUGUGCAUAGCACUGAAAUGUUUGUAAUGUGCAUGCCUCAAUGUGUGUAGGUUUAUGCACUAACCAAAGAACGAGACACAUUGAGGAGAGAGCAAAAUAAGAAAAGUGACGCGGCUGCUCUUUUGAAAGAGAAGGACGAAAUUAUCAGUCAGGUUAUGGCUGAAGGUAUGCAUAAUUGUGAUUUUUAUGCUUACUGAACAUAUUUUAACUAAUGUUAAGUCAAAAUAUGUUCUGUUGUAUUGUUGAAAACAAUAUGAAAUUGCCUUUUCUAUUAUUUAAAGACAUCCAGUGAACAUUCCAAAUAUUAAUGUUACCAUACGUUAUGUUGCACCGUGUCGAGCACCCUUUAUUGAUUAGAGUCAUUUCAAUCGUGACUUCAAUGAUCAUGCAUGAAUAUGUACAUAUUAGUAAGAUUAGAAAAAUAUGUAAUUGCCUCCAGAACAUGGAUAUAAGACCAUAAAAAUGACAUCACAAACUUUUAAACCACCUAUCACUUCUGUAUGGGCCUGUACUCUGCAGUUUAUCGUGUGAUAUUUGGAAGUUUUGUGUCUUUAAGCUAGCCUUGGUUGAGUGCCUUACUGCUUUGGUUGGAGCUGAAGUCCUUGGCUCUCUGCUGUAAGGCUCUGAUCUGGCUACCAAUGGUAGUUGUAGAUAACUAGGUAUUAGGCAUGCACAUUUUCUUUGUGAAAAGGGCCUAAUGCCCUAAUGUGUAAGUUUGCCGUUAUUCCUCCAUCCGCUGCUUUAGACCAUGUACAUACUAUAGCCCCCCAUGUGAUCAUGUUCACCUUUUUAGUAUGUUCUGGACCAUGAUUGGCAAUGACACUAACAUCUUGUUUUUACCAAUGGAACAGGCGAAGAGCUAUCCCGAAAACAAGCUGCUCAAGAAGCUACUAUACGGAAACUGAGGACGCAGGCAUGGGAUAUGACUCUAUAACCAUACUACUUCAUCAAAAUUAUAAAGUAGGUUUUACCAAAGUAAUCAAGUUUGCUUUCUUUUUUUUGGUUGAAGCUAGGUUCGUGAGCUUGAAGAAGAAAAACAGCGGAUGAACUCAAAGAUCCAGGUAAAAAGGAAAAUCAACUUUGUUUUAUUAAUGAAUGAAUAAAUAAAUUAAUUGACCCCAACUAAAUUAUUUUCUUAUCUGCUUUAAUAUCAUAAAGUAUUUUUCUUUGCUGUUUGCAUGAUUAAAAAAAUCAUUUCUGAAGCUAUUUUUUAUUGUUUGUUUAUUCCUAUUUGUUUUGUUCCAUUUGAACAGUAGUUUGCAUCACCCGUACAGCUUGUUUACAGUUUCAUGAGUUCGUUACAGUCAGACAUGCUUUUUUCUUUCUUACUUGGUUGAUGGGCAACUCUGAAAUAUUGCACUCAGAGAUUAUGGAGUUGAUCUUCAUCCUUUUUGUUUGCUCUCAGGCUUCAAGUGCAGUCACUAACUCAGCAAUUUUCUGACUUUACAGGUUGAGGAGACAAAGGUUGAGAGUAUUAAAAGAGACAAGGCAGCAACCGAGAAGUUGCUACAAGAAACAAUAGAAAGAAAUCAAUCUGAACUUGCAGCUCAGAAGGAGUUCUACACAAAUGCUCUUAGUGCAGCAAAAGAGGCUGAGGCAUUAGCUGAAGCAAGAGUCAACACUGAAGCCAAAGUUGAGCUUGAGAGCCGUUUGAGAGAAGCUGGUGAAAAAGAAAACAUGCUGAUUAACACAAUUGAUGAGUUGAGGAAUGCUCUCACCAGACAAGAACAGGAGGUAUGCUAUGAAAAUAUUCGUCUGCACCUGUGCAUCUGUAGUUCAACAUCCUCGGUACAAAUAGUGUGUAUAUUGUGCUGAUCUAACCAUAAUCUACAUUUGACUCCUGGAUAAAAACUUCAUCUGAUAAUUAUUGUUUUAGCUGCCCACUUUCGAUUCACUGAUUGCAAGUAUUUCUUUCGUGGCAUUUCAGGCAGCUUUCAGGGAAGAAAGGCUAAAAAGGGAUCAUGAUGAUCUUCAAAAGCGGUACCAAGUAAGCUCUUCUGUUUUAGCUGCUACUACAGAGUACUGUAGUCAUGGACCAAUUCUCAAUUUCUUUCAUUAUUUAAUACUUCAGGCCAGUGAACUUCGUUAUAAUGAACUGGUUACACAAGUUCCUGAGUCGACCAGGCCACUCCUAAGGCAAAUUGAAGCCAUGCAGGUAUGAGUGCUUGCUUUGGAUUUUCCUUGUGCUGUAAUUGUUUCGCUGUUCUUCUGUUAGUUGGUGUAUGCAUCCGAGUCUGUGAAUUGAGUUUUUCUGCUGUUGUAAGUUGGCUAAUCAGUUGUGUUUUAAUUUUAACAGGAGUCAGCUGCUCGAAGGGAAGAAGCUUGGACUGGUGUGGAGAGAACCUUAAACUCUCGCCUUCAGGUCAAUUCUGUUCUGAACUUUUGGUUUAACAGUGAUGUGCAGAAAAACAAUGGAGAAAACUAGAACUACAACAUGGACCUUAAAUUGUUAUAAAUGUGCAAUGAGCAGGGACAGCAGAACAAAAUGGACAUAAACUUUGACAUUAAGUCAUUAAUAACUGUUUUCUUGUAGUUAUUUAUGCCUCUGCAAAUGUACAGAUAAAGAGGAGUGGUUGGGUGCUAUCUAUCUUUAGUGCAGUCGGGCAGUGUCAGGAACACAAACAUAAAUAUUUCACUGACAUAGUUUUAUCUGUCCUACUCAAAUAUGCAGGAAGCAGAAGCAAAAGCUGCUGCCUCGGGAGAAAAGGAGCGGUCCAUAAAUGAGAGAUUGUCACAAAGUUUAUCACGCAUAACUGUUUUGGAGACCCAGGUUUGUGCAAUAAUUUCUUCUAAAAACAAAAACUUGUGACAUUAUUGUAAGUCAACCCGGGUUUUUGGCAACAAUUUGGGGCCUUUAGUAAGAAAAGUAUUUAUUUUGAAAUGAACUUUGUGUCUUGUGCAGAUUACAAUUCUUAGAACAGAGCAGACACAGCUGAGCCGAUCUCUUGAAAAAGAGAGGCAGAGAGCAUCUGAAAGUAGACAGGAGUACCUUGCAAUUAAGGAGGAGGCGGCAAUACAAGAAGGACGCGCCAAGCAACUUGAAGAAGAAAUAAAGGAGCUUAGAGCUAGGCACAAAAAGGAGUUGCAAGAAGCAGCAGAACACAGGGGGCUGCUUGAGACGGUAGUCAAUUUUCUCUGUGAAUCACUUCCUGAAAAGAACUGGAACUACAUGUAUACGGAGCAAUGUUUCUGCUGCCAAUUUCAUUGAUGAGACCUAGAAACACUUUGUUUAACAUAUGACAUAAAAUUUGAACUUUGGAGGCUAUCUUAUAGCAGGCCUAUUUUAGGAUCAACCGGUAUUUGUUUACUUCGUUGCUUUCCCUACGUGAAGAAAAUUAGUUUUAAAUGUCACUAAUCAUGUGCCUGCCAUUAGAUCUUCUAGUUCAUACAUUACCAACUUGGCAACAAUUUAAUGUGUCUAUUAAAUUCUUGCGUCAAUUGCAACUUCUGAAUUUCAGGACCUUGAAAGGGAAAAGGCUGCCAGAGCAGAACUUGAGAAAACAUCUUCCCGGGAGCCACCUAAAAUUCCGCUUCCAGAUCAAACAAGUAUGCUCUUUCUUGGCCUCUGAUUAGUUUCUGUAAGUUCAAUCCAGCUUUUCUUUUUUGUUGCCUUACCUGUGACUCUGUUGGUUUCCUCUUUGCUUUUCUUGAAGGAAAUGCUCCUGUCAGAAGGCUCUCUAGUGCUUUGAGUGUUGGCAGCCUGGAAGAAAGUCAUUUCCUUCAAGCAUCAUUGGACUUAUCAGAUAGUUCAUCAUUGGAGAGGAGAAUGUCAGCAGAAAAUAAUAUGUCAUACUAUCUGAGGAGCAUGACUCCAAGUGCUUUCGAGUCAGCACUCCGUCAAAAGGACGGAGAACUGGCUUCUUACAUGUCACGCUUGGUAUGUAUAUGUGCGGAUGCAUCCUUCUAAUAUUUCUCCUAAACUAUUUUAUUUUAUUUUCUUGCUAUAUAUAUAAAUUUGAUAUUACUUCUGGAAACUGACAUUUGCUGAUUAUUCAAGCUAUUAUUUCAUAAAGUAUAUUGGAGUAGAAAGCUAUUUUUAGCCGAUUUACACCUGAACUUGUGCAUUAUGGAUGUCUAAAAUAUUUCUAGUUAAGUUUAGCACUAGCUUGUGCAUACACACACUAUUUCACACUCCCUUUAAAAAUUGGUGAAACUAUAUCAAGUUGCUGGCAAACCCUGAGCCCAACUGUAUGUUGCCAUAUAGCGUUUUUUUUUGGCUGUUUUCAUGAGGUGCCUGGUUACCUAACUUAUAUCAUUCAGCAUCAUCUAGAAUGUAGUGGGCCAUUUACUCCCUGGACAUUGUAUCAAGCACUCAUCAGUCCCAUACUAGUUUUAAAACCCUACGGGUUAAUUACUACAAAUUCAUGUGUCAUUCUCAUAUAUCCUAAUUUGUGAAGAAGCAGGAGCGGUAGCUUGGAAUAGUUCCACGACUUGUGUUUUCAUAAGAUGUUUUACCUUUACAUGUUUUGCCCACUAGAAUGGCCUACACCAUUUGAAGCCAUCUAUGCUGGCAACGUUUCCGUAUCUGUUUCAUGUUCUAUCAAACAAUCUUCAGUCCCAUACUGGUUUUAAAAGCCUAUGUGUUAGCUACUACAAAUUUGUGUGUCAUUCUCGUAUAUCCUAAUUUCUGAUGAAGUGGAAGCAAUAGCUUGAAAUAGUUCUGUGACUUAUGUUUCCAAAAGGAUGUUUCUUUUAUCAUGACAUCAGGUCACCCUCAAAUGUUCAUCAUUUAGGUUAGGUUUAGGAUAUGAUAUGUUUGUACUACUUGUGCUACAGCCUUGAGAGCAUUGUCGUAGACUCCUUGGGUAUGCAAUUGUUCUAAUACUUCGGCCUUCAUGCUUUAGUACGCUAAUCUCUCUUGCAAUUGGCACUGAAUAAAUGUCACUUUUAUAUUACAGGCCUCAUUAGAAUCUAUUCGGAAUUCUCUGGCGGAGGAGUUGGUGAAACUGACAGAACAAGUAAAUCAUUGUGAACCAACUAGACUAUAAUUUCAUUAUAUAUGCGGGUGCUAAUUGAACUGGUUUCGUAUGCAGUGUGAAAAAUUGCGGACUGAAGCUGCUGCUCUGCCUGGCCUAAGGGCUGAACUGGAAGCACUGAAACAAAGACACUUUCAAGCUCUAGAACUUAUGGGUGAACGUGAUGAAGAGGUAUUUCUCACAUGCAGUGCAUCUCACCAUUACUCUCUGUGUUAUUGACUUGUACCACAAGAUACACCAACAAUAUAUAAUCCGUCAUUAUAUUUAGUCUCAUAUCAUAUGGAAAAGGGAGUCCUCUUCAUGAAUCAAAUUGUGGUAGCGAGCUUACAUAGUGGAAUCCUGUAAUUAACUUCACUAAUUAGUAACCUGGAAUUUCUACACUAAGUAGCUUGUAGUGACUUUUGGUGAUUGCAACCUAGCCCACAAACCCAGCUGUUUCAGUCAUAAAACCUGUAACUCGUCUGGUUUUAGAUUUGAUGUUGUUUUUCAAACUUUGGUUAUUGAAAUGUAAACAUCUAUUCGCUGUAAUUUGUUGAAAAUGAGGGUCUGUAUAGAAAUUGCCAUGGUAAAGGAAAACUAGAGGUGACCUGGUCUCAGUUUACGGGGUGGUUACUGGUUGCUAACCACCGGUUGGAACUGCCAUGAUGGCUGGGACUCUGGUUACAUUUUUAUGCACACUCUGUAGCUGCCGUAUAAGAUGGUCCUGAAAAAUGUUUUAGUAAAUUCAAUUAAUAUGACCUAUUACCAAUACUACUUUCUGUUAACAAUGGAAUGGACCCAUGCAUAAGCUUGACAAUGAACUAGUUGUCUGACAGUUGGCAUAAGCUGCCUAAUUUAACCUGUCCGUAUUAGUGUCUUCUCAAAGGGAUGUGAAUUCAAUGCGACAUUGUGUGUGCACGAUACACUUUCGGAUAUCUUUGUAUUAUUGUUCCGUAGACCCUUACCUUCUAUUUCUUUCAUACUUAUUAUGAAAAAAAAUCUGUGCUGUUUUGCAGUUAGAAGAGUUACGAAAUGAUAUUGUUGACCUAAAGGAUAUGUACAGAGAACAAGUGGAUCUUCUUGUUGGCCAGGUUUGAAGUAUAUUGAUUUAAAUUCUGCUUGUCAUUGCGGAACCCUGAAAUGUGUUGCCCUAAAACAUCAAUUUUCCUUUUAUCAGCUCCAGACAUUGGGCGCUCGUGUAUAGCAGUGAAUUUGACAUCCCAUUUAAUUUUUAAUGCACUGCAUCGACCGAGACCAAGAUAACAAUUUUGAAGCCUGAACAUGUUUCUUCAGAAUUCGAACUGAUGCGAGUGUGGGAAGUUCAUAAUCACACAACGAGUGAAGAUAUUAUUUGUGUACAUUUUGAAGCAUCUUUGUUGUUGAAUUUAGUAGGAUAGUUUGUUGUAUACUAGAUUGAAUAGCUUCACAGUUUUACGUUUACAGAAAUUGCAAAAAAAUAAUUUACUGAAGUGUACCAAAUUUGGAACCUACAAGUGUAUGUCGACGUCUCUAAUAAUAUGGAGAUCCUGUUUUGACAGCUUUGUCAGGUUUUCUGUCACUCUGUAAUCCAGGAUUACUUAGUUUGAUUUUUUGCUAGUUUGGAAAGACUAAAAUAUAUUAGAUUAAGACCGCGUAUUGUGAUGUUGCCGCAAAGAAAUGUAUCCAGCCUGGGGAAAAGCUUCAUUCCCAGGUGCACAAUAAGGGUUGUAAAUGCACAGGAAUAGGAAAAGCACGUGACUACAAUAUCAUGCCCCAAAUUGUAUAGGAUUGUGUUUAUGCCAACUUUUUUUUUAUAUAAGUGUUUACUCAAAAGUUUGUUUGAUUCGAUCAUAGUAAGAAAUUUCCAACAGGUUUGAUCAAUAGAAAAUUUCCUAUGAAAUGUGGUUCAAAGAAAUUCUAAGAAAAAUAUCUAUAAAUUCAAUCCUACAAAUCAAACAACAAAGAUAGCAAAAUUUCCUAAGGACUUGCAUUGAAAUAUUGGAGGAUUGGAAAAGUUCCUAAGGACUUGCAUUGAAAUAUUGGAGGAUUGGAAUACUUAGAUUUUUUUUUUCCGGUGGGUUGUUUGAUUUGAAAGUUGAGUCGGGUGGGAAAUCUUUCUUUAGGGUUCUUUUGCACUGUAUUUUAUAAAAAAAGAAAUCUUUUCAUUCAAACCUUUAGUGAAGAUUCAUUUGUUUUUCCUUGAUUCAAUCAAACACAACAUUGAUGUCACCACAAUCUUGUAUUCAAAUAGGCAUGGCAUUGCAAUCCUAUUUUUCAAAUCCUACGAAUCAAAGAGAACCUAUGGAACUUUACAAGAUUACGAUGUUAACAUAGAUUGGAGUUGCAAUGAAGGAUUUUAUGUGAGAACCUAGCUUUGCUGCGAAUUAAAUCUCAAACACUAGAUUUUACGAGAGAACCCAACUUCGUAGCGGAUCAAAUGUCAAAACGCCGCCAAAGAGACGGUAUGUUUGAUACCACUCAGUCAGAUCCUUCUACGUGUGAUCGACAAUUCACCAGAAGAUACUUUCUUUUGUCCUGAUGUUGUUGCCAGAGCAAUCUGGCUUUGUAAUUAUCCAAUCUUUUGAUAACUCCUCUAGUUUGCUUUGACGAAAGACUGACAUGUGCAAAGAAACACUACUUAUACUGUUAUACAUGCCUCCAAUAGAUUAAAAAAAACUUUUACAGCCUUCCAACUUCUUUUCAACUCUUUCCUCUUUAGGUUCCCAAUGAGAAUUGCUCAGUCUUUUAACGUCCACUGGAAUUCCCUCAUAAGUUAAGGGGAGACUACCCAUGUUAAAAUCGAAAAUUUUACUAGAACAAACACUUCUUUGAGCAAAAUCUCUUACACGGUACAACUCGCUCUUAUGAAAGUUAACUUUCUGACCAUGAACUAGCUCAAAAGCACAUAAAACGAAUUUUAAGUUUUUGUCGUGGACCAGAUCAUCCUUAAAUUGACAAGCCCCCCCCCCCCCCCCUUCUGCUUAAAAAGGGAUAAAAAAAGGGAAACAUGAGUUGUUGAACUGCCAUUCGAGUCCAUGGUUUUUUUUUUCUUUUCUUUUUUCUAGAAUACACCCAAGCAGGUGUAUCAUAUAUUGAAGGAGGAUUCCGCGACGCAUUUACAUGCCCGUAGGCGCCAGUAAAGCGACCAUUCUAUUACAUUCCACAAGGGAUCCACUAGACUAGAAAGCGAAAAAUCUACACUAUGAAAAAGACCCGCGCUCGACCAUGCCCUUCCUUCACUGUUGAUCAUUUGUUGUAUCUUUCUAGCACUCGGAGUUGCUGCAUCGAACACCACCGAGUUCCUGUGCUUCCAGAGGCACCAGCAGAUGAGAGUAAUGCUAGUGUUGAGGUUCCUCUUCUCUUUCUUGCCUUGCACCACAAGGCUCGUCCACCAUUCGGCAAGAGAGGCUUGCGGAGUAGGGAGCCAGCAAAGCCUGUUCCAGCCCCGCAGCGAGGUCGACCACACUUCCCGAGCCACGACGCAACCAAGAAGAAGAUGGUCAAUGGUCUCAUUGCUUUGAUCACACAAAGGACAGCGUGCCGGGUGGGGCAAACCCCGCUUCGAAAGCCUAUCCGCCGUCCAACAACUAUUUUUUAGAGCCAACCACAUGAAUGUCUUGCACUUAGUUGGCGCCUUGGAGGACCAGACCUCAGUAGCCCCCGCAGCAAGCACACGACCCCGGAAGAAAGCCGCGUACGCAGACGAGGCCGUGUAGGUCCCAUUGUCGCUCCAUUUCCAAUGGAAACGAUCAUCAUCGUAUGAAAGAAUCACCUCAGCCACGCGGUCAUGAACCACCAGAAGAUCCACAAGCGCCUGAAAGCAGAGCUCCGGGUGGAUGGCCCGAAGCCAACCAUUGGCAUGCAAAGCCUCGGCCACAGAAAGCCUGGAUGCCCUACGCAAGAUCUCCGAUAGCAGCGUAGGCGCCAAAUCCGCAAGUGAACGCCCCUCCGGUAGCCAAGGAUCAUACCAAAAAUGUAGAGCUUCACCAUUCCCCCUUGCCACCUCAAUCGCCGCCUCACAAAGUGCCCUGGCCUGUUCCGGGAUUUGGAUGUUGAAUUCAGCCCAUGGACGCGUCGGGUCCACAUGACAUAGCCACCCCCAUCGUGUUCUGAGUGCAAGAUUGAGAAGCUUCAGAUUAGGGAUGCCUAAACCACCAAUCUUGCGAGGGGAACUGCCUUUCCACAAGAACACACGACAUAUCUUCUCUAUGCCCGCAAUGGUCUUCAUAGGAAGGUUGAGAGACAUCAUGACAUAGACCGGCGUAGCUGAGAGGGUCGAUCUAACAAGGGUGAGCCAUCCCCCAAGAGUAAGCAUAGGGACGGACCAUGUCUGGAGCUUAUUCGCCACCUUGUCCACCAUAGAUGAAAGUUGAGUUGCCGUUGGCUUCCGAAGCCCGAGAGGUAAGCCCAAUUAGGUACAUGGGAAAGGCCCCACCUCACAACCAAGCGUGCAAGAUCAAUGGUCUUGACAAAGAUAUUUAAAGACUUGUAUUGUGCUACCGAAUUCAUAUUAGCAAACGUGCAAGAUCAAUAUUUGUUUAGUUUUUUUUUGACAACAUAGAUCAAUAUUUGUUUAGACACGAUGAUUGAGCGAGUACAUGCGAUGUAACAGUCGGAAAAGGUUUCACACAAGUUCAUUUGUCAGUGAACAAAUUAUCUGCAUUGCAUUUUUUCAUAACAAUACAUGGACGUCUGUUCCGUUGGGCUCAAAAAGAAUUAAACAAAAAAUAAACGUCGACAGCAGGAUUCGAACCUGCGCAGGCAAAGCCCAACAGAUUUCGAGUCUGUCUCCUUAACCACUCGGACAUAUCGACCCACUUGGUCUUUUAUUCCUCUCAGUAUUUAUAUACAUGACUAUUCUGUUAACAGAUUGAUGAUUUUUUGUCAUUGCUAUAACCAUCUUUUACAAAAUAUUUGAAGCUUGCAGCAGAACAUGUAAACAUUUAUUCCUUUGAGAUGCGGGGUCAUAAUUUCUGCAAAAAAAAAACUCUGUACCCUUUUCGCAAGAAAAGAAGGAGAGCUAUCACCUGAGUACUCCGUAUUUAGCAUUCUUUAAUUUACAUACUAGUGCUCUAGAAAAAAGUUGCAUAUAGCUUCGUUGCCAAAUCAGACGGGCACUCGGGGCUGCAAUUGCAUGAUGGGCAAUUUGCCAUGCAUUAUUUGACGGAGUACCAACACGGAACACCCGGAAGCGUGAGGCAGCAGGUGCAUUCUUCAGUCAUUCAGUCCAGCCUUCCCUUUCGGUUUCUCCGCUGCCCUUGCCUAGCUAGGCUAAGCUUGUUUAGCUCGUAACAUUUCAAUGUUAAGUUUGCUAUCUUCCAAUGAGGAGUCCACUGUAGUAGCAUUAGCAGUUGGGUUGGUAUGGCCAUCUUGGUAGCUUCUUCUAGCCUCGGGACUUUACAAUCGAAUGCAUCAAUGCAAGAACAUAUGCAUUGUGAUGUACUAACAAGGAUCGAUAAGUAGAAUGAAAUCUGUGUCUUGUUCCAUUAAAUGAUGAUUAUAUUUAUACAAGAGGAAGGGACACCAAUACAUGCAUUGGUGUCCCAAGUUUUGGGCAUUCGCAUCCCGACACAGACGGUUACAACAUUGACUGCCUAAUUAACCAUUAAUUAACUAAUAAUUAAUUCUAAUUGAUCAUAAAUAAUUAUUCUCAACACUCUCCCUUGAUCAAUUUGCUCCAUUGAUUUGUAUAUUCUUGAAUCAUCAUGAAAUCUUGUAAUUUCCUCUAAAAACCCUAUGGGAAAAAUAUUGAGGAAAUAAUAAUAAUAUCGAUAUGUUAUGAAAAACUCCCUUUAAAAAUCCAAUGGGAAAAAUAAGGAGAAAAUGGUAUAACAUAUUUUGAAUAUUGUCUCUUGAUAAUUCAUAUUGAAUUAUAUGAACAAUAAAUAUGCCUUGUAUAUUAUCCACAAAAAUCCCGGUGGGGAAAAUAUAAAAUAUGACAUAUAAUCUUAUGUUAAUAUUGUCUCAUUAAAAACCUUUUAUGAGAAACUAGUGAGUAAAACUCAUAAUAGGAAAAGAGUGCAAUAUGAUGUUAUGAACAGGUUAAAUUCAGGUGAAUACUCCCCCUAAUGCUUGCAAAUUUUUAAGUCGUCGCAUACCAAUCCCAUGUACACAUUUUUUAAAUGUGGAGUUGGGUAAGGACUUAGUGAACAAAUCUGCGAGGUUAUCACGUGAUUUGGUUUGCAAGAUAUUUUUCUCCCCAUUUUGUUGUAAUUCAUGAGGAUAGAAUAGUUUAGGUGCAAUAUGUUUAGUUAUAUUGCUUUUUAUAUAACCUGUUUGCAUCUGGGCAACACAAGCAGAAUUAUCCUCAUAGAUAAUUGUUGGUGAUUCAAUCAAACCAAUACCACAUGAUUGUUGUAUAUGGUUAAUCAUUUUGCAUAGCUAUACACUUUCACGAGAUGCUUCGUAUAAAGCUAUUAUUUCUGAAUGAUUUGUGGAUGUAGCCACUAUAGUUUGCUUAGAAGGCUUCCACGAUAUGACUGUCCCACCGUGUAGGAACACGAAACAGGUCUGGGAUCUGGCAUUCUGGGGAUCAGAUAAAUAGCCAGCAUCAGUGUAUCCGAUUAAUUCAGAGUCUUGGUUUUCCUGUUGGAAAUAUAGACAUAGAUCUUUAGUGCCUUGUAGGUAGCGAAAAACUUGCUUGACUCCUACCAAUGACGUUUUGUUGGAGCUGCGCUGUGUCUAGCUAGUAAAUUUACAGCAAAUGCAAUAUCUGGCCGGGUGCAAUUUGCUAGGUACAUUAAUGCUCCAAUGACACUAAGAUAUGGGAAUUCAAAUCCUAAAAUUUCCUCUCCAUCACCUUUUGGUCUGAAUGGAUCUUUCUCUACGUCUAGAGAUCAAACUACCAUAGGUGUUUUGCAUUGAUAGGAUUUGUCCAUGUUAAAUUUCUCUAAGAUUUUCUGGAUAUAUGUAGCUUGGUGAACCAAUAUUCCCGAAGGAAGGUACUCAAAUUGUAAACCUAAGCAGAACUUGGUUUUACCCAAAUCUUUCAUUUUAAAUUCCGUCAUUAGAUAAUUACGAGCUUCAUCUAUAUCCUGUUUGUUGCCAAUGAUGUUUAAAUCAUCAACAUAUACAGAGAUAAUGCAAAAUCCUGUUUUGAAUUUCUUGAUGAAUACACAUAGGCAGUCAUCAUUGUUAGAGUAAUCCUUUUUAAUGAGAAACUCACUUAGUCGGUUGUACCACAUUCUACCCGACUGUUUUAAACCAUAUAAAGAUUUAUUCAACUUUACACAGUACAUGUUGCGUCUUGCGUUAGUAUUCGGAAUUUGGAUCCCAUCGGGAACCUUCAUGUAAAUGUCCGAAUCUAAUGACCCAUAAAGAUAUGCAGUCACGACGUCCAUUAACAGCAUAGAUAGACGAUUUUGAACAGACAAUGAGAUUAAAUAUCGGAAAGUAAUUCCACUCAUAACCGGAGAAUAUGUUUCAUUGAAAUCAAUGCCGGGUCUCUGCGUGAACCCUUGUGCUACUAGUCUCGCUUUGUAUCUCACCACCUCAUUGUUUUCGUUCCUUUUCUGGACAAAAAACCCAUUUGAAUUCCACUGGAAAAACAUUUGGAGGUGUAGGUAUUAUUUCUGUAAAUACCUUUCUUUUAUUGAGCGAGACUAUUUCUGCUUCAAUUGCAUCCUUCCAUUUAGGCCAGUCGGAGCGUUUUUCACACUCAGCUAUGGUCUUUGGAUCAUGAUUAUUUAGAAGGUUGUUUGCAAUCUUAGUAGAGAAAUAAGUGUCGACAAACGUAGUCUUUCUGUUGUAUAUUUCUCCAGUGUCUAAGUAAUUUGUGGAAAUUUCGUUUAUCUUUGGUGACUGUUCGCGAUUUCCCGUUGCGGUCAAGUCUAGGUUUUCCGAUGUCCCAGCAUCAGUAAUUGAGUGCACUAUUGAUCUGAGUUGUGGAUGUUGGUUAUCCACUGGGUGUCUAUUACCCAAUUGAUCUCGGUCAAUUAAAUGUUGACUCACAUUUGUUGUUGUAGAAGGAGGUUCAGAAGGUUUAUUCUUCUGUUUUCUUUGCCGCGGCUCCUUCAUUUGUUCCUUUUGUUGCUUGCUGGAAGCUUGAUCCUUUUUAGUUGUCGUACCUCUCCCCCUCUUCCUUUGAACGGUAGGUGCAGGAGGUUGAGUAGUUUUUAUAGGUACCUCCACUCUUUCGGAUACGUUUUGUGCAUGAUUAUAGGAUUUAGUUACACCUUUGUAAUCAACAAAUGCGUUUGGUAAAUUGUUUGCAAUAUGUUGCAAAUUUAUAAUUUUCUGAACUUGUUGUUCAGUUUCUUGAGUACGUGGAUCUUGAAAGGGCAUUUCUUUCCUAGUUAAUUUUGGUGGUGAUGACAACGUGUGUUGUGGACUAAUCGUGCGUUAAGUAUUUCAGAUUUGAUAUCAAAUGGCGCAAAACGAUUCGAUGCCCUCAAGUUAGAAAACAAAGAGUAGUGGAGUUUUCGCGGCUUUUUCGGUUAUGGAGUCGUAGGAACUCCGUACUAUUAAGAGGGAGUUCACAUGGGAAGGUAAUGGGUGAAUCGCUUUUCACGUACACAAACAAACAUCUUGCAUCCACAUAAAGCCUACCCAAAAAAUGAGAGAGAACCAACCCUAGAGCCUAAUUGGUGUGCAUUUGCCUGCCCAGGUCCGGAAGUUCCGGUGGGGUUCCGGUACACCGGAACUUCCGCCCAACCUCCGGACCAGGUCCGCAACGCUACUGGAAUCCAUUGUGGAUUUCCGGAAGUUGAGCCGGAACAGUGCCGAAACUUCCGGUGACCAGCGGAAGUUCCGCCCCUGGAACUCGCAGUGCAUAACGGUUAGAUUUUGGGGAGUCCAAAUAGAUACCCCUUCAUCCCCAACGGGUUUCUUGUCCGAGCACGAAGCAAAAAACAGCCACCUCUCUCCCAAGAACUUCCUAAGCUUCAUUCUACUAGAUCUCCCUCCAUAAAUUAAGCUUCCCCCUUGUUGAUUCUUUGAGAAUUGGAGGAGAAGACCUAGAUCUAGGGUUCACCAAGUCACAAAGUUGAUUCCCCUUGUUUCUCUUGUGGAUUUCAUUUCUCUUGGGCAUUUGGGAGCUCUAGACGGAAGUGGUUGCCUUGAGCUCUUCCCUUAGGGAUUGUGGAGCUUGAGGAUUGGAUUGGGAGCCUCCAAUUGAGUUGUGGAGCUAGCCUUGGUCAAGUUUGUAAAGGUUCGGUUUUCGCCUUCAAGGAAGUCAUUAGUGGAGCUCACUCACCUUUGUGGUGCCGUGAGAGGAGAAUAGAGUGAGCCUUUGUGGCGUCUCUACCUUUGUGGUAGAGCACUCCUCCAAACGGAGACGUACACCUACCCCAAUCGGUGGAACUCCGGUGAAAUCUUCGUCUCACCUGUGGUAUCCAUUCUUACCCUUCACAUUCUUGUUAUCUAGUUGCUUCGGCUGCUAUUGCACUUCAUCCUAGGGUUGCAUUACCUUUAGAGAAUUUAGUAAACCCUAGGUUAAGUGUUUGUAUCUUUCUAGAAAAAAAAGAUUAAAAUUUUGUUAGUCGCCUAUUCACCCUCCCCUCUAGCCGACCAUACCGAUCUUUCGGAUCUGAGGCUGAAAUGCCUUGGACAUUCCAGUUGAUUUCCUGGCAUUCUUGUUUUUGGUACUUUAAUUCUCCCCCUAAUGCCGGGAAAUGAUCCUCAUUAAAAAUACAAUCAGUGUACCGGGCAGUGAAUAGAUCCCCUGUGAGAGGUUCUAGGUACUUUAUAAUUAACGGUGAUUUGUACCCCACAUAGAUCCCCAAUUUUCUAUGUCGUCCCAUUGAUGUACGUUGUGGUGGUGAGAUCGGUACGUAUGUAGCGCAGCCGAAUUUUCGCAGAUGGGAAAUACUUGGUGGAUUUCCAUGUACUAAUUGAAGGGGAGAAGUAGUAUGAUAUGCAGUUGGUCGCAAUUGAAUUAAAUCAGCGGCAUGUAUAACCGCAUGACCCCAACAAGUUGUUGUUAAAUUACAAUUCUGUAAUAAAGGUCUUGCGAUAAAUUUAAUUCUCUUAAUAAAAGAUUCAGCCAAACCGUUUUGUGUGUGGACAUAUGGGACUGAGUGCUGAACUUCGAUUCCUAAUGCCAUGCAAUAAUCAUUGAAGGCGCGUGAGGAGAAUUCAGCCGCAUUGUCCAUUCGAAUUAUUUUAAUUCGAUGUUCUGGAUAAUGAGCUUUUAGUUUAAUCACUUGGCUCAUUAUAUUUGCGAAUGCAUGGCUACGUGUGGAAAGUAGACACACAGUAGACCAUCUUGUAGAUGCGUCGAUUAAGACCAUGAAAUACCUAAAUGGUCCAGACAAUGGUUGGAUAGGGCCACAAAUAUCCCCUUGAAUUCAUUCAAGGAAUUGGAGUGGUUCCGCUUGUAUUUUAAGAUAAGAAGGUCUUAAAUGAGCUUGCCUUGUGCACAUGCGGUGCAUAAAAAAUCCUGAGAUUUUGGAAUUUUGCUUUAUUAAGAUUAUGACCAAUGGAAUUAUUAAUAAUUUUCCAUAUCAUCCCGAUACCGGGGUGACCAAGACGAUCAUGCCAAGUCUGGAAUGUAUUGACAUUCUGAAAAAUUAUUUUAUACGCAACAUGGGCUACAGGUUUUAUGUAUGUAUAGUACAAUCCGGACGGUAAAGAAGGAAUUUUUUCAAGAAUUUGUUUACCAUAUCUGUUAUGUUUUGUAAAUAAGAGAAAUUCCUCAUUGUUGUCAUCGUGGGUUUCAAUAUGAAUCCCAUUUUGACGGAUAUCCCUAUAACUUAUUAGAGUACGAGUUGAAUCGGGAUACAAUAAAGCGUUCUCGAUUAUUACUUGUGUACCCAUAGGAAGUAUGAUGACGGCACGUUCAGAGCCAACAAGUAUCGCGUCCAGCGAUUGUCAAAAUAUUCCCUUGCGUUUUAGUAAGGGUUUGAAAAUAUUUUUAUUCCCUAAGUAUAUGUUUGUGGUGGCGUUGUCCACAAGGCAAAAGUUUUUCGUCCAUUUUGGAUUGACUCCCGUAGAAAACUAUAUAUGAAAAAUGAAGAAUUUUAAUAUCAUUCUUAAUAGAUAUAUAGAAUACAUACAAAUUUAUUUAUGUAUGAAAUUGAUAAUACAAUAUCGUAAUUUACAAUACAUAUGUCAAAUAUGUAGGUACCAAAGUGCUGAUACAAUAAUGUAAUAUUGCAAUAUAGAUGACAACGGUCACUAUAAUUUAUUUACAACAAUAUUUAGGAACGUAAAUAUAGAUAAUAUCUAUUUCGGAGAUAGGUGAACUAAUUUAGGUCUCCAAACAUAUUAUUUGAAGUGAAUUCAAUGAUCAUGUUCUCCGUGCUCAUUAGAUCCUCAGACGAUCGGAUUGUCGGUUUGUUGCUUGGGUCCUCCUUUAUAUCAUGUGAACAACCGGUUUCCUUGAAAUUGUCGGAUUGGAAAUUGAAGUGUGAUUCAAAUCUUGGUCCUUGAUGAGCAAGUCACUUGCGUCCUACGGAUUGGAGGUACAGAUCUACCAAAUGACGAGGGGUACGGCAUUUCUUUGUAAUAUGCUUGUAGCACCCACAUUUCUGACAAACUUUAGAUUUGUCGUAUUAUGGUUUGAAAGUGCCUUUCCCCUUUUCCUGUACACGUGGCUUGUUUUUCUUGUAGCCCUUUUGCUUGCCUUUGAAGUUGUUUGGUCGAUUAGUCGAUCCAUUGAACUUGUUGUUUUUCUGAAAAUUAGCAUGUACUUCAGGCAAAGGUGCAGCGCCUACAGGACGCUGAUGAUGGUUCCUCAUUAGAAGUUCAUCAUGCUUUUUGGCUUGAAGUAAAACAUGGAUAAGAUCAAAAUAUCUAUUGAAUUGGCGUGCACAAUACUGUUGCUGGAGGAUCCCAUCGAACAGAAGCAUAGUGGAUAAGUUCUUUUCAAUCUUUUCCGCUUCAGAAGGUUCCUUCUCGCAAAAUUGCAACUAGUUUGGAGGGCAAGUCAUAGUGUGUGUGGAUCUUCUUCCAUGAGAUACUCUAAUUUGAGAUCAGCAUGGAUGUGGUUUCUUAUAGUAUAUAAGGCAUUAUAUUUGUAUAAAUCUGCGAUGGGCGGUUGUCCCUCUUGAGGAGGUUGUAUGGCGCUGAAAGACCACAUGACGCAAGGCUCACUUUUACGUCCAUUGCCCAAGUUGGAUAGUUUCGACCGUCGAGAGCGAGUUCCUCAAACUCUUUCCCGGUCAUUUUGUCCUACAUGGGGUUGAAAAACCAUAGAUUUUGUCAAUUACUAGUAGGUAAAGCCAAAAUAUUGUGGUCAUUGUUGUAAUAAAAUUGCAAGAAAAUGCAUGAGAUUUAAUCCAUGUUAAAUUCAUAUAGUGUAUACCUCAAAUAACACUUUGAAGAUAAUCACCGAUUUAUUGGUGUAGAUCUCUCAGCUCUACGCGAAAAAUUCGCUGCUUUCAAUAAGGUUUAUGUUCCCACGGAACAUUCAACGCCAUUUAGCAUUUUACCGUUAUUGAAAGACUGUAGCACCUUGUGUUAUUUUUUAAUUUAAUAUUGGAAGAGCACGUUGAAGGUAGUCAUUGUGUGUAUUCGACACAAUGUAGACCUCUCAGCACUACGUGAAAUAAUUCGCUGCUUUCAAUAAGCUGUACGUUCCCACGGAACAUUCAACACCAUGUAGCAUUUUACCGUUAUUGAAAGUCUACAGUACCUUGUGUUUCGCAUAUAUUAAAUUGAGAUAGUCACAUGGUGAUAAUUUUUGCUUAUCACUAAUGGAGAUUUUUCUUGAAUCAAGUCUAAUUUGGGCUUUUUUUAUGCCAUUUUGGGACUUAAUCGUUGAAGCAAAACUCUCAGAUAUGCAAGAACUAAGAUCUCAAUUGCAAAGGAGUAAAUAUCACAUGUAAUAGGGGAUGUGUAUCAUACAAACACAUUGAACACAACAAUAUUUACAUUGACAUUUACAUAAGAAUAUGUCUUUUAAUAGGAAUCCAUCCUAAAACCACUGGAAUCUAAAUAAAUAUAAGUGCAGGGACCUAUAAGUAUGUAAAAUACUACUGUUAAAUAGAUACAUGGACCAAAUCGCAAAUAGCCAGAAGUUCCGGACUUUUCUGCAAAAUGGCCGUAGCCAGUGGAGGGGGGGCGCGGGCGUGGUCCUGGGCCUCGGCGGCCUUUCGGCUGGCCCAGGUCGGGCCGAGGGGGGGGGGGGGGCGAAAGGGUACAAAGGGGGGUGGGGCGUGCGGUUAGGGUUAGGGUUACCCCGCCCCAACGCUGCCGCCGCCACUGCUCCCCCCAAAUCCCGCCGCUGCCGCCCCGUUGUCGUCGCCGCGAUGCCGCUUCCGCCGCUGCUUCCCCUCCCCUGCGUCGCCGUCGUUGUUAGAGAGAGGGUGGCCCCCCCUCGUUGGAGGAGGAGAGACCGAGGGCGGCCGGGUUCCACCCGCCACCGGCCGGUCCGGUACGGUUAGCCGCCAUGGCGGCCGCGAACUUGCGGAGAAGCCGCCGGGCUUCGAGAUGAACAUUGUCCAGCACCUCUCCGACGUCGUCGUCGGUUGAUGGAGCGGGAUCGGCGGCCGGCGUGGAUUGAGUCGGGGAGGAGAGCGGCGGCGCCAUGCCAUCCCGCGUCGGGCACGGCCUGUGCUCGUGGAUUGGGCAGUACAGCGGCGGUGGAGGUGGCGCAAGAGCGAGGACGAAAUCAUCUUCUUCGCCGAGCAUGCGCGGUGCCGGUCCGAACAAUAUCCAAUCCAUCGAAGGGGUGUAGUGCGGGGAGGCCGGCGUCGUUGUGUCCGUUGGUGCGGCGGCCGGCGGUGUGGCUGUGGUGGGCAUGGCGUGCACCCGAACGGGUCCGACGUCAAGGGGCCCACCGGCGAGUCCAGCGGCGGCGACAACCACGGUAAGCUCCCCGGCAAGGUGCUCCUUUGCCAAAGAACUCGAGAAGGGCAAGAAAAACGAGAGGCAGAUCAUUGAUUGCCAUGCUCCUCACCUUUGUGAUUGUAGAACAAACGUGGCUGAUAACGUGUUAGAAUAAAAUCUGUGUCUUGUCCCAUUGAAUGAUGAUUAUAUUUAUACAAGGGUAAGGAACACCAAUACAUGCAUUGGUGUCCCAAGUUUUGGGCAUUCGCAUCCCAAUUUUCCCAAAAUUGGGACGCGAACAGUUACAAUAUUAACUACCUAAUUAACCAUUAAUUAAUCCUAAUUGAUCCUAAAUAAUUAUUCUCAACAAUAAGCUCAGAUUGUCCAACCACAACAAGACGGCAUGGGAUCGUCCGUGGACUAGUAGCGCGAAUGAACACUUUAACUUUCACCUAUAGCUAGCUUAACUUUCAAAAAAUGCUUAAAAGGGAACUAAGGAGCCCCUGGCUGAUAAGCUCAACAGAAAAGGAUUGGAAAAGGAAGCGAUGGUUCGUCCACAGCAGGAUUCAGACCAGCGCAAUCCCAACAGAUUCCGAGCCUGUCUCCUUAACCAUUCAAACAUAUCCACAAUCGUGUUAGCUGUGACGUAGUUUUAUGUAUAAAUGAAAACUGUAUACAAGAUUGAAUAGCGGACACAACGCAGCAACAGCAGCGGCAACUUUUAUGUUACAGGUAUGUCGACUUCAAGGUUGUUCCACAAUGACCAUCCGGCGGGAUAGUUGAGUCGGGGAGGUUCUAAGUUGAAAUUCCAGACCAUAACUCGGUUGCAAUUGUCUGGAAGACCCUCUAUCUGACGCUCGCUUUUAACAAGCUUCUCAAUAAAUCGUGACUCCUGCAACGAUUAAAUAUUCAGGUCAGCCGAUCAAUUUGAUAUUGGGUCACAAAAAAUAGCCAUGAUGCAGUUCUAUUUUCUUCUGAUAUACUAAUGGACUUAGCUGCUUAAAGAGACUAUUGGUGGCAGUUUACAUUGAUUUUGCCUUCAUAACAAUUUUAUCCAUUUGCUAACCAAUAUUAUGUUUCAUUUCAUGCCACACUGGCCAUUUCUCAGAUAGAAACUGAUUGCAGUUUGCUCCAUGGAGAUCUUGUAGAUAGAAAACCAACCAAGCAGCGACAGAAUUACACAGAAAUAUUUCCAUUGAAUUAUUCUAAUGUGCUUGACUAUGCACAGCGUUGCGAAACAAAACUCACCUGCAAACCGCCUCUUCCACCAGAGUGGACGAUGACAGAAUCCAAAGCUGGGCGGUUCCACCUCUGAGGAUCCCAGAGCAUUGUACUGUUGAAAGCAAACCCAGAAAAACCAAUAGGGAACCGACGAGGUGCACCCUUCUUCUGAAUUGUGUUCCAUCCAGUGAUUCGAUUACCUUUACACACUGGACCUUCUAAAACAACCCUGUACUUACUUCCAUCAUGGAUUGCUACAGGCCAUGUGCCAAAGCGCCUGCAGAAAAAAGAACAAGCUUGUAACAGAGAGAAGGAGAUUCCUUUCAUCUGAAAUUUCUGAUAAGCAGUGUAAAGGCAACCAAAAAAGUGAAUCUGGAUAAUCCAUUAUUGCUUAGGAUGAUGUUUCACCUCCUACAGCAAAUUUACUUCACAGGUUUCACCAUUUAAAGACUACUCACAACUAAUUAAAUUCUUUACAAAUUAUCGCCAUUUUGCAUAUCUUCUCGAGUUAUAGCACCUAAUUUGGUACUCUCAUCAGUCCUCACUAUGCUAAACUGAAAACACAGCAUAGAUUUAUAGUACCUUCUAUUAUAUUUUGGCAGUGAAGAUCAAAUUCAAAACUGCUUUAAAAAUAAUUAAAAAGCUACUGGCUGGAACCUCAUACUGUUUGCCAUAACAAUGAGUUGGUUUGGAAACAAAGAACUUCCUAGACCUGAUUCAGUAUCACUCAUUAAGCAUCUUGGGCGUAGUCCAAACAACUAGUUUAAAAUGAAUUAAAACUGCAAGACUUAGAUUAGGUCCUGUUCUAAGUGGGAUUGUCGAUCUUAAUAAUUUUCAUACUCCCUCAGAUCCAUAAUAAGUGUCGCUGAUUUAGUACAACUUUGUACUGCAUCAAUGACACUUAUUAUGGAUCAGAGGGAGUUCUUUUUUUACAAGGUACAGCAGGCCCAUUCCACUCACAUCAUAGUCCAUAGAUAGGAAAGGUUUUUGUGCCACUGAUACUCACCAGUAUAAGCUAAGUUCAACCAUUCAAAGGUAAGGAACUCUAGGAGAGAGCUUUCUGUUGCAAUGCAAAUACAGAAUACAGACCCAGCACACAACUCUAGGAGCAAAGCUUUCUGUUUUGGCUAUGGUUUACUAAAGAUACCGCUAAUUUCCAGAAAUCCAAGUGAUGGGUAUGCAAUUUUGAAACCCACUGUGUUGUCUGUUAUCAAUAUCCAACUGCAGUACAAGUGUACAUACUAGAAAUGCCCAGAGAUUCCUUGAGAAGGAAGUAUUUAGCACUCUACUCAAUGUUCACUAACUUUGUUAGCAAGGAACAUGUAACACCCAACCUAGCACUGACUUUUGUCAUAAGCAAGGAAGAUGUAACGUUUCACUCACACAAUAUACAUGAGCAAAGGAACAAUGUUUCUAUAGUUUGAUAAGCAUAAUCCCUUUUUCCUGGCAGGGUAAUUCCACAGUUUUAUUUAUACAACAAAAGGGUUCAAAUUCCCGUUUUGAAUCAUCCAUGCAUUCAUAAUUUAUUCAAUAUAUUGGUAGAGCAAAUGAUGUUUUGGUGGAGAAUUGUCACCUGAUUCUCCGCAUUUCUUCAAAUACAUCACCCAUGUAUGAUCGCUCUUCAUCAGCGAAAUGCACUAUACCAUCAAGGUGGUGCUUUUUAAUAUGAUAGAUUGCAUUAUUCCUUUGACAGACAGCAAUCUUCCGUACACUGGUAAUAUUCUUCCUGCAGACAAGAUGCCUGUACAUAACCCCAGAAGACCUCAGGAUUUCUUCUGUCUCAAAGGUAGUACCAGGCCAUUCCACCACUAACCAUAAAAGAGGAGGUGGCACACCUUUCAAAACAUGAGCUAGACGAUUCAAGUAAUACGCCUGUUGUGGCCGAACAGAAGUGACUGUCACCACUAUCAGAAGCUUCCUCACUGGGAUGACCAAAUCAUUAAUAGCGGGUAUUGCACGUGAUGCUUCGACAAAAUCAACCUCAUCAUCCAACAUUGGAGGAACCGGAGGACUCUCUUCAACCUCAGGCUCGUCAAUCACCUCAACCUCUUUCUGCACUACGAUUGCAUCCAAUUCCUUAACUUUACCAUCCACCAUUUCCCUCUCAACCACCCCAUUAUCGAAUGGAAGCUCUGAGACUAUCUUCUGGGAGACAUCAACCGAGAAGAAUGGCGUGAACCCAAUGAAGAUGCCGACCAAGAAACAUACAAACAGCCGAAAUGCAACUCUCUUGCAGAUCAGGCACUUAGAUUUUGAUCUCUCGGGCGAUCGCCAUGUGGAUCUGAGCCUGCUUGACCACAAAACAAAGUCCAGAGAGGCCAACGAAGCCAGCAGCCCCCUCAUCACGACGUACGACUGCGAAUAUAGCAAUUUAGGAGAUGGCGAGGGGUCAGCAAACUGGGACCAGUCCUUGGCCUGGCCGUCUCGGUGGAAUGCCCCUGUGGAAUUCCUUCUGCUAGACACCAUUCCAAUAUCAUUAUGCAUGUAUGCCUCCUAAAUUUCUCAGAAGCGCUUGCGUUUUAGUCCAGGAACACUGCUCUUACUAUCACUUCUGAUCAUGCGGACAAAUGAAGCGGAAUUGUACCUGCAAAAUAACCAGUUGCAAGAAUUGCCUCUGAUCAGCUCAAAAUAAAACUACAUAGGCUCAUCCAUCCACAUAACAUGCAAAAUUAGAACCUCUUCUACUACAGUAGUUCAGCCAGCGAGAUCUGCAAGAGCACCGCAGAGACACAGAUAGGAGACAUCUCCCCACACCAACCGACUAAAUCAACUAGCUACUCCAGAUUGCCAAAACCAGGAUCACCUACCAGGCUGGGGGCGGAGCUACAGCGGCACAAGGGUGCAUACCCACUAGUUUUGGCAAAUAAAACUAAUUAGGAAAUAUGCUACUAUGAAAUACAAAGCAAUUCGAAAAGGAUUUCAACCAAGCAGCCCACUUUUUAUUCACCUCAUUUUCGCCCCCAAAAUCCCAUUCAUCCAGCCCAACAUGCAAAAAAAAAAAGCACAACCGGCUGCUGCAACUCCAGGAACCCCAAUUGGAACGGAAAUCAAUCGGAGGCAAGCAGCCGUGCGGGUUACAGGUGCGGAUCUAGAACGUGUGCACCCGGAAAUUGUGAAGAGCAGUGGGAAUUAUCUAUUUGGGGGCGGGCGGAGAGGAGAGGAGAGCGAGGUGAGGUAGGAGAAAGGGGAUGAAGCUUGACUUACAGCUUGCAACGGCUGAGGAGAUCACUGCCGUCGCGGAAGUCACGGAGCGAGGCGGCCGGCCCUGGCCCCUGGGUUGGCGCUGUAGUGACGCAGCGACGCCAGCCGGGCAGGGUUAGCGCGGCCGUCGAGGGAGAGACAGAGCGGCGGCGCAACCGGCCGGGAUUAGCACCGUGGAGGAAGGGAGCGCCGUUGAGGGGAGAGAGCACGGCUAGAUCGUGGGGAAUUUCGGAUCGGGACCUCGGCUGUGCUAUGCCGUGGUAGGAGGAAGAGGAACAAGCACGCCCUCCCCCAACGACGGGUGCCUUGUGCAGUGGUUGAAACCAAGCUCCAAUGAUACCGUUUCCUUCUUCGUGUAAAUAGCUAUGCAUUUUUCAGUAGAACUUUUGAACAUUAUUUUAUGUGUUGAAUGAAAAAUUUACAGGCAAGGACAAAGGAACAAUGAUAUUAGUACUGUAGUAGAAGUUCUCAAAGGACCAUAUUUUCUACGCUUACGUGUUCUAGAAUCAGAAGACGUGUAUACUUGUGACUGAUUAAUUCUUUUAUGACCGGAUCUUGACACUUUCUCCAAUAAAUAUAAUGGGAAGAAAUAGUGAGAACCAGUAGUAAUCAGCAUGGCAACCUCAAGGUCUCUAGGGUAAUCACACACCAGAGCACGACUUUCUGCGAUAUGACAUCAAUUAACAGCCCAAGCUUAUUGUACUAACGUGUCCCUCUCACCAGAAGCCGAUGUUUCUCUCCAAGUGCAACCUGACAACAAGAAAAAACCCAAGAAAAUUUAGCCAGGAAAAUAGGGUCAUUUGUGAGUCAGCGAUAACGCACAGCUUAAACCGGUGGCGCAGGACCGGUCGUGAGUCGGGCCUCGAUCCUCAAGGUUGCUACGUGGCGCUCAUCGGAGACCACCAGAUGCCAGAUUUAACGGCCUCCGUGUCGCCUGGCGGUAGGUGGUGCAUGACGGCUGGGCCCCAGUCAGCAGCGCCCUACCUACCUGCGCAAUAGUUGGCCCGGUCGGCGGCGACGGCGAGUCGUUGUAGUGGUUACCACGUCGGCUGAUUGUAUCCAACGGCAAGAAGCAUGGAUCAUUUGUACUGAGACGGAUCGCGAGAAGCAUGUGGGUCCCGUAUGCAGUGACGUGCACGUGCAUUCGGUUGUGCUUACUGCUGGCUUUUCACAACGGAAUAUUCAGCGACCGGCGGGGACAAAGGGAAGAGUGGCCCACGUGCUCAAUUCCUUCCGCUUGUGAGUAACUAUAACAUAAUCGUGUUUUUGUUCUUUAGACAAAAUGUAACAACCUAAUCAUGUUGUGGUUCGGCUGCUUAGUCUUUUAGUCGAAAUGGCCGUCCGAUUAUUCUUCCCCUUUGCCAGCCCCAUAUGAUUGGCGUUGGCGAGAAAGAAUGUACUCCCUAAGCAUUUUCAGUAUUGAACUAGAGUGAAGCGUUACUUUGAUUCAAAGGAUUUUCAUAGGGAUUUUGGAGGAUUUGAAUCCUUAGGAUUUUUUUCAUAUGAGUUGUUUGAUUUGUAGGAUUGAAUCCCAUGAAUUUUUUUCCUAAGGAUUUUAUUGCAUUACAGUAGGAAUUUUUCGAUCCACUCCAAUCUUUUUUUCAAAUUCCUUUGUUUUUCGUGUGCUCAAUCAAACAAACAUUGGUCUAACCACAAUCAUGUAGGUUUCGAAUGGCCAUGACAUUGCAAUUCUACAGUUUUCGUAUUCUUGUAUUUUUUUAUCCUGCGAAUCAAAGAGGCCCGAGACCUUUUUUUUAAAGCUUGUGAGUACUAGUAAUUGAGUACAUGUGGACUAUUGAUACGUACAGUACUGCCUAAGCAUCUUCAGUAUUGAACUAGAGUGAAUAUCUAGAUUUUUAGUCGAGUCGGCCGGAUACGAUGCAUAUAUAGAUUUGGCUUUUUUUUAGAAAAUCUAUAGCUAGCUAGCUAGGUACGCCCUGCGUUUCCUAUCUAUCUAGUAAUAACAAAUCUCAGUUGUUGGAGCGACUACAACAACUGAUCAAUCGGUCAGCCUCCACACGCAGGUCUACCAGAAACAAUGUUGUUGGCGUUUCAUGAUGCAUGUCGUGAAUGCUUUGCUUAAAGCUCCUCCUCCAACUAAUCCCAUUAGCUGAUGCUGACACUCGUGUAUGCACCAACUACGUUAAGAAAAAGAAAAAAGAAUCCUUUACAAAAGAAUUGAGAAAGGAACCAGUUCUCAGGACAAUUUGCACCGACGACGACCGGUUCGUACAUCGAUCCUGCUGUCUGGUUCACAUUUGCACUGGAUUAACUGGUAUAUACCUUUCCUGUUCCCCAUUUCAUGUAUCUCUCUCGAUGUUCGAUUAGUCAGCAUUUUGUGAUGUCUUUGUGUGGGGGGAAAAACUCGAGUCUAAAAAAAAAUGCAGGCCUUGUGUUACACUGCAAUUAAAGAUUACUGUUCGUAAUUGGUUCGUUCCCAUUCGAAUUGAUCAAGUGAUCAUUAUAUUUAACACUUUUAGUUAUCAGUGUCUUCUUCCCCGGCGUGCUUCUAUUAAUUAACCUGAUAAAGCAUUCACAUGUGCACUUUGUAUAACAUGACUGCAGAAGAGAGUGUUGUUGCAAACAAACGCGAGAUUAGAUUACUCUGGUGUUGCCACUAACCAAAGGCAUGAUGCGGCCAUGCAGGUCCAGCAUGAUUGUCAUCAAAAGUGACCGGCCAUGUGCUCCCUUUUUUUAAGAACUACAGUAAAACAGAUGGCAGAUGGGAAUGCGGAGGCGGAGAAAAUGGCUGGCAAAUGUUUCGGUGAUACUCGUUGUAAGUCUGGGCCUAUUCUUGCUAGGCACUUUCAAACGGGCUCUCUCACCAAAAAAAGAGGGGAAAAAACGGCUUAACGGGCUGUAUGCCUAGAAAGCUUAAUGGAGUCUACUAACUGGGCUUGGGCCUUCCUCCAAAAAAGGUUUUGGGUGGUCGCGGUGGUGUGUGUGGGGGCGCCUGGUGGUUAAGAAAGUUUAAUUAAUAUAAAUUGUGCGCCAUGGCUCUUCCUCUUCUGUGACGACACUUUACCGGACGAAGCAGAGAUAUCUUUCAUCCACAGGUUCGAUGUGUGUGAUCUUGCGAACUUUAGGUUCGUUUCCUCGCAGAACCGCUCAUACAUAUAUGAUGAGUUGUUGCUAGUGUGUCCUAGUGCUUUUAUUGGCAUGGUUUUUCUAUGGCAUUUGAGUCUUUCUUUGAUGUUCAGAUCAAGACUAGACGGGCCAGCGCGCUUCGCUGCGCCGUCGUUUUAUGAGUCUUGAGUUAUUAAUCUUUGAAAUUUUGGAUUUUUGCUAUAUUUAUACAAGAGCGGGGCUGCUUAAGCACAUAACCAACAUCGUUUUUCAUGCCUGGACAAUAAAAGCAUAAUAAAUUAACCACCUUGCAUGUAAGAAUGCGUGUCUACAAUGAUGCGUAUAGAACGAUAGCAUAUUUCCAAAAUUUUCCGUACUUGUUUGGCUCCAAGGUAAUUUCAUAGUUCUGCAGGAAAGUAGCAAAUUCAAUAAUUAACACAAUUCUAGAGCCAAAAUAUGUAGUGCCAUGUCCUCAAAAACAGAAAAAAAAAAUGAAGCUUUGAUUUCACAGAGCCACCAACAAUAUCCAACCAAACAAUCAACCAAUCGGAAGAUCUCCGUAAAUUAAAACUUCAGAAAAAAUGGUUAUCUUAAGGAGCAUAGUUAACAGAGAAAACUAACAAACGAAAAAGUCUAACUUCUUGAAGUAUUUCCCAUACAAUCGGUAUCAUUCUUGACCGAAAAAUGGUUAUCUUAAGGAGCAUAGUUACCAGAGAAAACUAACAAAGAAAAACUGAACAAUUCAUAUAAUCUUCUGGAUGACCUGUGACCUUCAAGAUUCAUCAGUUAAAACCGAACAAUUCAAUAAAAGCUUUUGGAUGACCUGUAACCUUCAAGAUCAUCAGUCAAUGCUUUACAUAGAAGGAACCAACAAACCUGUCUAAUGCUUCACCUGUAAAAAAGAGAAGCACCGGGCAUUUUAGGCACUUGUGUUCUAUUAAACAAAUCUCACAGUAUUCCUAUGAGAAAUCAGAAUUUUUCAAUCAACAUAACAAACUGAAAGAAAGCGCGAACAUGAUGUAUUGAUUCUUGACACAAGGAAAUGAACUCAAAUGAUACAUGCAUAUGGAACAUUUAUAGUUUUAUGUGAACUCUAGAAAAAUAUGUACCAAAUUAGCAUCAUUUUAUUUUUCAACUAUUACAAAAGAAUUGAGAAAUUUCUUUGAUUCCGUAUGAUCAUGAAGUCAGCACCAUUAGGUGUUUCAAAUAACAGAAGGAACAUGCUUAGUAGAAGGGAACCUCUCAGCACUAUCUAGCUUCCUUCCAACACAAAUUUUCUCUAGAGCAAUUACAGGAGUAUCUUUAAGUAACAUAAAUAACCAAUCAAAAGAUCUAGGAAUUGCAAGUUUGUACAACAACCAUUACAUGCCAUUUGGUUUCAAUAGAAAAUAAUAAGAGGAACAACACAACCGAUGAACUUGAAUUUCAUACUACUAAACGACAUAUCCAUGAUACAUUGGAGCAGGUUAACAAAAAUCCGAAGACGUCGAGAAAAAGAAGAUAGCUUUCUCACUACGGGAAGAAACAAUAUAACAUGAUCACAUCUUUAAAUGACAUAUCUCGGCUCUAAGAUAGCGCAAACACAGUAGACAGAAGUUUAGGGAAAAUAAAAACCACUAACCUUGGUCAAGUGUAAAGUUAAAUCAUGUUAAUAAACCCUGAACCAUGUCGUCCUCGGAACUGUGGAAUGCAAAGAUGUACUAAGCACAGAAGUGGGGUUUGCUUCAGUCAUUGUUACACCACAAUAAUUUGGAGAGCAUGAAAUCCAAAUCCAAAUCUUUCACUAUUAAACAUACAAUAAUUACUCACAAGCACACGAACUACAUAGGAGCAUAUUUAGCACCAUGAUUAGCACUGUCGUAAUCAGCGAAAGCGGUUGGGAAAGCUAAGGCAAAUAUUCCAGCAGGCCAGACUACCAAAGGGCAAGCCCAACUAAGGAGAGAACUAAAAAUCAAGCACCACCACCUCAAAAUAAUCAUUUCAGCCCAUAAGGUCAGGAUGAUCUCUAGCUAAAACUGCACCGGAGAGAUUAGCAUCAGUGCAAGAACAGAUUAACAAAAUUGCACAAGAAAGGGAAAUGGUGUAAGGGCUGAAUUUGCUGCACAAUUGGAGGAAAAGGUUCUUCUCUCUCCCAACUUUGCAUACACAUAGCAAAUUAUAAUUUCCUAGCAGCACCAUCCAUCCAUCCAUCCAGAACCUUAAUUCACAGCCUGCAAAUUGCAAGAAGCCUCGAACAAACUUGUCAAUUUGUCCUAUAUACACAGCCUGAAGCACUACAGCGAAAUCUAAAACAAGGUUAAUGCUGUCCUGUGUACACUGAGAUUCAGAAUCGAAAUUCACCAACAAUUUUGACUCUAGCUAGUUCUUUAGGACAGAACAAGAAGUAGGAAAGAUCCAACCUGAGAGGUAAGCAAUGCAUCAUCUGGUGGAUCCUAAUGGCACAAAGGAAAAGAAAUAGACCACUGACCAACACGAAAAUAACUUGGAUCUCAAGGAGAAGAGGAGGAGGGAGAUCUUGAGGAGCAAUAAGAAACAAAUUGGAUUGAAUCUCAAAUGGAUGGGAUGUAGAACACAAACCGGCGGGUUUGGUCUCUCUCGGGCACCCCUGUGCGCGCUCACUGGUGGCCGGUAUCCACGGCCCGCUUGUGGCCCUGCCCUGCGCCGACUCUUUCGCUUUGGCGCCGGCGGCGUCACGCGGCCAUCUCGCCUAGCCGACCACGACCACCACCUGAACCUCAUCGGCCAGUUCAGCCCUAGAAGAACGCCAUGGCCAGAACGGGCGGCUACCAAAGUACAGCAAAACAAAAACAAAAGGAAAUGGUUUCUUCAGACCUGGGGCAUCAACAAAUCCACCAAAGUACAUCAAAACAAAAAUGAAUAGUGGAGUAUGCACAUCAAACACAUCGAAGCAUUGGUUCCUAAAUUCCUUGGGAAAAUAACAGCGGAGACAUAUCCAAAAAUCCAUCAGAAAACCCCCCAAAAGAACACGGAACACCUCCUCACCGAAUUUCGAAAAGUGGUACACGAAUUGAAACACGGUCAGACCAGGAGUGGCGGACGGCAACGUUGGCGAUGCAGAGAGAGAUGAUCAGUGAAGAGAGCGUUCGAGGAAGGCUCGGGAAGGAUCGAGAAGGGCUUCG
rnacentral:lncRNA from 1 species